rnacentral:lncRNA from 1 species
GGACGAUAGCCUUUAACGGAAAGAUCUUGAAAAUUCUCUUUUGCAUCUAUAAGUCUUCCACUUUUGCAUAGGCCAUCUAUAAGUAUAUUGUAAGUGAAUAUAUCUGGAUCAAUGCCACUCUCUUUCAUUUCCUUGAAUGCCUCGUUAUUUUUGAACAUCCCAUCCAACAAUGAACUGUAAGUGACUACAUUAGCGGGUUGACCUCUAUGAUGCAUCUCGAUAAGAAGGAUAAGAAGCCGGGAGAUUCUCUUUGAUUUGCUCAAGCCAUCAAUAAGAGUGCUGUAAGUUACCGUGUCUGGAACCAAGUUCUUGCGAUGCAUUUCUUCAAAGAGAUUCAAGGCUUCAUCGACCAUUUUACUUUUGCAGAAGCCAUUAAUCAUGAUACUGUAACUUNNNNNNNNNNNNNNNNNNNNNNNNNNNNNNNNNNNNNNNNNNNNNNNNNNNNNNNNNNNNNNNNNNNNNNNNNNNNNNNNNNNNNNNNNNNNNNNNNNNNNNNNNNNNNNNNNNNNNNNNNNNNNNNNNNNNNNNNNNNNNNNNNNNNNNNNNNNNNNNNNNNNNNNNNNNNNNNNNNNNNNNNNNNNNNNNNNNNNNNNNNNNNNNNNNNNNNNNNNNNNNNNNNNNNNNNNNNNNNNNNNNNNNNNNNNNNNNNNNNNNNNNNNNNNNNNNNNNNNNNNNNNNNNNNNNNNNNNNNNNNNNNNNNNNNNNNNNNNNNNNNNNNNNNNNNNNNNNNNNNNNNNNNNNNNNNNNNNNNNNNNNNNNNNNNNNNNNNNNNNNNNNNNNNNNNNNNNNNNNNNNNNNNNNNNNNNNNNNNNNNNNNNNNNNNNNNNNNNNNNNNNNNNNNNNNNNNNNNNNNNNNNNNNNNNNNNNNNNNNNNNNNNNNNNNNNNNNNNNNNNNNNNNNNNNNNNNNNNNNNNNNNNNNNNNNNNNNNNNNNNNNNNNNNNNNNNNNNNNNNNNNNNNNNNNNNNNNNNNNNNNNNNNNNNNNNNNNNNNNNNNNNNNNNNNNNNNNNNNNNNNNNNNNNNNNNNNNNNNNNNNNNNNNNNNNNNNNNNNNNNNNNNNNNNNNNNNNNNNNNNNNNNNNNNNNNNNNNNNNNNNNNNNNNNNNNNNNNNNNNNNNNNNNNNNNNNNNNNNNNNNNNNNNNNNNNNNNNNNNNNNNNNNNNNNNNNNNNNNNNNNNNNNNNNNNNNNNNNNNNNNNNNNNNNNNNNNNNNNNNNNNNNNNNNNNNNNNNNNNNNNNNNNNNNNNNNNNNNNNNNNNNNNNNNNNNNNNNNNNNNNNNNNNNNNNNNNNNNNNNNNNNNNNNNNNNNNNNNNNNNNNNNNNNNNNNNNNNNNNNNNNNNNNNNNNNNNNNNNNNNNNNNNNNNNNNNNNNNNNNNNNNNNNNNNNNNNNNNNNNNNNNNNNNNNNNNNNNNNNNNNNNNNNNNNNNNNNNNNNNNNNNNNNNNNNNNNNNNNNNNNNNNNNNNNNNNNNNNNNNNNNNNNNNNNNNNNNNNNNNNNNNNNNNNNNNNNNNNNNNNNNNNNNNNNNNNNNNNNNNNNNNNNNNNNNNNNNNNNNNNNNNNNNNNNNNNNNNNNNNNNNNNNNNNNNNNNNNNNNNNNNNNNNNNNNNNNNNNNNNNNNNNNNNNNNNNNNNNNNNNNNNNNNNNNNNNNNNNNNNNNNNNNNNNNNNNNNNNNNNNNNNNNNNNNNNNNNNNNNNNNNNNNNNNNNNNNNNNNNNNNNNNNNNNNNNNNNNNNNNNNNNNNNNNNNNNNNNNNNNNNNNNNNNNNNNNNNNNNNNNNNNNNNNNNNNNNNNNNNNNNNNNNNNNNNNNNNNNNNNNNNNNNNNNNNNNNNNNNNNNNNNNNNNNNNNNNNNNNNNNNNNNNNNNNNNNNNNNNNNNNNNNNNNNNNNNNNNNNNNNNNNNNNNNNNNNNNNNNNNNNNNNNNNNNNNNNNNNNNNNNNNNNNNNNNNNNNNNNNNNNNNNNNNNNNNNNNNNNNNNNNNNNNNNNNNNNNNNNNNNNNNNNNNNNNNNNNNNNNNNNNNNNNNNNNNNNNNNNNNNNNNNNNNNNNNNNNNNNNNNNNNNNNNNNNNNNNNNNNNNNNNNNNNNNNNNNNNNNNNNNNNNNNNNNNNNNNNNNNNNNNNNNNNNNNNNNNNNNNNNNNNNNNNNNNNNNNNNNNNNNNNNNNNNNNNNNUAUUAUAAAUUAAUAAAUCAAACUAAAUGAUAUAAUGAAUUCUAAUUAAUUAAUUGGUAUAAAUUAUAAUAAAUUAUAUGAUAUUUAAAAAAUAAAAUGAAUAAGAAGAAAACAAAAUGAAAUAAAAGAGAUAGAAGACUACAAUAAAAUAAAUUCAGUGAGAGUUUUUUUUAUAUAAAUUUCAUAUCACAUCCGUUUCAAUAAUAAUAAAUAAAAAUACGUCAACUUGAUAUCUAAGAGAAAAUGAUGAAAUAAAAUCAUAAUACAAUUCUAAAGUAAAAGCUGAAAUUAGACCAUAAUAUCAUUGCACAACACAAAUUGAAAGUAAUUUUACACUACAAUAUACUACACAAACAGGUAAAUGACUUAAGUUUAAAUAUGAUUUUUUUUUAUUUAUGCAUACAUGAUAACACCAUGGUCUAUAAAUACUUCAUAGAUAACAUAUCUUAUAUAGCUCCGAAUGAUGAGCACGAAAGUUGGAGAGUGUGGUAGUUUGUGUCCACGAUAGUUGCCUUCUUGCAACGACGCCUCAUAGGAAGAAAAAAAAAUUGUUGUAAAAGUUAUCAAAUGAAAGAGUAAUUAGUAAACGAAUGGUAUUUUCUUCUAGCAUACAUGGUCUUUUAUAGUGAUAAAAUAAAAAUGGAAGGAAUUAAAUUUUAUAUUUCUAUAUUAGGAAUAGAAUUUGAUAUUUAUCCUAAUAAAAUUAUUAUUAUUAUCAAUAUAAAUGGGUUAACAACUUGCUAUUAAUAAAAUCAUUGGAUAAUGAAUAAGAAUUAGAAGGAUAUUAAUAUAAUUAAAAUGAAUAUAAUUAAAAUGUUUAAAAAUAUUUUCGAUUGACAAUUAGUUUAAUAAUGUAUUAAAUAUUAAUUAUAUAUUCCUAAAUUAGAAUAAUUAUGCAUUAUUCAUUAAAUACUAAUUGUAUCUUACUUUCUUUUAUCAAUUCAAUAAGCCUCUAGCAACCAUUUCCCGAAGAAGUUUCUCCGCCAUGUCAUUCUCAUCUUUUUCAAACAAAGCACGAAUAAUAGUUUCAAAAGUCACAGCAUCUGGUAAGCAACCAUUGCCUUCCAUUUUUGACAAGAGUGCCAAUGCUUCUUCAAACAAGCCCUCUUUGCAGAGCCCAUUGAUCAUAAUAUUGUAUGUCCUCACAUUUGGAGGAUAGCCUUUAACGGAAAGAUCUUGAAAAAUCUCUUUUGCAUCUAUAAGUCUUCCACCUUUGCAUAGGCCAUCUAUAAGUAUAUUGUAAGUGAAUAUAUCUGUAUCAAUGGCACACUCUUUCAUUUGAUUGAAUAACAUAAAUGCCUCGUUAGGUUGUUGGUUUUUGAACAUCCCAUCCAACAAUGAACUGUAAGUGACUACAUUAGCGGGUUGACCUCUAUGAUGCAUCUCGAUAAGAAGCUCCAAAGCACGGGAGAUUCUCUUUGAUUUGCUCAAGCCAUCAAUAAGAGUGCUGUAAGUUACCGUGCCUGGAACCAAGUUCUUGCGAUGCAUUUCUUCAAAGAGAUUCAAGGCUUCAUCGACCAUUUUACUUUUGCAGAAGCCAUUAAUCAUGAUACUGUAACUUCGAACAUUGGGCAACACUCUAAUUUGGGCCAUUGUGUUGAAUAUAUAUUUUGCCCUAUUUACCUGAUUAACCAAACAAUAUCCAUCCAUUAAGCUGUUAUAAGUAACCACAUCUAGUUUCACACCAUGUUUUGCCAUUACAGCCAAUACACUCUUAGCAUCUUUGAUCUUUCCUUCCUUGCAUAGCCCAUCAACCAAAGUAUUAUAGGUAUAAACAUUAGGAGUAAUGUUUCUAAGCACCAUAUCACUUAACAAAUCAAUGGCUUCCUUAUAUUGACCCAUAAGACACAAUCCAAAAAUGAGAGAACUGUAUGUGAUAACAUUAGGAGAAAUUCCCUUAGCAAGCAUUUCAGAAAAUAAUUGAAAAGCCUGACUUACAAGUGUAUCCUUGCAGAGGCUAUCAAUAAUUGCGUUGUACAUGAAGACAUUAGGAGCAAUGCCAUACCGUGGGAUCUUUCUCAACACUUGAAUAGCAGCUGACGUGUGUCCGGUCUUACACAGCCCAUUGAUCAAGGUCCCAUAAGUGACUUGAUUAAACUGAAAUCCAUGAGCCAGCACUCUAUCAUGAAAGCUCACUGCUUUUUCAACACUACCACAGAGAAAGAGGCCUUUAACGAGUGUAUUCAAUGUUACCGUAUCAGGUUGAUAAUCCAUUCUGAAAAUCUUGGCCAAUACAGAGAAAGCAAGCGUCAUACGACCCAUGCCGCAACAACAAUUAAUUACGAUGCUCAAAGUAAAUAAGUCGGGAGCGAUUCCCCUGGCUUGCAAUUGCUGAAAAAGGGAAAUGGCGGUGGAGAAAUGGUUGGUCUUGGCAAGAGAUCCCAAAAUCUUGGUGAAUUGAAUGAUGGAUGGAGGGCGACGCAUAGAGAGCAUGCGAGUGAAGGAAUCAACAGCUUCAUCAACUUCACGAAGGCAUGGGGGCUCAGAAUGAGAGUGAAGGGAUGAAGAGGACGGGAAGGAAACAAAAUUAGGGAUUUGGAGAAGAGAAUACCUAGAAAUGAAAGUGAUCCUUGAGGUUGAGGAUGACAACAUUUUAGUGUUUCGCACUUUCGCUGUUGUCUAAGUUUGAGGGAGUUUGCUAACUCUGCGGAAAUAGUCCUCUGUUUCCAACACCCCCCAUACUAAUGAAAGGUCUCCAGACUCCAGUCCCGUUUUACUUGGGUUCUGUUGAUUUUUUUUUAUCAAUUUUAUGAAUUGGACGCAUAUACCAAAUAAAUUACAAGGCUUGGGGGAGUAAUGGUUUCAUUAUGCUCGAGAAAAAAUGGUGAUCUAUCAGACAACAACAACGACAACAAUAACAAUAAAAUUUAAUUAUUUUGUUAGUAUUUAUAAUUUUAUUAAAUUUUUAAUUUUUAGAAUUUAAAAAAUUAUAAUUAAAUUUUUAUAUUAAAUAAAAAUUUAUAAUUAAUUUGUAAUUAAGUCCUCAAUAAUAUUUAUUGUAAAAAAAACGUACAUUUAUCAUAAUAUCCUUUUCUUUUUCUUCUCUCUUUUUUUCCUCCUCUUCUCUUCAACGUUUUUGUUCUUCUUCUUUAACAAUAAUACGACUUUAGCAACAACAAUGUCAAAAUUAUUACUGAUGACCAAAUUCAUUAACACAUAGUAAAAACCAAAAUUAACAAUAAUUAUACAAAUUACCACGAUAAUGUGCAUUAUUAACAUGAAUGAACUCAAUUCAACUCAUCCCAAUUAUAUUUAUAUUAUCAAUAAUUAAAAUAUUUUCCUCAUCAUAAACAAAAUCCUUCUCUCUAACAAGUAACAACUCAAUCUUACUAAUCAAAUCCCUCAUAGUAUGCCUCUAGAUCCUAUCCAUAGACACAUAUCGAUCCAAGAACUCACGAUCUAUCAACGUCUUUCCCUCCACCACUCCAACACCAUCACCGCCAUCAACCUCAAACACACCGUUUUGGAACGCAGGAAGCUCCUCAUCCUCCAACGCCUCCCCGUCCUUCGCCAUUCGGAUCCUGUUAGGGACCAUCCUAACCCUCUUGCCCUCGCAAACUAAGCUCCGUAGCGUCUCACUUUUUUAGCAACAGAACCACUCGGGUCUGUGGAGGACCUAGACACGGCGUGUGAAGCUGUUUUUGAAAUUAAUGGUGGUAGUGCCGGAAAUACGACGUCAUUUUGGCAGAAUCAAAGACUCUCAUAGUAGUCGACCCAAAAAAAAAGACUCUCAUAGUAGGGACCAAUUUGCAAUUUCAUUAAAAGUAUAGGGACCAACUGUAUAAUUUUUUGGUGAACAACCAAGAGUAAAAAACAAAAGAGCAGAAAAGAAAAAGAAAAGAAAUCAGGUUCUUAACAGUAAGAGAGGACAAACCACCUCUGGCGGCUGGUGCCAAAGGUGAACCUCAUCAGCUCCGCUACCUCAAGAUCCCAUCUUUGCCAACCGAUCUGCCACGACAUUAGCUUCUCUCGGGAUAAGCUCAAAACAAAUAUCUCAAUCCCUUCUUAACUUCAAGUCAAAGAUCAAUUGUAUCACUUCUUUUUCAAGAUGCCAGAGUGGAACUUGCCAACCAGUUACUAGCUCAAAAGCUGCUGCGCAAUCUGUCUCACAGACAACAAGCUUAAGACCCGCCUCCCAAGCCCAAGCCAAACCUUUCCAUAUACUCCACAACUCCAUCUUGAUGACACUAGAUCCAAAGAAAUUUCUUGAGCAUCCCAUUACCCAUUGACUGGAGCUAUCGCGAAUUACCCACCCAAAACCAGCACAAUCAUCUCCCAAGUUCACACUCUCAUCACAAUUUAACUUCCAAGCACCAGGUUCUGGCGGAGACCAAGACAGAGAUUUUAAUCCCUGGAUGCAACACACUCGAUUCUGAGUUGUAUAUUCAAAAUCCACCAUGCACCUGUGAGCCUUGUAUGCAAUUGACCCAGCAGAUCCAAAAACUCCCUGAAAAUUACCCAUAUUUCUGUCUAGUCAAAUUGACCAUAUUAUAGCUGCAAAUUUGGAACAACCUGCAUUGAGGAGGCCAUGCUUGAACCAAUCAUGCACCUCUUGAGAGCCAAAGAAACACACAUAAGAAAAACCUAGAGAAACCCAAACUGAUCGCACCACUUCACAAUCCCGAAAACAAUGAAGAAUUGUCUCCAGAAGUUGAUUGCAACGUGUACAUAAGGAUGAGGAGGAGAGAUGUCGCUGAAAACGCAGAUAUUGAGUUGGUACAGCAUCAUGAAGGCAAAGCCACACUAGGAGCCUCAACUUUUCAGGGACCCGCGCCUUCCAAAGCCAAAGCCAAUUGAUAUUCCUAUCCCAAUUCAACUUAUUCCGAAUUAACCAUAAAUAUCCUUGUUUAGCAAAGUAAAGAGUGUGCUCCCAACUCCAACCCAAAUCACGAUCAGAAGCCGAAAUAUGUACUAAACUAAGAAUGUCUUCCCUUAAGUCCCUAGGAAUAAAAGAAUAAAUCCUCUCCAAAUGCCAAACUCCAUCACGGUAAACAUCUUCAAUGGUCAAAGCAGCCUCAUAGAUAUCAAGAAAUUCAACCCUUGCUCCUACUGGCCCAGAGUGCAACCAAGAUUCAAACCAGAAAUUCUUAGAAAGAUCUCCCACUUCCCAAAGAAACCCUUCCUUUAAUACGGAAGCUGUGUGCACAAUAGACUUCCAUAUAUACGAUGAAGAACCCAUUGCUUUAACUGCAAAUAGGUUUCUAUUCUGGAAGUAUUUCUGAAGCAUAAUCUUGAUCCACAGUUUCUCUUGAUUCAUCAAAAUUUGUCAAACUAGCUUUCCUAAUAAAGAAAAAUUGACCAACCGCGACUCCCGCAAAGCAAGACCUCCAAACUUUUUUGGAGUCGUCAAAACUCUCCAAGAUGCUAAAUGAAGACUACGGUGAUUAUGACUACCACACCAAAUAAAACUUCUAGUAAAUUUAUCAAUGUUAGAGCACACACCUGAUGGAAAAAAGGCUUACUUGCAUCCUAUAAAUAGGUAUAGAAGAUAAAACUGAUUUAGCAAGGCAAAUCCGACCAGCUUUAUUAAGGAAGCGACCUUUCCAAGAUGCUAGCCUAUUAGUAAGCUUAUCAACCACAUCAUUAAAAUCAGCUUUAGUAACUCUCCCAUGCUUGAGGGGGACACCAAGGUAUUUUUCCAGAGAAUUAGCAAAUCGGAUAGAAGAAAUACCAGUGAAGAAAUCCUUGCGUUGUCUAGAAACAUUCAUAGAACAGAUAGCACGAGAUUUGUCAAAAUUCACCUUCAUACCAGAUGCUCUGCAAAAGGUGGCCAUAGUGUCCAAAACAUGAAGCACUUGAGAUUUCUUCGCUUUGCAAAAAAGGAUAAGGUCGUCUGCAAAAGGAGAUGGGAGAUUACAGGACCUCCCCUAGACACAGUCACUGGUUUUCAUCUACCAACCUCCACUUGCCUAGUAAUGAGGCAACUCAACCUCUCCAUACAAAUAACAAAUAAAUAAGGAGACAUCGGGUCUCCUUGCCUCAAACCCCUCUUUGGCUGAAAACCAUCCAACCGGUUACCAUUCCACAUUAGAGAAAGGGAGGAAGACUUUACACAUUUCAUAAUAGGAGAAACAAUAGUACCUGGAAAGCCAAACAUUAGGAGAGAUUGCUCCAAAAACUCCCAGCUCACCCCUGUCAUAAGCCUUUUCUAGGUCAAUUUUAAAAGUAAGAACACCUUUCUUUGAUUUGGUUUUCUUCAUAAAAUGGAGAACUUCCUGGGCUACAAUGAUAUUGUUUGGGGCACCCCUUCCAAGAAUAAACCCUCCCUGCAAAGGGCCAAUGAUAUCUUGUAGAAAAGGUCGUAACCUCUCCACAACUACCUUAGUUAUAAUCUUGUAGAUGACAUUACAGAGGCUGAUAGGACGAAACUCUUUCAUGCAAGACGGGUUAUCAACUUUUAGGAAUCAGCACCACCAAAGUGUCAAACAGAGCACUAUCCAGAUCAAACCCAGCGAAAGCCUUCUUAACAAGUUCCCAUACAUCUGUACCAACCACUUCUCAAUAUUCCUUGAAGAAAAAAGCCUGAAAACCAUCGGCACCUAGGGCCUUAAAAGAGUUCAUGCCCAUAACCACCUUCCUAACCUCUUCUUUAGAAACAUUUCUUGUGAGACUUUCAAUAGCCUCACGAGAUAAAGAAGGUAAUUCCUGAUCCCCAUCACAUCAAGUUCUACCUGUUCCACAUUACAAAAAAGAUCUCUAUAAAAUCCAAUUGCACAUUCUUCGAGUUCUUGCGGAUCAGUACUCCAUCUUCCAUCCUCCAAAAAUAACCCCUGAACCUUGUUACGCUUCCUCCGCAUAAUGGUUUGCAUAUGAAAGAACUUAGUAUUCCUAUCUCCAAAUCUGACCUAGUGCUCUCGGGAUUUUUGAUACCAAAACAACUCCUCUUGCAUAAGCAGAUUACUAUAUUUAGCUUGUAACUCCCUUUUUUCCUGUAUAAGAGAUAAAGCAUCAACUCUCUCCAUUCUCUGUUGGAUACUGGUCACACGCCUCUCUAAUUCCUUCUUUCUUUCAAAAAUAUUCCCAAAUACAUCUCGGUUAAAGGCCAAAGUAUCAUCUCUGACCUGAGAAAAGCAACGAAUAGGAUUGGGUCUACCCUUGUCCCAAGCACCCCUGACCACUGACGAAAAACUUGGGUGAUAAGACCAAGCUACUUGAAAACGAAAAGGUUUUACCCCGACUCUUCUAUCAUUACCUUGACAUCGCAUCAUAAUGGGACAGUGGUCAGAAUGCAUCCUCGUCAAAUUCUCCACAUAGCUUUUCGGAAAACGAAAGCACCAAGCAUCAGUAGCCACAGCCCUAUCCAACCUCUUCGAGAUGAACCGAUUACCCUGCAUAUGCCUGAACCAAGUGUACAAAGAUUCAUGAGCUCCCAAAUCAAUCAAACCACACUCAUCUAGGAGAGCUCCAAACCGCUCUGCCCUUCGAGAGACAAAGUUCCCACCUUUAACCUCGGAUGAAAGAAGGAUCUCAUUAAAAUCCCCAAUAGCUAAUAAAGGACCUGAAUAAUUUCUGGAAAAAUAUGUCAAAACCCUCCAAGCUUCUUCCCUUAUGCUAGGAACGGAACUUGCAUAAAUUGCUGCAUAGACCCAAGAGAAACCGCCAUUCGAAAACUCAACACACACCACUUGCGAACUCGCUGCCACGACAUUGCAAGAUACUCCGGGCCAUGCAGAGAGCACCCAAAUACCUCCACUAUGCCCCUGAGCUUCUUCAAUAUGAAUAGGAGUAUAACCUAAUCUGUUCCAAAAGACAGCCAUCUUUUGGAAAGCACAAUGAGUCUCUAAAAUGAUAAAAACAUACGGAUGAAAAUUCUUUACCAAUUGUUUCAGAUGCACCCGAGCCAGCUUAUUUCUAGCUCCUCUCACAUUCCAAGCUAUAAUGUUUGCACAAUCCAUAUUAAUAUUACUUGGAGUGAGACCCACACCUCAGAUUAUUUGAGGGUAGUGAGUGAGGUCUCCACUGUAACCACACUGUGCCCAUUCUCAACCAGGGAAUUCUGAAGAGAAUUAGGCCUUAAUCUCUUUAAAUUGUUUUUGAAUGGCGUUUUAGAAGUCCCCGCGCCUUGCGAAUAAGCCACUGCCCGUUCUGAACCAGGUCCUUGCUUGCCACUCGUCACACCUUGAGCAGAGGUAAAACCUGACGAAGCUAAUUUAAAGUUCCUCGCUUGUUUUAGCACUUGAUUGCCCUUACUUAUGUGUAAAGAUGAUUCAACCACAUUGAUGCCUUUCAUAGCAGAUUCUCCUUUAGCAACAUAAUUAGAAGAUUUAUCCACAUAAAUUUUUUUGGACUUAUCCUGGUCAUGCCUACCCAAAAAGACCUUCUUGCCCUUUGCCUUUCUUUCCACUUUGGUCCACGUUGUAUCCCCUGCAUGUGCCCCUUCCAUUACAUGCACUUCCUUAUCCUUAUUCUUCUCUAUCCCAAUUGUAGCACUACCAAAAACAAAAGGCUUCUCAAUAUUAGAAGAAAAUGGCACCUGAUCUAUCUUCUCAUGAUCUUGUUCCUUGUCUUCAUUCACCCCUGUUUCAUCAAUGUUCACCGAAAUUGAACUAAUCAAUUUACAGUCCACACUAACAUGCCCAUAACAACCACACGUAUUACAGACCAACUCAAGGCUUUCAUAUUCAACAUCCAAAACCCUCCCAUCAACCUCAACACUACGAGUAAUGGGAACGCCUAAAUCAAUCUCCACACAAGCCCUCGCAUACUUCCCUCUUGCUGCCAUCUUAGUUGCUACAUCGACUUUCACUGGCUUUUCCACCGCAGCGGCAAUCCUCAACAUAGCCUUCUCAUAGUAGUAACGAAUCCCUAAACCGUAAAAGCAUACCCAUACCAUGGUGGAUCCAAAAACCUCCUCCUCUAAAUAAAACUCAGGUGACCAUGGCUUUACAGCAAGAUAGAACCCAGAUAUCAUCCAAGGACCACCAAGUAAUACCCUCUCCCUCUCCCGCUCACUCCGGUUCUUCACCAGAAAAUAACCAUUUCCUACAUCCAGAACUUGAAACAACUUUUAAAAUAUAAAAAACUAAUUAAAAAUUUGAUAAAAUUAUAAAUAUUAAUAAAAUAAUUAAAUAUAAUAAUAAUAACAACAAAGAGAUAUGUUAUCUUUAGAAAAGUAUAAUAUCGACACAUAAUUUUAGGGUUUAUGAUUUAAAAAAUUUGUUGAAUAGUAUAAAGUUAAAAGAGGCUGAAUUAGUAUGUUUGAAGUAGUUAACAUCACACUUACCAUAAUUUUGCUGAUACACCUAAUAUAACUUAAUAUACACCUGUUUAUAAAAUUUUGUCCAACUCUACUAUAUAUUUUUUUGAGUGAAGUAGAAGACCAAAAAUAUUUAAUAUUAUGCUAGGAAAGAAUAUAUUAGAAAAUUUAUACUUAGACAAUAUUCAUGCUCUAACAAUUAAUUAAAGUUAAUUUUUGUUUCUGCCUCUUGAUAAUUAUUUAUUUAUAUUAAAAAAAUUAUCAAACAAUAUUGACAAAUCAACUUAUCAUUGGGAAAAGAUUGAAUGAAAUAAAUAAAAAAUUGUCACCUAAAAAAAUAUUGCACUCCAUAGCUAUUAGUUAUUAUCAUUAAAAUUAGGGACGCUAAAUAAUAAUUUUUUACCAAGAAACAAUGACUGCUCUUUAGGUCUGUUAAUUUCAAUAAAUUUUUUUAAUGUGAAUUCAUUCAAGGUUUAAUUAUUCUGUUAGUUCUUAUAGUUUCGCAAAAUUUUUAAUUAGGUCCCUAUACUUUUUUUUCUUUUAAUUGGGUCUCUAUACUAAUUUUUUUUUCAAUUAGGUCUCUCUUAGUAGUAAUUGAUUUAAUUAUAUAGGGACCCAACUAAAAAAAAUUGGUGCAGAAACUCAAUUGAAAAAAAAAUUGGUGCAGGGACCCAAUUAAAAGGAAAAAAAAGGUAUAGAGACCUAAUUGAAAAUUUUGCGAAACUAUAGAAACUAACAAAGUAAUUAAACUUUCAUUCAACAACAUGUAUUUCUAAAUAUUUUUUUUUUUUGUAAAAUGUAUUUGUAAACAUUAAGGACCUUGGGAAGCUUCAAAAAUAAUUUUUUUGAACUUUUAACUUUUGAAAAGUAGUAGUAUUAAUGUCAAGUACAAUUUUCAAAAUCAAAUUGCAACUUUCUAAGAAGAUAUUUAAGAGCUUAUAGAGAAGUUUAAAAAAUGAUUUCUCUCAUAAUACUACUACUUUUUAUCACAUUUCUAUAAAAUAAGCACUUUUAGAAUUAAAAAUUCAAAUACAAAAUAAUUUAUUUAUAAAUUAUUUUUAAUAUAAUUAUUUAUUAUUUAAGCUAUUUUUUUUAAAAAAUUCUGCAGAAGACCAAAUCUAAGUCCCAAUAAAUAAACCCCCAAAGAGAUUCUAAUAUACAUCAUUCCAAAAAAAUCUCACAAGAAGCAGAGAAAAAAUAUAGUAACAAUAAUUAAUAAAAUUAAAAAAAACACACAAAAAGGGUCUCUGAGGCCCAUCCGUAAAAAAACUUCACUAAUUAUUUAUCCUAUAGAAGAAACAAAACUUCUGUAACGAAGCAGAAAAGCUAUCGAAGACUAGGUAAAUGGACACACGAUUCGGUGGUCGAGGAACCUUUGGACCACUUAGUAAUCCAAGUAGAAAACAUGUUUUUGGAGUUUUUUUAUCAAUUACUACAUAGUGUGUGUUUGGAUUACAGUUUGUAAACGAGAGUUUGUAUAAAAUUGAUUUUGCAAACUUGAUUUUGAUAAAAAAUAAGUUUGUGUUAAAAUGAUUUAUGUUUGGUAAUUUUUGUAUCAAAAUUGAUUAUAGUAAAAUAAAUAUUGUUUGUCUUAUACCAUUCAAAAUCACUUUUAGAUAAAAAAUUACUAAAAUAGACCUCAACUUAAAUAAUUUUUUUAUAUUAUCCUAAUUUUAUAAAUAAUAUAAUAACAUACAUGAAGGAUAAAGUUGGUAAAAGAUAAAUAAAUAGUUAGUAUCAUGACUAAAAAGCUCGUUAGGAAAACGGAGAAGCUAAAAAUAGUUGCUUCUUGUAAACGUUGGUUUUGGCAGCAGAAUCACUUCUGCGUUCAUAGAAAAAAAUUUUGCCAAACCAAAAGUUGAAGCUUUCAAGAAGUCUAAACGUACUUCUUCCCUUCUAACGAGUUUCCCAAACACAUCCAGAGUCAUUCUACAAAACAAACCUCAUCAUUAUACCAGCAACAAAAUAUAUUUUCUUCGUCCAAACUAGACCAAACUACAGGAUCAAUGAUUUAAGUUAAGUGAUAAAAAUUGUUCUUAUGUUAAUACAUUGAUAUUGGUGCAAGAAGAUAAUAAGAUCCUGAUCAUGGUGAUUGAAAAAAAAAAUGGAUUAAUGAGGAUUUGUACAACCUAUUUGUGAUUUAUGAGGGUAGAAUAGAAUAAACUGUUCAAAAUCCUACAGAAUUCUAAAAAAUGAGAACAUUAGCAAUUGAUUGAGUAGAUGGAUAUUCCAUUACCAAUCGAUUGGAUUACAUUACCAAUCGAUUGAAUUUGGCUAAAACUUCAAUGUCAUUACUUUUCAAUCGAUUGUAUUUGGCAAAUCCAUGUUGUUUUCGUGAAUUCAAUCAAUUGAGUAACAACAACAAUUGAUUGCUUUGAGGCAUUCAUUCGAUUGGAAAGUAUAAACAAUCGAUUGGUUUAAACUUUUUACCAUUCUACCUUACAAUUUUCAAUCGAUUGUUUUGAAAAACCAAUCGAUUGAAUUUUAAGGAAACACGAUUUGGAAGCCAUGGACGAACGUAACGAGAUCAAAGUUAAUUUUUUAAUCAAUUGAAAUUAUUAGGAUGAAUAGAGGAUAUAAUUGGUUGUUAUUUUUGUAUUUGAUUGUUAAUAAAUAUAAUAGAUAAUUGAUAAAAUAAUAAUUUAUAAAAUAAAAAACUAUUUUUAUAAUUAAAUAAAAUAUAUGGGGUUGAUUUGUAAUUAAAAUUAGUUCAAGGACUACGUAACAAUUGAUAAAAAAAUUCCAAAAAUAUGUUUUCUACUUGGACCACUAAGUAGUCCAAAAGUUCAUAGACCACCGAAUCUUGAGCCAGGUAAAUGUAUCACUCUAGAGUAUGCUAUCUCAGUUCAUCAUGUGAAGAAAAAAAAAAUUUUCAUUAACAUAGCAAUAGCCUUUUAUUAUAUCACAUUUUCUUUACUUCUUUUAUUUCACUUAAAAAAUACCGAUAAAAAUUAUAUUUUAUAGACAACAACAUACGUGUAAAUAUUUUUAUAUAAAAAUAAUAUUUAAAAAUUAUUAAAUAAUUUAAUAAAUUUAACUAAAUUAUUAUCUAACAAAUUUUAAUUAUUAAUUUUAUAUAAAGAUAAUUUAAUAUAAGUCUAUUUUAUAACAUUAAUUAAAAAAAGCAAAUUGAAAAGAUAUAUUUUCUCUUUGAAUAAAUACUUAAAUUGGUCUCUGAAAAAGUAUCCGAUCUCUAAAUUAAUUUUCAAAAAGUAAAAUUAAUUAGACUUGUCCCCAAAAGAUUUAAAAAUGGUCACGUUAGUUCUUCCAUCCCCUCCGUUUAUUCCGUCAGUAACGACGUUAAAUCUUGCUUAUGUGGCCGUUAAUGUGUCAUAUCAGCAUGACAGGUUGGUGCAGAAUGGCUAAUGACAAGAUAUGUUUAAAAAUUUUUGUCAAAUUAGAGUGUGUUUGUGAAACACGUUGGAGAGGAUAAAAGUGCGUUUCAAUGCUUUGAACGCUGUUCUUUAAUGUUUGGCAAUUUUUCUUCUCUAAACGCCAAUGUGAUUCUGCAUCCCAAAAACUCGUUUACUAGAAGCAAGAAAUUAUAGUUUAUGCGUUUACUCAACUUACGUUUUUUUUUGUGACUGAAAUAAAUUAAACAAAGAAAAACAAAACAAACAAAACAAGGAACUGUUUAAAUAGAGGGACAGUCCCGUUUAAGACUAUUCUUAAACUCCUCCCAAGGUGAAAGAAGCUCCACAUGCAAAAGUUGUAACUUCAUCGCCAUCUUUGCCAUAGUAUCUGCCACCGUAUUUGCAUCUCUCAUAAUCAAACGAAAGUCAACACGCCAAUUCCAAUGCAUGAUAUCUCUUAUUUUGAGCAUCAGUGGAUCAAUAAACCCAAAAUCAUCUUGAGUAACAAGAUUAAAUGCUUCCACACAAUCCGUCUCACAAAUAACAUCUCGUUGACCCACAUCCCAAGCUAAGAGAUAUCCUCUCCAAAUAGCAAAUAAUUCUCCUUGAAGAAUACUAUUACUCCCAAUCAUUCCCAAACACCCCCUUUGCCAGCUCCCAUUACAAUCUCUAAUAACACAAGCAAAAUCAACACUAUCACCCGAACCAAAAUAACUAGCAUCACAAUUAAUCUUAAAAGUACCAAUGGAUGGGGGAUUCCAAAAACCAUUUAGAGUAGAGGGAAGGAACAUACGUUGUAAUUCAAAAAUAUUCCUAAGCUCCUUUUCUGAAGUUAAUGCUAGACAAAUCACUUUUUUCGGAGGCCAAGUUUCAUGGGGAUUAAAGAUGUCAUUAUUCCUUGCUCGCCAUAUCCACCAAAGUCUUGAAAAGAACUUGAACGGAUGCUCUCUGCUAUGAUACAAGAACCAGUUCUUCAAAUCCAAAGGAUGACAAGAAAUAUCCAACCUAUGCCAGACAAGCUGAGCUUUUGGACAAUUCCGAAUACAAUGUAAAACCAAUUCCUGGCUAGAAAGACAUCUUGGACACCUAUCCGAUGACGACAUCCCUCUUCUAAAGUGAAAACUUGCAGUAGAAAGAGCCUCCUUAAGACACAACCAAGCCAAAAACUUAUGCUUUUCCGGAACAAGCUGACGCCAAAGCCAAAGUCAAUUCUCCCGCUCCUCCCAACCAAACAGCUGUUUACACAACCACAAGUAACCAUUGCGUGAGUCAUAGACUUUGGCAGCAGACCCACUCCAAUACCAACCCACUUCCGGACCUGCUUGUUCAUCUGGAUUGUAAGAGAGAAUAUUAUCUUUCAGAUUUUGAGAUAAAUGAGAAUAAAGAGUAUCCAAAUGCCACCUACCAACCGACCAAAUAUCAUGUAUCCGGAGAUUCGAAUCAGAAAUGUGAACAUAAUCCAUCUCAUUAGAUAACGUCCUUCUCUCCUCCAGCUAGAAAACCAAAAAUUCUGGUUCAAAUCUCCAAUACACCAAGCAAACCCAUCCUUCAACACUUUUUAAGCCUUGCAAAGACACCUCCAAAUGGGAGAGUCAUUGUUCUUAGGAUAACUAAAACAGUCAUAUAGAGAUGAUCGGUAUUUGGCAUCCAACGACCCAUAGCUUGUUUGGCUGCUGGAAAAAAGUCCAAACUAGCUUUCCAAGAAGAGCAAUAUUUACACAAUAAGGAUCUCUAAUCCCCAAACCUCCAUAUUUUUUUGGAGUAACCAGUACCUUCCAACUAACAAGAUUCAAUCCUCUUCCAUCAACUUGUCCUUUCCAAAGAAAAUUCCUCAUCAUAGACUCCAAUUUACUAAUGAUUCUUUUGGGAAAAAUAGAGACCUGCAUCUGGUACGUGAGAAUAGCAGCGGCAACAGAAUUAACCAAGCAGAUUCUAGCAGCCCGAUUGAGUAAACUCCCUUUCCAGCUUGCUAGCCUACUCCGAAUCUUAUCCAGGACACCAUUGAAAGCUGAGCGAGUCACCCUAGAAUGGCUAAGGGUAACUCCAAGAUACUUGCCAAAGUCCUGGACAAAUCUGAUAGAGGAUACCCCAGUGAAAACCUCUUUCCUUGUUGCAGAGACAUUUUUGGAGCAAAGCGCUUUAGACUUCUCCACAUUAAUCUUCAUCCCAGAUGCUUUGCAAAAAGUCUCUAAAACCAACAUCACAUUUUGCACUUGCCUCUUUGUAGCUUUACAGAAUAGAAACAAGUCAUCCGCAAACAUUAAGUGGGAUAUUCUUGGUCCCCCUCUAGAAAUAGCAACCGGCUCCCACAAGCCCAAAUCAACCUGAUGACUAAUAAAGCAUGUCAAUCGCUCCAUACACAACACAAAAAGAUAGGGUGACAUAGGGUCUCCUUGUCUAAGACCUCGGCUAGGAGUAAAGCCAUUCAAACGACUCACAUUCCAAAGAAUAGAUAAGGAAGAAACAGUGACACAAUUCAUAAUCAAAUUAAGUGUAGGAAUAGGAAAACCAAAGCUCCUAAGGGUAUGAGCUAAAAACCUCCAGUCAACUCUGUCAUAAGCUUUCUCCAGAUCAAUCUUAAAGGCCAGUGUGCCUUUCUUUGAUUUAGUCUUCUUCAUAAAGUGGAGGACUUCUUGAGCAACAAUGAUGUUGUCAGGAGUUUCUUGUCCCGGAAUAAAUCCUCCUUGAAACGGGCCAACAAUCUCCGCAAGAUGAGGAUGAAGCCUAUUAACAAGGACCUUCGUGAUGAUCUUGUAAACUACAUUGCAGAGACUAAUCGGCCUGAAAUCUUUCAUAGAUACCGGUGAUUCAACCUUUGGAAUGAGAACCAGUAAAGUCUCCAACAUUCUCGGAUCAAUAGUAACACCGGAGAAUGCCUGCUUAACCAUCUUCCAAACAUCAAGACCAAUGAUCUCCCAAUAUUCUUUGAAGAAGAAAGAUUGAAACCCAUCAGGACCCGGAGCUUUAAAAGAGUUCAUGUGAAAAACAGCUGUUUUGACUUCCUCCAUAGUAACCGGUGCCGUAAGAUUAUUGCAAGCUUCCUCAUUCAGAGAAGGAAGAGGCACAUCACCAAGGCAACCCAAAUCAACAUCAUCCAAAUGACAGAAUAAGCUUUUAUAGAAAGACUCUGCUUCUUGACUCAUAACCUCUGGAUCAGUUUUCCACACUCCAUCCUUGAGAAAAAGGCCAUGAAUCUUAUUAUGCUUCCUUCGCGCAAGAGUUUGAAUAUGAAAGAAUCUUGUAUUCCUAUCCCCGAACCUUACCCACUGCUCUCUGGACUUUUGGAACAAUAGGAGCUCUUCUUGCACUAGAGUAUUAUUAUAAUCAUCAAGCAAUUGUUGCUCUUUCUGACGCAAAUAAAUACUAUCCACCACCUCCAAACGCUUUUGUAAAUAAUUAAUCUGCUGCUCUAAUUCAUAUUUCUUAACAAAAAUGUUACCAAAUACCUUCGAGUUAAACUCUAGUAAAUUCUUCUGUACUUCCGAAAGCUUGCCAUGAAUUUCUCUAUUACCAGACCACCAUAACUAGUUCACAAUAUCCCUAUACCCAGGAUGAGUAGCCCAAGCAGCAACAAAUCGGAAAGGUCGAUUCCCUUUAGGCUGAGGACGACCUUUACAACGCACCAGAAUAGGGCAAUGAUCAGACUGAAGCCUAUUUAAAACUUUUGCAUAAGCCUCUGGAAAGAUAGUUAACCAACUACUAUUUAUAAAGACUCAAUCAAGCUUUUUUGCCACGUCAACAUAAUUUUUCACCCUCCUGUACCAAGAAAACCGCCUCCCAAUAGUCUUCAGAUCAAACAAACCACUAUCCCCUAAUGAAGUAGCAAAUAUGUCUGCUCUUUGAUGAGAAAAUUGACAGCCCUUAGAUUCAUGAGAAAAUUUGACUUCAUUAAAAUCACCAAGAACAAUCCAAGGUCCUUGAAAAACCAUGGAUUGUGCAACAAGAUAAUCCCAAAGGAGAACCCUUUUAUUAAAUUGAGGACUGCCAUAAAUACCACUACACCUCCAAAUUAAAUUAUCAAAGUGAACCUCAACAGUAACACCCUGAUCAAAAACAUCAAUGAACUUACAACAAACACCCUUCAUAGAGGAUAGAAACCAAAUACCUCCCUUAUGCCCCUCUGCUUCUACUAUACCAACAGAGUGAUACCCCAACCUUUCUCAAAAUAAUUUUAAAUGCUGAAAAGGGGAGUGAGUUUCAACCACAAUAAAGAAAACAGGUCUAAAUUUCCUAACAAGUUCCUUACAAUGCACCAGGGCUAACUUAUUAGAAGCAGCCCUAAUAUUCCAAACAAUCAUAUUUAAACUGUCCAUAAAUAAUAGGGACAGAAUAAAUAAGAACAUAAACUCUAAACAGAAUCACCAACCUCAAUAGGUGGUUUGUCCUGCGGUACUGGCAUACUCUGAUCCUCAAUAAUUGCCACCUUCGGACCCCCUGACACUGCACCUGCCAUGCUCCCAUCUACUAAGGUUUCCUCCGUUGUGCCACCAUUUUUAUCAACUGGCGAGUUCUGCAAGGAGGAAGGCCGAGGACGCUUCCGUAGAGAAAUUCCACGACGUGCAGGAGUUCUGCGCGAUGGAGAUGGCGCAAUUUCAUGUUUUUCUCGCUUCUCCAUCCUAAUGCCAAUUGAUUUGCCUCCAUCACCAUGCAAAUUGGGCCUUGGAACCCUUCUCGAACCAAACUUGCUGCUUUCCAUCUUGGUCCUUCAAACCUGAUGACUGGCCCAUUGUGAAUUUUCUCUUACGCAGCACUUGUUGCCAGCCCUCUCCAUCAUCCAUGCAUGCCUCAUUAACAUGACCAUCAGGCACGUGAGGAGCCAAUGAUUCCGUAACCACAUCCUUCCCUUUAACAACUCCUAAUUUCUCACCCAAAUUACGAGGAUUCUCACCCAAAUCACGAGCUUCUGAUUCAGCCUCUUUUUGAAUCUCAUGAUUGUUAUGUGGCACUAGUGUCGGGGCUUCAUUAUUUUUUCCAUCACCAAAAGAAUUUCUGUUUCCUUCCAAGGACUCUUUCUCCAUGCACAACGAUUUAUCAUGCACAUACCGUGCAUAAGUAGCACAAAUCAACUGUAAACUCUCGUACUCCACUUCAUAAGUCACACCCUCCACUAUAAUAUGUUUGAUUACAUGCAACUCAAGAUUAAUUUGAACACAAGCUCGGACAUAUUUUUCUCUUUCUGCAAGCUUAGUAGCCAAAUCUACUUUCACCGGAAUCCCUAUUGCAGAAGCAAUUCGCAGCAUUGCUUGUUCCUGGUAGCACCAAAUUGGAAGUUCCGAGACUCGAAUCUAUACCAGCGUUGAUCCAAAGAAUUUUUCGCAUGGCCUAAAAUCCACAUCUCAUGGCUUUACUGCAACAUAGUGAGCCUCUAUCAACCACGGACCACCAAGAAUGACUUUCUCACUAUCUGCAGCAAUAUCAAAUUUAACCAAAAAAUAUCCAAACCCCACAUCCAACAAAUCAAACCUCCUUUGAUGCGUCAUACUAUCCGAAGCUUAUGCAUGAGAGCCGUGUAGCCAUAAUGCUUAUCCAGCACCUUGAUCACGAUGGCUUCCUUAUAAGGUUCAGCUAGACAGCUCUUUGCCUCCUUGGUAAAACUGACACUUGGUGGACGAGAAUCACCCUACUUACCUGUCACUGUCGUCGCGAUACCAUCCCUAGAUAAAGACCCUACUAAUGCAAAGGCCUUAGACUUUUCUGCACCAAUGACUUUAUCUCUAAAAGAGACAUUGGCUGGCUUUCCUAACCCCUCUCGAGAAGAACCCUCCUUAACACCGGAUAUACACACACCCACGCUCUCCCCCUUGUCUCUUCCGAGGGCAUGGCCAUCUUUCUCACCGUGUUUCACCCUCAACCGCUCACCCCCGCUAUCUCUUUCUCUCAUUCUCCUUGAGUAUGGAGUACGUACUCUUUCUCUGCUAGGAUUUUUUCAAAGGAAAGUAAUAUUUGUGUUAGAAACUUGUUACUUUACUCAACUUACAUUUAGGUUUAUUGCUAGUUAUUAUUGAUUUUUUCAUAAUUUUUUAAAAAUAAAUACUGAGAAUAUUAAAACAAUUAUUCUAAUUUUUAUGUACUGUUUACUAUUUUAAUUUUUUAUAAUAUGUAUUAUUGUUCCUAUUAGAAAUGAUAAAAUUAAAUAUACUUAAAAAAAUAAUAUUAUAAUUUAAUAUUAUAUUUUUUUAGUAAUUAAUUAAUUAUUUAUCUAGAAAUGAUUUUAACUCAUAUUAUCCAAAUAAUAUUUAUUUUAUCAAAAUCAAUUUUAGUAAAAAUUACCAAAUAUAAAUUCUGUUGGCACAAACUCACUUUUACUCAAAAUUAAUUCUACAAAAUCACUUUUAUUUAAACUCCAAUUUGUCCAACCUAAAUCCAAACAUACACUUAAUCCUAAAGAGAAUAAACCCUAAUCCCUUAUUCUCGUUAAAUGCCAUUGUUGUUACAGCAACAAAUUAAUUCUACAGAGGUUAAAAUUGUUGUUGAACUGCAUUAUGGGUAGCCGUCUAGUUGGCCAGAGUUUAGACAAGGAUACAAUAUGGUUGAAAACUAUGCAUAAUAUAAUAGAUAGUCCUACUAAUAACUUAUAAUCCUCCUGCUUCUACCUUCAUCUUAAAAGCCAGAGAUUUUGAUUAAACUUCAAAGCUACUUGGUACUGUACAGUGUAUCAAAAGAAAGUUGAUGUCUUUGGCCUUGAGCUAUUUAAACUCUAUAUUUUUUUCUGUGUGUGUUUUUGAAAGAUUUUUGAGGAUGAAUGUUGAAAUUGAAAUGAUCUGAAAAAUGUAAAUAGCCUUAUAAAAAAUGAUACAAAGAAUGUAUUCAUAAUAAAUAAAUGCAAUUCAUAUUACUACUACAUACCUUCUGAAACUCUCGUUCCAUUCGUGGAGAAGCGAAAAUGGGGUGAAGUAGACAGAAAAUUUUGGGCAAAUUGCAACGCUACCAAACGUCUCCUUUACAUUUCUACUAGUUCUAAAGCCUGCUCUUGCUCUUCCAUCAGUUGUCUCCUAAGAGAUCUAGCAUUCGCACAACUUCUUGGAACUAAAAAAAAUUGAAAAUGGUUAUUUUAGUGACUAAUGAAAGAAUGAGCACAGAACAAGUCAUAUGAACAGGACAAGUAAUAUAGAUUCCAAACAAGAUAAUAUGAUACUCACUUGAGUUCAUUUCAGAAUCCAUGUCUAUGUGGUGAGGUGAGUAACACAUAGAGUGUUGAAUUCUAUCAGCAUAUUUCCUGCAACCAAAUUAAAGUUGAUAUGAAAAGUUUUUUUGAAAAAGAGGUAUCUGUCAACAUAACUAGCAUGAUCAAAAGAUAAAAUUAAAUUACUAAAUUUCAUUCAUACACAAAGGAUGAAAGUAAAUUAAUUAAUAUAUAUUAUUGGAAAAUUAUCUAGUGUUCCGGACAAAAGUAUCGAAACACGGUGUUCAGGGUACGAAAAGGUAGGCUGCUAAAUUUUGUCAUGUAGUAAAGGAUGAAAUGGCAAAAAUAACCCUAUAUCUCUUAAUCAAUUGACAAGAAUAACCAGCUCUAGGCUAUUGGUAAAUUCCUAUUUUGUUGAAGUCGUUUCUGCAAUGAAUGAUGGAGGGCGUGGGCCUGAGCCAUUUAGUUGUUGCCCUGAAUUAUUGUUAGAGGUCCAACAGUUAUAUUAGGCAGAAGAGGAGGCUGGAAAACAGUGGUGUGACUAAGACUCUGAGAAGGACCUAAGGUGGUGGCGUGAGUUGUUGCCUCAACACGACGGAGGUGUGUGUCGGCCCGGAGUAAUUGUUGGAGGUAAAAGGGUUGUAAUUGGCAGGGCAGGAGGCAGGAAAAGUGGUGUUAGUGUUGUGAAAAAGCAUCUGAAAAAGAGUUGGGGUGAAGUUGUCGGUUGCCGCAACAUGACGGAGGUGUGUGUCGUCGGUGGCGAAGGAAAUGGCAGGUGAGUGUCGAAAUAAGCCAGCAUGUUGUUGCUUCUACAAGAGGUGAGAAAAUUUGGUAUUGAUAAUUAUCGUUGUUUGUUGUUGGAGUGUGGGUUGUAUCCCAUGAAUUGGAGUGACUUCGACUCCAUAGCCUAACCUACCAAUGCCAUUUGGAUAAAUAUGUAUAUGUAAUAUGUUUAUGAGUACUGAGUACUUUGUAGUAAGCAUCACAAUAUAAGUGGUCCAGCAUGAAUGUCAUAUUCGACCCUUCUUUAUUAUACAUUUGCUUGUAUAGAGAAGCAAAUAAAAAGAUUAACAUUGUGGUACUCAAGUUGUAUAUGAAAGAUACAAACAAAUAAAAGAGGGUUAAACACAAGUUGAUUAUUGUGGAAUGCCGUAUAGUGACAUUCCAAUUACAUUUAUAUAUGCCCUGCUUCCCUUUCCCUCGUUUCCUCUAUUAUUGUCUCUUUGGAAAGUUGUAACAAAUUUAUUUAUACUCAUGAAAAUAAAUGUUCCAAAACUCUAUAUUGCUAUUGUUCAAUUAAGUGGAUAAGUUUGGGUACUUAGAUCUUGAGUACUUUAGUUUGAAGUUGUAAUGAUUUUUUUCCUUUAUCUUUUUAUGGAUUUUGUAUGAGGAAUUAGAAAUAGUCAUAUGUCACUAAAAUACAGUUGAUAUAUAUUUUAGGAAUAUCAUAAUCACUCAUGUUCAGUUUUGUUUAUAUGAAUUCAGAUAAAUUAUCUUUCGGAACUAUAGUUUAAGAUUCUUCUUUGGAUAUAUGACUUAGAAUUCUAAAAAAUUAGUGAUUUUAGUUCAUUAAUCAAGUUAAUAUCAGUUCACAGCUGAAUGAAAACUUAUAUCUUAUCCCUCUUGUCUACAACUCUUUACCAUAUAAUAUCAGUAUUUAAAAUAAAUUAUAAAUAACUAUGAAAGUUCCUGUUGCAGGCUAAAUUCAUAUGUACUGUUUGGUGUGUAAAAUAAAAAACUGUUGUAAUUUCAAAAUGAUGAGUUGGAAUAUAUUACAAGAAUGUUAGUUACUUGUGUGAUCAACAUUGACGAUGAAAAUAAAUUAAUGUAUAAAUGAAAUAAAUAUGCAUUAUUCUAUGCAAGUGAGUCUCCAAGAUAUUAGUUAAAAGUGUGAACCCACUUAACUAAAAAAUAUUUUCACUCUUUGAAUUUAAUAAUUUGGACCACAAUUUUCUUGUGAUUUUCACUCUUUUGGCUUGAUUUGUUUAGUAUUGUUGAAUGUGAUUCUCAGUGAAACAACUUGGGGGAUGGCCAUGGGGUAGUGAUGUUCGAAAUGGAGUCAUGUAGCGGAACAGUGCCGGAAUUUGAGAUUGGAGGUGUUGAGCCAGUAGGUGGCCUUGAUGGAAGUGGUGAAUGGCAUUGCAACACAUUGGUAUGAAUAAUUUUGUGUUAAUUUGCAUGUACUCAUUAGUAGCCAAUCUUUGUGUUAUAAUUGCCUAUGAAACACCAUAUAAUGGAACCACCAUUUAUGUGUAGAAUUUUCUUUUAUUACCAUUAAAAUACAAUAGAUGAAUACCAUUCGAUGACAUUCAAAGAAAGAUCAUUAAACAUAAAUAUAUAAUAUUGAAAAUAUUGUAUCACAUUUUUUAUUAAUAUAUGUAAAUGCAAUCAUUAGGAUUGGUAACUAGUAAUAAGUUAAUAAGGAGCGUGUGGGAACAAAAAUUUUUUUUUUUUGUGCGACUGAAAAUAAUCCUUUUCUCUUCAUUGUAUAUGAUAGAAAUAAUCGAAUUGGAGUGAUAGAAUUAUUGCAACAAAUUUAAAUUGGUAUUUAUUUGAGUUUAUCGUGUGGUUGAAAUAGAGUAGUAAGGGAUUUCAUGGUGUGCUUGCAUUUUGCAGGAAAGCUCGCUAGAGAUCUUGAAAUGGAAGCGGAAGAGCAAGAGGGAGAACCGCUGGAGGAUUGCGAUGAAGAAGAUAAUGACAUCUCUGAACCAGUCAUGUACAGUGGCGCAGAGAUAUUGGAAAUGGAAUUCAAUAACCCUGAUGAGGCAUCCCAUUUCUAUGAACAAUAUAGCCGGGCGAAGGGUUUUGCCAUGAGGCAGGGAAAGAAACUGAAAAAUAAGAAGGAGAAAUAAACUAAUCCAUAAUUGAAAUAAACUAAUCUUCGUUCAUUAAAUUGAAAUAAACUAAUCCAUAAUACCGCAAAUUUCGACAACUCACUCAUAUUUUUUACAAAUUUAUGAAAACUUCUAGCAAGGACAAAAAAAUAAAUAAAUAAAUUCACGUCUCUUAUGACAUAGUCUAAAAAAUCUAUAAUUAGAUAAAUUUAUACAUACAUUAAUGCAUAUGUAUGUAUAUUUUCUUUUCAAUUUCUAUUUUUAAAUAUUUUUUUUGCAACAACCAGUGCAUAAAUGAUAAAACAAAUUUCUUAUCAUGUAGUUCUAAAUCCAAAUUAAUGUCAAAUUUGUGUUUGCCCCUCCUAACUUUCUUUCAUAGCCAAAAACAACUUACUAUUUUUUUUGUCAAUAAAAUUUUAUUAUUCCAUUCACUGAGAAAAAAUGUAUUAUUUUAACUUCUCCAAUAUUAUUUUUUUAAUUUAGUUAUUAUCAAAUUUUAAAUCGCAACACUAUCAUCUGCAAUAAUCUCAUUACCAUAAAUUUUAAUUUUUAUCAUCAUUGCCAGAUUUUUUAGCAGUCCAAACUUCUCAAACAUGCCUUGACCCAUUUAUGGGACCUGACCUGCAUCACACACACUUGGCCCAAAUAUAAUUCGGCUCGGCUAACCAACAAAAUGCCUAGGCUAAUAGCUAAUGCCUUCACAUCCCAGCCUUUAAUUGUAAGGGAACACAAGUGAGAUUAUCUGUGUCUGUGGACUUCUCAACUACUCUACCCGUUGCAUACCAUUGAGCAGUCCUGCUUUUGGUGUAUACUCAAAAUAACUUUCCACAAUCUUAACCCCUCAAAUUUAUUUAUAAUAUAUCUGUGUGGUUCAAAUUGAUGGAACAUCACAUUCCGCUCCCUAAACUGCCAUACCUGAACAUCUUCCUAUAUUAUUAUCAUAUAUAAAUUUUUCUAAAUUAACCUUAAGAUAAUCAGAUAUUGAUAUAAUUAUACCAAGAAACAAUCAAAUUAUAACAAGAAUCCUUUCUAAUGUCAGGUGCAAUUGUACCCACAUUUCAAGCUUAAAUCCAGAGUUUAAGCCUUCAAUUCCAAGCUGAAAAUAUAAAUUAACCGAAGGAAGUACCUUUCAAUAACCUUUGACUUUUUUUGGUAAGGUUUAACAAGCACUCAAGACCCACAAACAUAAUGGGGAUUCCCUUUGUCUAAAAUGGUUUUAAUAGUUUGUGGAUCAAUAAACGUCACAAAGCUAAACAUCAUUUUCUGCUAGAGGUGAGAACCAAAGACGAAGGAUUGGAUUAGAGAGAUGUUCUAUUUUGAGAAGAAAGAUGGAAUAGACCGUAAUGAAAAAGGGUUGAAAAGGGUGACCAAAGAAAACGACGCCUUUAAAGCUUUUAUUGACAUGUGACACUAAAGGUCAGGUAAGCAAAUGUUAACAUCCUUUGUCAAAUAAUAGACAAAAAGAAUUAACGUGAUUAUUUUUAAAUCUUUUGGGAACAAUUCUGAUUAAUUUUAUUUUUUGUGGACCAAUUUAGAGAUCGAGUAAUCUUUUGGGGAUUAAUUUAAGUAUUUAUUCUUUUCUCUUUGUUACUAGAAUAAUCUGUUUGAAUUGACUUCUCAAUUACUUUUCUAAAAGAAAAAGAAAUGUUGACUAAACUAACAAAAAUUUAUGUUUGAUACACUAAAAAAAUCAUUUUAAAAGAUAAAAAGCAUUUAAUUUUAAUAUACAGAAAAUAUAAAUUAUUUUAUAUCUUAAAUAACUAUUCAUAUUAUUUUUACAAAUAUAACAUCACGUAUUAAAUAUAUGUAUAUAAUAAAAUACUAAAGCACUUUUAUACUUUUUUUUUUCCAUCAAAUUUAAACCAAAAGACAUUAUUUUUAAAUAUGUAAAUUAAUUAAUGUAUGAAGUUAUAUUAAGUACAUGCUAACUUUACAAAAUUUUAUUUUAGGUACUUUUAAAAAUAUUUUUAUCUUUUAAAAUUUGUAAGUACAAAUACAUAAUCUUUCUUAUAUACUAAAUACAAAAUAAAAAAUUUAUGCUUUUAAAUGAAAAACACUUUUUCAAAAAAUUUUACCAAAUCAAGCCUUAGACAUAACACUUGGACCCAUCCAAAUAAAAAAUAAGAAACAAAAAAAGAAUAAAAAGCUUAUCCAAUUUGCAUUUACAGCACCAAACAAUUUCCACGCACUAUCAAUUUUUUUUUUCAUUCAAGCUACAACUGCAACAUUUCAUAAUUUAUGCACAUCAAAAUUUAGAGUUGAUUACAGCAAAAUUACAAAGAAUUGUGUACACAAAUAAAUGGUACAAACUGAUAAUGACUCCACUGAAAAAAAAUUAAAAGUAACUGGGAAGAAAGGAAAAAAAAAAAAAGAAAGGAAAUGGUCAAGACUGAAAAGAAUCACAACCUCAUAGGACUGAAUGAGCAAAAAUACUAUACAGUCAAGUCUCUAGUUUUCAACGAAGUCUUAUAGUUUAAAAAUUGUGUAAUCAAGUCCCUAUCAUGCAUAAAAAUCUUUAAGAGAAAACGAGUCGUCAUUACAAGGAUUUCUUGAAACGGGCUUGCACUUUAUAAGAAUUUUUUAUUAAAAAAUGGUUAUAUUGAAACAAAACUGUACCUUGGCAAGAUCAAAUGUGUAUUUCCUUUCAUGAGAUUAUUCAUAUCCGAUAGAACAAGUGGUUUUCAGAAUGCUAUAAGCAAGAGUUCUGAUAUCUUAGAAUAAGGAUAAAAUGAUUGAAGAGUACACUCACGUCUGACGGCAUUGCUUGAUAAUAUCCGUGAUAGCAGGGUCCAUAUCAUCUGCAAUGACAAGGCAAAUAGGCAACAAUGCUGGAAACCGACAGCACCCACAACUUGCAUCGGAUUCAUUCCACCCCAGGGCUGUUGCAAAGUAGAGAGCUCCCAUAAUAUGACUCCAAAGCUAUAAACAUCGCACCUGGAUAUCCAAUCACCACUUGUUAUAAUCAUAAAAUUAUGAAUGCCUUAAAAGGGUGGCAAAACCAAUGAGAAGAACGACGAGACAAGGAAGCAAAAGAAUAACACUUAUAUGUAAUAAAAAUUCCAACUUAUUUUUUCCUAUGCCAGAUGAUUCAGGUUAGAGAGGAACACAGACUAUGAAAUCCUUCUCCACAAGCAAAAUAAAGAAAAAUUUAAUGACGAAAACCAAUGAUAACUGAGCUUACUUUUUAUUUUAAGGUUCAUUUCUUAACACUUCAGGCACCAUCCACUCGGCCUACAACAUGCCAUAAAAAAUGAAUAUAUUGCAAUGCCAAACAAACGCUUAGCAGCAAAACUAAAUACGUGCAGAAUAUUGGAACUGAUCACGCAUACGAAAGAGAGGAGCUUGAGGUAGAGAGAAAAGCAUGUAGUUACACUAAGCCCCCAUUUGGCAAUUAUCAGAGAACACGAUUAUUACUUUAGAGUUUAAAAAAUUAUAAUUAAAUUCUUAUAUUAGAUAAAAAAAUUUGCAAUUAGAUCUUUAUUAGCUGUUAUUUAAAAAAAUUAAUAAUUCUAAAAUAUUUACUUUUAAAACAAAUAGUAUUUUUUAACAAAAAAAAANNNNNNNNNNNNNNNNNNNNNNNNNNNNNNNNNNNNNNNNNNNNNNNNNNNNNNNNNNNNNNNNNNNNNNNNNNNNNNNNNNNNAUUGUCUAAAAACUAAGUUUGUAGGAUAUAGCAUUGGAUAUUUCUUGUCAUCCUUUGGAUUGAAGAACUGAUUCUUGUAUCAUAGCAGAGAGCAGGUUCUUUUUGAGACUUUGGUGGAUAUGGCGAGUAAGGAAUAAUAACAUCUUUAAUCCUCAUAAAACUUGGCCUCUGAAAAAAGUGAUUUGUCUGGCAUUAACUUCAAAAAAGGAGCUUAGGAAUAUUUUUAAAUUACAGCGUAUGUUCCUUCCCUCUAUUCUAAAUGGUUUUUGGAAUCUCCAUCCAUUUGUACUUUCAAAAUUAAUUGUGAUGCUAGUAUCUUAGUUCGGGUGAUAGUAUUGGUUUUACUUGUGUUAUUAGAGAUUGUAAUGGGAGUUGGCAAACAGGGUGUUUGGGAAUGAUUGAGAGUAAUAGUAUUCUUUAAGGGAAAUUGUUUGCUAUUUGGAGAGGAUAUCUCUUAGCUUGGAAUGUGGGUCAAUGAGAUGUUAUCUGUGAGACGGAUUAUGUGAAAGCGUUUAAUCUUAUUACUAAUCACCAAGAUGGUUUUGGGUUUAUUGAUCCAUUGGCGCUCAAAAUAAGAGAUAUCAUGUAUUAGAAUUAGCAUGUUGAUUUUCGUUUAAUUAUGAGAGAUGCAAAUAUGGUGACAGACACUGUGGCAAAGAUGGCGAUGAAAUUACAACUUUCUCAUGUGGAGCUUCUUUCAUCUUAGAAAGAAUUUAAGAGUAAUCUUAAAUGAGACCGUCCCUCUAUUUAAACAAUUCCUUUGAUUUUUUUUUUAUUUAGUUUAUUUAAGUGACCCAAAAAAUAUAAUAAUAAUAACAAUAAAGGGACAUGUUACCUUUAGAAAAGUAUAAUGUCGACGGAUAAUUUUAAGAUUUAUGAUUUAGAGAAUUUGUUGAGUAAUAUAAUAUUAAAAUAGGCCGAAUUGGAAUGUUUGAAAUGGUUAGCAAUUAGUAUCAUACUUGCCAUAAUUUUGCUAGUACACCUAAUAUACACCUGUUUGUAAAAAUUUGUCUAACUCUACUAUAUAUUUUUUCGGGUAAAGUAGAAGACCAAAAAUAUUUAAUAUUAUGCAAGAAAAGAAUAUACUAAGAAAUUUAUACUUAGACAAUAUUCAUGUUCUAACAAUUAAUUAGAGUUAAUUUUUGUUUAUGCCUCUUGAUAAUUGUUUAUUUAUAUUAAAAAACUUAUCAAACAAUAUUGACAAAUCAACUUAUCAUUGGAAAAAGAUUAAAUGGAAUAAAUAAAAAAUUAUCACCGAAUAAAAUAUUACACCUCAUAGCUAUUAGUUAUUAUCAUUAAAAUUAGGAACGCUAAAUAAUAAUUUUUCACCAAGAAACGAUGACUACUCUUUAAGUCUGUUAAAAUUUCUAUAAAUAUUUUUAAUGUGAAUUCAUUUAACAUGUAUUUUUAAACAUGUUUUUUUUUUUUUUUAGUAAAAUGUAUUUCUAAACAUUAAUAGCUACUACUAUUUGGAGUCUUGGACAUACCAUAGAAAACCUGCAGAAGACCAAAUCUGAAUCCUGAUGAAUAAACUCCCCAAAGAGAUUCUAAUAUACAUUAUUCCAAAAAAAUAAAUUCAAAACAAGCAGAGAAAAAAUAUAGUAACAACAACAAAUAAAAUUAUAAAAACACACACAAAAAGGGCCUCGAGGCUCAUCCGUAGAAAAAAAUUCACUAAUUAUCUCAUAGAGGAAACAAAAUUUUUGUAACAAAGCAGAAAAGCUGUCCAAGACUAGGUAAAUGUCUCUCUUCUAGAGUAUGCCACCUCAGUUCAUCAUGUGAAAGAAAAAAAAAGUUUCAUUAGCAUAGCAAUGGGGCUAAAAAUUUUAGUUAUGGAUUUACUAUUGAUGUUUUAUUUGAAAAUGGAUACAGUGAGUGGAUUUACAAAUUGGUGGAACUAUCAGAUGAAAGAUUCAACACUGGGAGAGGAGUGUUGAAUGCAGCACGUGGGGGCAUGAUAGCCACGUGGCAAAGUUUGGUUGCAUGGAUUUGCAACAUAUGGGGGGCGUGCUGAGUCAGCACGGGGGUGGACGUGUUACACGUGGCGAAUUGUCAUUGGCUGAUGAAUAAAAAAGUGGGGGGGGCGUGCUAAGUCAGCACAGGGGGAGUGUUGAGUGCUACCCUAUAUAUAAGGCAAAUCUCGGUACCAUUUUCAUUGCAAAGAAGAGUGUUUUUUAUAGUAGUUUUUAUUGUGUUGCUAGUGUAAUGGAGGGUGCCACAAACUUGGUAAUGUAUCGCAACGGUGAGAUUAUACGGAAUACUCAUGAAGGAGUGAGGUUUGUGUGUCAGAAUCUAUUUUCGUUUGUGGUUCCCUGCACCAUGACAUUGAUGGAGCUUCAAAACGGUCUCUGUCAAAGCAUGGAGAAUGGAAUGUUGACGAGAGUGAGCAGUAUUUUGUACCGGAAUUCGGUUAUAGUUUUUGGUGGUCUAAUACAGUUUGAUAUUAUGCCGAUUAUUGACGAAACGAGUAUACAGAAUAUGUUCCAAAUUCACCGGCAGACUUAGAUGCGACAGCUACAGAUUGAGUUGUAUGUUGAGUUUGAAAACGUAGAGGCAGAUGAGAUUCAAAAUGAUUUAGAUAUAGAGGAUGAUAGAGCUGCAGUGUACGAAGGAAUGAACAAUGACAGUGAAGAGGACUUCGAAGCCACUUAUGAAGCUGGCGACGAAGACGAGGAUGGUGAUGUGGGAGUCGAGGCAGCAACGGAGAAUAUAGUGGUUCAUCACGCAGUUAGUCAACCGAUGAAUGUCCCCCCUAUGCGUAAUUUGGAUCUUAACGCCAUGAAUGCACCGGAAUUUCCGAAAUAUGCAAACAUAGGUACGUGAUGAGUGAAUAAUAUGUUUUUGUAUUUUUAUCUUUUGGAUGUAUCAAUGAAUGAUGAUAUCUGCUUUCUGUAGGUGUUGCUGACCUUGAGGACGGAGAGUUCAGGAUCGGAAUGAAGUAUAGUUCUAGAAAGUCUGUCGUUGUAGCAAUUAGAAGUUACACUAUCUCUAGAGGAGUUGACUACAAUGUUUAUGCAAAAAUGCAAGAGGUAUGGGCGUGGGUGCGACUGGCUUAUCCGAGCCAGCUUGAUACGGAAAAAAGGUUGUUGGGAGAUACGGAGAUACAAUGGUAAGCACACGUGCACCAUGGGAACGAUUUCACAGGAUUAUUCCAAGUUAGACUCGGAAUAGUUGCUGAGACUAUAAGGCCAUUGGUUGAGACUGACCCGUCCAUCAAGGUCAAAUCUAUAAUUGCAGAAGUCCAGUCAAGGUUCAACUACACCAUCAGUUACCGAAAGGCUUGGUUGGCAAAGCAGAAGUCUAUAGCCAAAGUUUUCGGUGGUUGGGAGGAUUCUUACCAUGCUUUACCAUGGUGGCUCUCGGUCAUGGUUCAGAAGAUUCCAGACUCAAUUGUCCAAAUAGAAACACGACCACUGUACAACGGGAGUGAGGAGGCGGACGGUGUCAGAAUACUUCACCGCAUAUUUUGGAGUUUUAAUCAAUGCAUUAGGGCGUUCAAGCAUUGCAAGCCUCUAGUUCAGGUUCACGGCACACACCUAUACGAAAAAAAUAAAGGUACACUUCUAGUUGCUGUUGCACAAGAUGGAAACCAGAACAUUGUGCCUAUCGCCUUUGCUCUGGUGGAGUGAGAGACAGCUGAUGUGUGACACUUCUUUCUCAGGAAUCUAUGAAGGCAUGUUGUUAGAAAAGACGGUGUGGGUAUGAUCUCAAACCAACGUGAGUUAAUCCGGGCAGCAGUAAAUCGUUCCGGUGGUGAUUGGCAACCUCCGAGAGCAUGGUGGAUAUUUUGUAUAAGGCACAUCGGUAGCAAUUUCUUAAGGGCAUUCAAAGUAUCUCACCUGCAAAAACUUGUUGUCAACAUAGGGUAUUUAAGGAUAGUGGAGGAGUACAACAUCAACUAUAAGAGGUUGGAAGAGCGAGGCAAGGCAUAUGCUCGGUGGUGCGAUGCCAUUGGACUUAGACAUUGGUAUUAGCAUUUGAUGAGGGUCAUCGAUGGGCCAUAUGACGACGAACCUUGUGGAGUGCAUUAAUUCAGUGUUAAAGGGUGCCCGAAACCUCGUUGUGUUGGCCCUCGUCUGAGCAACGUAUUAUCGGUUAAAUGAACUAUUUACGUGGAAGAGCCGAACGCAAGCGUUCCAGAUUUACUUACUCUGUAUUUGCACAACAGCGGAUCAAAGCAAAUAUGCAACGUGCUGGAAAUAUAGUUGUGCAACGGUUUGAUAGACAAAACGAGGUGUUUGAGGUGCGUGAAAUGCCUAAUGAAAAGGUGUUGGUAGUUGAUCUUGCGCGACAGACGUGUGACUGUGGACACUUUCAGGUGGAACGACUACCAUGUCGACAUGUUAUUGCUUGUUGUGCCAACCAGCGACUCGACUGGCAGCUGUAUGUUCAUGAUGUGUACAUGACGACAGAAGUUCGUAAGGUCUAUAUAUUUGAGUUCGUACCAUUAAGCGAUGCAGAAACAUGGCCUGCUUAUCAGGGACCCGCAUUGGUCGCUAAUCCUGCCUUGAGGCGCACGUUGAAAGGUCGUCCCAAGUCGACCCGAUACCUGAAUGAAAUGGAUUCACGUGACAUGCAUAGUCCUCGGAUAUGCCGUCUAUGUGAUGCUUAGGGUCAUAAUCGGAGUUGAUGUCCCCAACGUGCUGGACCGAGUGGUGCUGGUGACGAUGGUCCUCCCUAGGUCUUUGUUGAUUUUUGUGUUUCUCAGUUAAUAUUUUUGAUAUACGCAAGCGUGUUUGUAUUUUUAACUUUGGAUUGUGUCCGUUGAUGUUGUUGAUGUUCGUCAUGUUUGUAUUUUAAUUUGGGUUUAUCCAUUGAUGUUUUCGAUGUUCUUAAUGUUUAGUUAAUAUUAUCAUUUACUGCCUUUGUGAGGUACACAUACAAAAGUUUAACCAAGAUUUACAUUCACCUAAUUCUGACACCAUAAUUAAAAUUAAAUAUAGGUCAACAUUACAAAAGAUUAACUACAAAUUACAUUAACUUAAUUCUUAAAAUUAACCAAAACAACAUAAACCCAAGCUCACUUCUUUCGAACCAACCAGUUCAGUCCCUUGCCCAUCAUGCCCUAACCAAAUCGCGACGGAAUAAACCUUAGGUGGAUUUUGUUCCGUCCAUAAGUCAUAUGGGUGACCCCAAACUGAGUCAUCCACAGCCGAAGUAGCUGACCCACCUGCCUCUGCCAGAGCAGAUGCACCGAGGUUGUCCUCGUCAACAACCUCGUAUCCCCGAUGCGGCUGGAUGAAACCACUGUCACACGAUGUCCCACCUGACGUGUGCUCGGAAGCAUGACCCCGCAUACCAUAGGCCAUGUCUACUGAUGUCCCAUGUCCAUCAGCUGAUCCUGAUGGUAUAGGCAUAGUGGUAAGAUCUGGACAACCACCAAAACCACCGUAGGCCCAAUGCUGUAUUUGCUGAUCUCCAUGACCAUCACCGAGAAUCUGCAAUGGGAUCAACGGAAAGUCAAACCAUUCAUGUCCGGCCAGAAUGGUAAGUAUGGGCAGAAUAUGCUGGCCAGACUGACCUUGGUGGCUGUGCUGAGAAUGCUGGGAGUGCUGGCUGUGCUGAGAGUGCUAAUUGUGUCCACUAUGCCAACUGUGCCCACUGUGCUGACUGUGCCCACUGUGCUGACUGUGCCCACUAUGCUGACUGCGACGUCUGUGAGACUGCCUCGUCGUAGUCACCAGACUGAACGUGGUGGCUAGGCUCACUAUGGUGAUUGUGGUCUGGUGGUUGUGGUAUAUAAUAAGGAAAUGACUGAAACACUGCGUACUGAGGUGGAUCCUGAGGUGCUGGUGGCUGUGGUACUAGUGGCUGAUCUGGAUGCUGAGAAACGUACUCUGACAAUCUCAGCAGAUGUCCGUACGAUCCCACAUACCAAUCUCGAUACUCCGUCGACGGUGUAAAAGUCCCAAGUCGGAAGGGGGUGCUAAUCUCGCAAUCGAUUGUUACGACAGUUGCCCCAUUCCUUUAUCCAUCCCCAUGUAAAACUGUCCAGUCAUAAAGCUGCGCUCCGCAAAGAGUGAUGCAAUGCUCUCUCAAUAGAAUUUCUCUUGCUACCGGCGGGGGAGGUUGUGCAUACCCAAACUGACGCAUGAUUCGGUUCGCAGAAUGACAUUCGGCACACUCGAACGACAAUAAUGGAGCAACGAUGUCACACACCUCAAGGUGACCAUGUAACUCGUCGGGUAUGAUCAGCCCUUCAUACAGCCGCCAUACAAACUGCCACAUAUUAUUAGAAAAUUAGCACCCUAAUAUUAAUUUUUCUAUAUGGGAAUCAUACAAACCCUAAAUAUUUACCUCGUCCAUGUAGUCUAUUUCCUACCUAAAAAUCGCUACGAUCUUCGAUGACCACGCCUUGUUCAGAUAGGAAUGACUCCACCUGAAAUAUGAUUCAUUGAAAAAAAAAAAAGGUUACUGAUACGAGCCCUAUGGGAUAAACUGAAAACUGUCAUAUGCCAAUUGGUCCAAUUACAAGAGCAACAACUAAGAGAAUAAAAGAAGAUUUUGCAAACAUGGCUAAAUCAUGUGUUCAGGAGAUGCAUCAAGAAUUGGGCAAGACAAUGAUUAACGAUUAUCAAAAGCCACACGUCUUACUAUUUUACAAGAUGCAUUGAAGACUCUCAUUAGUCAAGAUGAAUUAAAAGAGACAUCACUUUCUUAGAAUUUAUUCUAUGUUUAUUUUAUUUUUGUUAUUUGUUUGUUUUAGGCCCAAUUAUGAUUUGACCCAUAUUUUAUUCUAGUGAACUUAUGAGUUAGGGAUUUAAAUUUAAGAGGUAUAAAAACCCUCUAAAACCUGGUAGCCUUUUUUUUUCUUAAUUUUAUGAAUGAAAUUUUCUUUGAGUUUCUUUGAGAAACUUGGGUGUGAACAGGUGAGGUAGAGUGAUUCCCUUAACUGUUGCAUCAGGAAAUCAAAUUGAGGUAGAUGAGUCCCUUUCUUUGAUCUUCCAUCUUAUCCUGGGUUACGUUCCGUAUCAGUUACCGUAGGUCAAAUAUGCAUUGUCAACAUAAUGCAGGACUGAAAUAGGAACUGUUACCUCAUGGCAACUGGUAUCACAACCGGUGGAAGGGAUUGUCUGGGUAUGGGCGCAAUACACGGCAGUCGCUCCCAUGCCCAAACAAACAACAAAUUAAGAUGGUCAUCCAUCUCCUUAGCAUCAUACUGUGAUGCACGACAUAAUCCCCUGUAAAGAUGCGCGAGACAUGUUGACCCCCAACUAUAAGUAUGGAUCCACUCGAAAUCGCGAAGCAACGGUAGAUACUUCGCGUGGACAUAUGCGAUCGACUUAUCCGUGAAUAAGGUUGAACCCAAAAAACAAAAAAUCUGGCAUCUGACGUAUCUCUUAAUAGACUCCUCGGUGUCCAAUUGCUCUGCGUCUCUGAUAUCCCGAACACAACCCAACUUUAUAUAAGAUUUCGAAGAACUACUGACAGCCAGUUCGUGGCGGAAUAUAGCGAUGCUCUGACUCUAUAGGAAGUCGCUACUACUAUCUGUCCGGUCGCUCACAGGCUCUCAAUCAAUGGGUAGGCCAAAUAUAUGAGCGACAUCUUCUAAUGUCACAGUAACCUCACCCACCGGCAAUACAAAGGUAUGAGUUUCUAGUCUCCACAUUUCCACCAAAGCAGCUAAUAAGGGGUAAAAUUGUUUUAUGAACCCAAUCCUAGAGACGUGGUAGAAUCCGAUUGAGCGUAAGUAGUUUUCGACCAUCGGAUUACACGUCUGCGGCGGAUCCAGUUUACGAACCAUCAAAUUCCUAUUUGGCUAGUUCAACAAAAUUUAUUCAUUAAAUAUUAGUUUAAAUAAAUAAAAAUAAAUAUUUAUAAUAAUAAUUUACAUAAAUAUAAUAUUGUUAUUUCUAAUCAUAAAAAAAUUACUUACAUUUAAAUACAUAAAAUAAUAAAAUUAUCAACUUAAAUAAAUUGGAUGAUCCAAAUAAUUGAUGAUAUGUUCUUCGAGUAUCGUAUAAUUACGUACCAUUUUUUAAUCACUACAAAAUUAAUAAUUUUUUUCUUUAUACACACCUAAAUAAAAUCCUAACUCUCACUAUAUAACACACUUCACAAACUUUAGAUGCUGCACAAACUUCAAAUGCUCCACCUAUCUUCUUUCUUAGUAUCACUCACAAAUUUUAGAUAGGGAAAGUAUGAGAAGCCAAUGGAAUAUUUAUACAAUGUGUAUAAUGGAAGUUUAGAAAGCAUUAGAGAUAUAAUCAUUAGUGUUACCUUUUUCCAUCAGCUGAAGCUUUUGGGAUGAGUGGUAUCAUGCAUGGUAUUAGAGCGCUAGAUCCGAAAGGUCAAGAGUUUUUACCUUGGUGAACCCCAAAAUCAAUUUAAAUUUUUGAGAAGAUGUUUAUUAUCGCUAGUACUCAGAUGAUUAUUCUAGAUAGUAUGGGAGAUGUUCAUUUUGUAACUCAAUAGCCCAUUGUAUACAUUGUACAAAUAGUCCAUUGUCUCCCUAACAGGAUCCAGAUAGAUACUCCACCAAGAAGCAAGAAGCUCAAUUUAUAGAGCUUGAAAAUGAGACUAGCUUGUUAUCGGAGUGGGGGCUGUCCCCUGCAUGCAGACCACCUGCAAUACUCCCCUGUGUUGCUGCAUCCUUGGAACUAAGCAAAAGCUUUGUAACUCAAUAGCCCAUUGUAUACAUUGUACAAAUAGUCCAUUGUCUCCCUAGCACGAUCCAGAUAGAUACUCCACCAAGAAGCAAGAAGCUCAAUUUAUAGAGCUUGAAAAUGAGACUAGCUUGUUAUCGGAGUGGGGGCUGUCCCCUACAUGCAGACCACCUGCAAUACUCCCCUGUGUUGCUGCAUCCUUGGAACUAAGCAAAAGCCUGCAACGCUGCCAAGAUUUAGAGGGAACACACUCCCUGCGUGUUGUUGCCACCCGUGCAUGCCCGCCACCUCACUACGUCCUCUGCGUGGUGCUCGGGAACUGCCACACUUCCAAUUGGCUCUGUCACCACGCCCCCUACGUGUUAAACACCUCACUUACAACGCGAUAAAACACCUCCUUCUCUGAUAUUGAGCAAAUACACCAUUGGAUAUUCCAUAUAAAAAAUAAUUUCUGUAACAAUGGCCUUUUAUUAGACAAGUUUUCUUUAUUUCUUUUAUUCACUUAAAAAUUACCAAUAAAAAUCAUAAAAUAAAAAAUUUUACCAAUUCAAGCCUUAGACAUAAUAACACUUGGACCAUCCAAAUUAAAAAAUUAAAAAAAAAAGAAUAAAAAGCUUAUCCAAUUUGCAUUUACAGCACCAAACAAUUUCCACGGACUAUCAAUUUUUCUUCCAUUCAAGCUACAACUGCAACAUUUAAUAAUUUAUGCACAUCAAAAUUUAGAAUUGAUUACAGCAAAAUUACAAAGAAUUGUGUAUACAAACAAAUGGUACAAACUGAUAAAUGAUAAUGACUCCACUGCAAAAAAAAUUAAAAGUAAAUCGGAAGAAAGAAAUUAAAAAGAAAAAAAGAAAAGGAAAGAGACAAGACUGAAAAGAAUCACAUGACUGAAUGAACAAAGGUUGUUUGGGUGAGCUUUUGAGAAAAAAUCUUUUUUCGAGUUAUCUUUUUUUAAAAGAUCCUAUAGAGAAGUAAAAGUAAUUUUAUGUUUGGAUAUCUCAUGUAAAAAGGUCUUUUUAUCUAUCAAUUAUGUUUGGGUAUAACAAUAUAAAAGUACUUUUUUGUUCAUUUAUUACACGAAAAACAUCUUUUUUUUUUUAAGGAAAAAAGAUCUUUUAAAAAAAGAUGUAAAUUACAGCUUCUCAAAAAAGAUCUUUUUUUGAUUUUACUAGUGCUUUUACUUUUACUACUAAAAAUUUGCCAAACACAUUAAAAAAUAAAAAAAGAUCUUUUUUCAUUGAAAAAAGAUCUUUUUUUAACAAAAUAAUGGCGCCCAAACAUGCACAAAAAUACAGUACAACUCGUCUUCCCAUCAUUUUCUUUUCAGCAAAAAUGGAAAAAGAUAUGGUUAGCUGAGUCUGCACCAACUCUUGAUGACUGAGCCUUCCCAUGCCUACCUGGUUUCGGCACUUCAGAUUGAGAACCAAUGAUCAGUUUGUGCAACGGCUUCAGCGCCACCAUUAUUUCUGUAGUUCUCAACUUUGGAUCUCUACAAUACAAAAGAGUAUCAUAUAGUCACACCAACCAUGAUUGUAGGUUAAGUAUUAUAAAGGUUCCUAAAGCUUAAACAUUCUGUAUAUGCGAAAUAUUUUCGACAAAUCCCUAUAGUCUAGAAGUUUUCAAUUAAGUCUAUAUACUGUACAAAUAUUUUUCAACAAAGUCUUCUAGUUUAAAAAUUGUAUAAUCAAGUCCCUAUCAUGCAUAAACGACGAGUCGUCGUUACAGGGGUUUCUUGAAACUGGCUUGCGCUUUAUAAGGAUUUUUUAUUAGAAAAAAUGGUUAUAUUGAAACAAAACUGUACCUUGGCAAGAUCAAGUGUGUAUUUCCUUUCAUGUGAUUAUUCAUAUCCAAUAGAACAAGUGGUUUUCAGAAUGCUAUAAGCAAGAGUUCUGAUAUCUUAGAAUAAGGAUAAAAUGAUUGAAGAGUACACUCACGUCUGCCAGCAUUGCUUGAUAAUAUCCGUGAUAGCAGGGUCCAUAUCAUCUGCAAUGACAAGGCAAGUAGGCAACAAUGCUGGAAACCAACAGCACCCACAACUUGCAUCGGAUUCAUUCCACUCCAGGGCUGUUGCAAAGUAGAGAGCUCCCAUAAUAUGACUCCAAAGUAUAAACAUCGCACCUGGAUAUCCAAUCACCACUUAUUAUAAUCAUAAAAUUAUGAAUGUCUUAAAAGGGUGGCAAAACCAAUGAGAAGAACGACGGGACAAGAAAGCCAAAGAACAACACUUAUAUGUAAUAAAAAUUCCAACUUAUUUUUCCCUAUGCCAGAUGAUUCAGGUUAGAGAGGAACACAUACUAUGAAAUCCUCCUCCACAAGCAAAAUAAAGAAAAAUUGACAAAAACCAAUGAUAACUGAGCUUACUUUUCAUUUUAAGGUUCAUUUCUUAACACUUCAGGCACCAUCCACUCGGCCUGCAACAUGCCAUAAAAAAUGAAUAUAUUGCAAUGCCAAACAAACGCUUAGCAGCAAAACUAAAUACGUGCAGAAUAUUGGAACUGAUCACGCAUACGAAAGAGAGGAGCUUGAGGUAGAGAUGAAAAGCAUGUAGUUACACUAAGCCACCAUUUGGCAAUUAUCAGAGCACACAGACCUAUUUGAAACUCUUACCAAACAAUAACUUUAGGCUCAAGAAAAUUAAGAAAGAUUUGCUCAUUUGUUACCAAAGACCAUUCAUCGUAGUAGAGUGAGUUGGUAAAGUCUAGAGAAGAGUUACAAGAGUUAGUUAUGAAAGAACUGUUGGCUGUUAGAACAGUGCCAGCUACAUAGGAGAGCUGUUAGUUACAGCUAUCAUAACUAACUUAAGAAUGAACGGACUGUUGUGCCUUUUGUACUAGCUUGCACAGUAAGCUACCCUUCUCUAUACAUAAGCACAGAUUAGUGAUAAGCUCACUAGUAAUGCAGAUCAUAAAUUUCUUGUCUUUCUCUUCAAAUCCUCUUUUCUUUCUCACUGUGUUUUCUUCCUUCUCUCAUUCUCUCAAACCCUAUUCAAUCGACAUUUUCUUGGCACAUAGAACUAGUAAUUGUAUUAUAAAUUGAACAUAACAUAAGCCGAGGCUAAAGAUAGGUAUUCAUCAUCACAAAAGGAUUAAUAUAACAUGCCAAACAUAAUGAAUUUUUAAAUGGCAAGAAGCUCCGGUUUUCCAAACUUUUUGUUAAAAGAUAAUAGCAAAUGCCUCUAUUUGUGUAUGUUUGUAUAGCUUUAGAAGAAUAUAAAGCACAACGAACAUAAAAAAUAUGCAGCAGAAUGUAGAACAAGAACAUGAAAGAACGAAUAAUUCAGAAGGCAGAGGGUAUGACAUAGUAUUUGAGCUUAGAAAUGAGGAUUAUGACAGCUUACUGUUCCUCCAAUUGAUCUGGAAGAAAGGAAUGUACUAUGUUUCAUUCUUGAUAAGCCAAAAUCACAUAACUAUACGAAAGAUAAAAGAAAGGGUGAAAAAAACAAUUAAACCAUAUCUACAGGUAGCAUUCAGCAUGCUAUCAAGAAAAUUCAAACAUGACAAUUAGUUGACACCUUCACAACCCAAUUUUUAUCAACAAGAAGAUUUUGUGGCUUCAAAUCAUGGUGUACAAUCACUGGAGUGCAGUUGUGCAAAUAGUUUAUUCCUCGGGCCUGUAGAUUCAAGAGAUAUAUGUCACAUCAACUGAGUUUCACUGAUUAUGGCAAUAAUUUGAUUAAUGAAACAACAUCGCAAUAAAAGAAAACAGAAUCUUCCAGUAUAGAGGGCCAUCUCAACUGCCUUCGCUCAUCUAAUUGAUUGUUUGGCAGAUGAAUUAGUCUGUACAAACUUCCUCUGCAUAGCAAAUAUAAAGUUCAGACUUCAGAGUCAUUAAAAGUAAUCCUUCCAGAACAACAUUAAUCAAAAUAAUAAAUAAAUGCAAAGAAAUUCACCAAAUAAAAUCAAAUUCAAUUUAAAGAGUUCUGUAUUAUUUCACUUUUAACACCUCCGUCACAACAACACACAAUGAAACUCUAAGCCAGUAAGAGUUUUUUUAAAAUGCUAACAAUCAGAGAGUCAGAGACAAUGGAACAAUGUCUACACAGGAUCUUAGACAAGAAAUAAUGAGGUAAUUUAUCUAAGAAUUAAGAGAAAAACAUCCUCGGGAAAAGUACUUCAUAAUGUACAUAUUUUCAGCAGGAGCGAUUUCCAAGCAUUACAACUGAGUAGCAAUAAUUAAAUAAAUGGCCAAAAAUUUUUGAGACAACUGAACCAUAUUAACCUUAACUCGAUGUUGCUCAGGAUGAAGAAAAAAGGGGACAUGCAUUUUAGAAGGUGGGUUUAAUUUUAAGAUGGAGGUGAAAACUAUAUAGCCUGAGAAGAAAUCCCUAACUUGUGGCCUACUCUCACUCCCACAGUCCCGCUCUCCUUUUUAAUUUUUCUUUUCUUAUUAUUACUCCACGAUAUAAAAGAAUGUGAGAAGAAGAUUUGUGUGAUUGGCGAGUGAAGGGAAGAUGAACGGAAGAGGUAGACGGAGAUCUGGUGUACUUGGGUGCAACACCAGCGGAGCACUUCUAAUAGCGUGAGUUUAUUUUUUGCUGCUCCCAUUCAAGUAAAUUUUUUUAAGCAUUUUUCUAUGCUCGAGGUUAUUGCCGAAGUCAUUAUCUUGGAUCUUAACUGUUUGGAAUUAGUUUGCUUUUAUUAGUUUUGCUAUUCAUGGUGAAUAAUUCUUAAUUGCUUAAAUUAAGGAAGUUGGUUUGUUUUUUAUAAUGGUUAUGCUGCACUAUCUCAUUAUUGUUCAUCUUGCAGUUUUGUGAUUUUGCUUUAUGAAUGGUAAUAUGUUUUAGAGACAUGCACUUAUGCUUAGGUGUGGUAGAUAUCCAUGGAUCUACUAAGAAUGGACAUAUCAAUUUGAAUAUAUAUCUACUUGAAAGAUCAUCUUCAUCUACUAAGAAUGGACAUACCAAUUUAAAUCUUUAGUAUUGAUGAUAAAAAAUACUAUAUACUUAACAAUACUAGAUGAUUUUGUUUGUACGUAGUUAGUAGUAGUUGGUUACUUGGUUUUGUUUUUCAAUUCUCGAUAUAUAGGAAAAGGACAUAGUACAAAAAUGAAGGAAGUUUUGUGAAUUUUAAUUCGAACAAGUGUGUAAAAAAAAUAAGUUGUUUCUUGAAUUGAUAGUGAAGGUUUAUUUAAAUUGUUUUGCAUUGAUUCAAUUUUAUGCAAAUUUCCCUUUGUAAACUGUAAUCCAAACACACACUAAGCAGAUUCUAUUUUGGCAGGUAAGCUUCCUUUACCACUUCAAAAAAGUGUGACUUGCUAUAUGUUAAUACCUUUAGUUCUCCUAAUGCAGAUUGGUUAGUUUCUUCUUAUUCAUAUGUUUAUCUCAUAUAAAUAUGUUGACUUUUGGUUAGUUCAAAACAAUGCAAAUGAUGUAUGUUUUAUGUGAUCUUUCGUUCCUUCUUUAAACUAGACACCUUUCAACUAUAAUCUUCUGUUUUUUUAACGGUUAUUUCUAAAAUUUUUUAUUAUUAAACAAUUAGUUGAUAAUAUUAUUGUAAAUUUAAUUAAAGGAUUAUGUAUACUGAUGUUUUAAUGAUUUACCUUUGUGAAUUUUAAUUAUUUUCUUUAAAUUAAGAAAUUUUCUUUGAAAUGUGUGCUAGACUUUUUGAUAAGAAAUACACGUGUUUUUUAAUAGUUCUACACUCACAAAUCUCCAAAGAAGGUGAGAUUAGGUUUACAGCAAAAAAUACAAGUGUAUUUUAAGUAAUAUUAUUUAGAUAAUAAUAUACAUUCAAGUAUUAUUUAUACUAAUACUAUUUUUUUCUUUUAUUGAUUCCUUUUCAUGACACCUGAAUGGAUGUAAUCAUUGCAUGAAGAUGCAGGUUUUUCUGGUUACUUGAGUUGCUUUUAAGGCCGUGGCUUCUUCUUGGAGUCCAAAGCAUGAGAAGAUGCAGAAGAACUUGAGUACAAAGUUAGCUGUGGCAAUAAGAAGUGUUCAAUGGAGUUAUGACAUUUUAUGUUCACCUUCAACAACCCAAGAUGGGUAAUCAAUUUAAAAACAAAAACUUUUUAGAAUACAAAAAACAAUGCCACUUUUCUCUCAUGAUAUGAAGUUUCUAUUUUGGUAAUUUUGAUUCUUUUGAGUCUUGUGUAUAUGAUGAUCAUUGUGUUCCGUUAGUUUCAUGAAUAGGUUGUCUUGUCAGAACUUUUUGAGACAUACAUAAGGCUUUCGUUACGCAGAAAAAAAAACAUGUUAUUCAUACUUCAUUUAGUUUAUGACUUCAUCAGCCUUUAAGAAUUAGCAUGUAAGUACUUCUGUCUUGGAUCCAACUUUCUGCCCUGUUUUAUGUAAUUAAACUUUCAGUGAGUUACACCAUUGAUGAUAGCAAGGCCCCUAUAUUUGAUUUGUUAUUAUAAUCUAUUUAAUCUUUCUUUAUGAUGCUAUGAUUUUCGAAUUUUUCCCUCCCAUUUGAUCCUAUAUCUCCAUGUUCCAUUAUCUUUUCUUUAUAAUUUGAAGUCUGAGAUCAUUGUCUCUUGACAAUACUGAUAAAACAUCCAUGGGGUCACUGAUAUUUGGUGCAGUCAUAUAAUAUCAUUUUUUUUUUCAAUUUGAUGAGUAUAACUACAUGAGUGUUGUAUAGUUAAAUGGAUGAAACUUUGGUGGUCUUAUAUAAAAACUUUAUAUCAAUUAUUCUCUUUUAUUCUCACAUUUACUAGUGCAUUUAUUUUUGUAUUACUUGGAUAUCUAUACUCUUUUGGAUUCAUCUUUGUGUUUUUUACUCUAUUGACAAAAAUGAUUUCAAGUCUUUAGGAAUGGUGAUUUUUUGGCAAUUUGUUUGGUAUAAAGAAUGGUUGCGUAUGCCUAUUUUCAAUGUUUGUUAAUAGCUUUUAUUAUAUUUUAAACUUAAAGCUAAACUUCAUAAUUUCUGGCAAAUAUUUUGGGGUCAAUAUAAAUUAAGCUGUCAAAAAAUUAUUAGCAAAAUAUAAGAAAUGGGCUAUAGUAACGGAGGAAUGUGAUUGAUCUCUUAGCAAACAAUAUAUCAUUGAGUUAUUUGAAUUCUUUCUAGAACUUGUAUGUUAUUUUAUGUUUGGUACUUUUUAGCCUGAGGUUUAGAAUACUAUCUCCUAUAUAAAUGAGUAUUCUACUAAAAUGCUAAUUGGUUUCAAGAAAUACCAGGAACAUGUUAAAGAUUUUAUUACCUGCAUCUCAAAGUAUCUAAGACAGAUUGUUAUUUUAGAUAACAAUCCAUUCGUCUUUUUAUUGCAACCAGUGAAUGGUAUUCCAUGUAUUGCCUUUUUUGUAGGACAACCACAUGACAUACAGGUGCAAAGAUCUUUGCUAUUUAACAUUGAAAUUUAAAGUUUUCAAAGCCAAAAUAUAAAAAACUUCAAAUCUCCCAUAUUAAAUUGUGAGUAGUUUUGAAGCACAAAUUUUGGCAAGAAGCAAACGAAAAUGGUUCAGUAUCUGUUGCAUUUGGAUAAGUCAUAAUAUUUAGUUGUUAUAGUUUUUGUUUUUUUUUAUUUAUUUAUUUAUUGUUUCUGGUAGUUGUAGUAGUAGUAGAUUAAUAAUAUGGAAAAUUUAGAUGUCCAUAAAAGUGACAUAGGAUUGGUUUUAUAUCUGUAUAAAAAAGGGUAAAAGUUUUCAUUUUUCAAGAUAAAAUUGAUAUUGAUUUUAACAUAGUCUAAAUAACGAAUUAAUUAAUAAGUAUUUUUUAGAAUAUUUGUUAAGAGCCCGUUUGGAAACAGAAGUUUUUUUGACUUUUGAAUUAUGAAAAGUCACAAUAUGCGUGUUUGGCACUAUUUGAAAAAAAGCUUUUAACUUUUUGAAAAGUUAAUUCAUAACUUUUCGAAGAAGUAGAAAUAUACGACUUUUUCUUUUCGAUAAGUCAUUCUAUCAUUUUUCUAAAAAAAAUUGCUUUAAAAAAAAAUCUACUUUGCUCUGUAAAAAUGUUUCCUGUUUUUUAUGAAAAUACUAUCUCUCCACUACCAUUUUUACGCAAAGUUUCAUCUGCUAGAAGUAUUCGCCCUCCACCACCUUUUUUAGGUAAUGAUUCAUCUGUUGAAACUAUUGACCUUCCAACACUAUUUUAAAAUAAUGUUCCAUCUGAAUUACCUACUUCAUAUAUUUCUUUCAGUUAUUUUUUUAAUUAUUUUACCACUCUAUUUUAUUAUUAAAUUUGUAUUUAAUACUGUGUGUGAUAUGAAAUCGUAGUUUUAGUUUUAUUUUUUUCACAUGUUAUUUUAUUUUUAUAUAGCUUGCUAUUAUUUUUAUAAUUAGUUAUAACAAGUUUUUGAGUUAUUUAUUCAAACGCUACAACUUUAAAAUAAGUACUUUUAUAAUUAAAAAUUGAAAUACCAAAUAACUUAUUUAUAAACUUUUAUUAAUAAAAGUCCUUAUAUGUUAGGAACUUAUUUAAGUUGUUUACCCAAACUGAACCUAAGUAGAUAAUAAUAAUAACUUUUGAGUCACCAAUAAACAAGUGCUUCUUUAACAAAUUUAACAAGCGCAUUUGUUAAUCAAAUUCUUGAAAACAUAUUUAUCCUUUGCUCAAAUAGAGUCCACAAGUCCAUGCUUACAAAGAACAUAUUAGUGUUAAUAACAGUUCCUUAAGACUUAGAUUUAUUAUCUUUGAGUGAGCUAUGGAUAUUCACAUUUUGAUUCCCCAUCAAAAAUUCAAUUUUUUUUUCCUUUUUUGAGUUGUGCCAUUAAAUUGAAUUAAACUGGAAAAUGAUAUUAAGUGUAACACUUAUUAUUGUUUUAUUUAUUUAUAUUUGGUAAUUAAAAUAAAGUCUAAAAGUCCAGCCGAAAAUUACAUAUCAAAGAUAAAUCGAACUCUGGAGACCUCUCUACAAUUAUCAUCUAACAUAUAUUUGAUUUCUUUAGGAUAAUUAUCUAUGAAAUAAAAACCUAACUCUCUAGUGAUACUUCUUUUGGCUAACCAGUCUGUACACACAUUUUUCUCCCUGUAAGUGUGCUUAAAAAUUAAAAUUCAGUCUCUUUUCAUCAUUAGACUAACACUUCUAGGUGUACACUUAUGUACAAGUAUGUAUAGACUUUUAAGAUGAGAGUUUGGACCAUUUAAAAAAAAGUUUAACGGACAAAAGGCUAACGAGUUUAGUUUUUAUUUUUCUUUUGUCUAAAUAGAUAAUUUAUUUAAAAAAAAUUAUAUUAUGGACUAAAAAUCUAAAAUANNNNNNNNNNNNNNNNNNNNNNNGUUUGUCCAUUUAUUUCGCAGCCAAGCACGUUAAAGAACUCUAAAAGUGCCAAUCCCAAUGGACCCAACCCAUUUUAACGGUUCUAAUUAGAAUUUCGUAAUUAGAAUUUCGUAAUGUCAUCGUCAAGUAAUGUAAACGAAUUCAGUAUUAGUGUUUUAAAAAAGAAAAAAUGAAGUGGAAUAUAGUUUUAAUUAACAAAAGAAAAUGUAAUUUUAAAUCUUAAGUGUAAUUUAGUUUACUUUUAUGAACAAAAAAUAUUAUUCUAUAAUACAUCUAUUUUUUUAUUUUGUGCUUAAUAUAUAUUUAGACUAACAUUAAAAUUCUUUGUAUAAUAGAAUAUUUUAUUAAUAUGAAAAGAACUCAAAUUUUAAAAUUAUACCUAUGUACGAUAUUUUGAUAUAAUAAGAAGUUAAAAAUAUUAUUCAGAAUAAAUAAUUUUUUGUGGUAAAAAUAAAUUCUCUAGCGCGUGCAUUUGCACGGGUCAAAUGCUAGUAUAUAUAUAUAUAUUUUUGGUACCUACAAAGUUACGGAAAAAUAAGUUGCACAACAGAAUAACAGAACAAACAAGAAAACAAAAUUUUCAAUCUUUUUCGUUUUGCUUAGUUUGUAGCAUGAUAAAUAUAUGAUCUCAGAGAAUAACAGUAAAGAACACUCGAUUGCUAUAAAGAGAUCUUAAACACUAAAUCAGUAAGCUAUAACUAGGAAUAUCAUCUAAAUAAUCAAUAAAGUAGUGGAAUUAAAAAGGAUCAUAGCAAUUGCAAAAAUCGAAAGUGCAAAAUUAUAUUGUGUCAUGGCAUUGCCAAAGUCCUCUGACCCAACAGACACAGAAUUUACAAAACUAUGAUACAUAUUCAGCAACAAUGAGAUGUAAUUUCAAUUUGAGUUGAUGUAUCUUACCUUCUUUUAUCAAUUCAAUAAAACUACAUUAGCGGGUUGACCUCUAUGAUGCAUCUCGAUAAGAAGCUCCAAAGCACGGGAGAUUCUCUUUGAUUUGCUCAAGCCAUCAAUAAGAGUGCUGUAAGUUACCGUGUUUGGAACCAAGUUCUUGCGAUGCAUUUCUUCAAAGAGAUUCAAGGCUUCAUCGACCAUUUUACUUUUGCAGAAGCCAUUAAUCAUGAUACUGUAACUUUGAACAUUGGGUAACACACUAAUUUGGGCCAUUGUGUUGAAUAUAUAUUUUGCCCUAUUUACCUGAUUAACCAAACAAUAUCCAUCCAUUAAGCUGUUAUAAGUAACCACAUCUGGUUUCACACCAUGUUUUGCCAUUACAGCCAAUACACUCUUAGCAUCUUUGAUCUUUCCUUCCUUGCAUAGCCCAUCAAUCAAAGUAUUAUAGGUAUAAACAUUAGGAGUAAUGUUUCUAAGCACCAUAUCACUUAACAAAUCAAUGGCUUCCUUAUAUUGACCCUCAAGACACAAUCCAAAAAUGAGAGAACUGUAUGUGAUAACAUUGGGAGAAAUUCGCUUAGCAAGCAUUUCAGAGAAUAAAUGAAAAGCCUGACUUACAAGUGUAUCCUUGCAGAGGGUAUCAAUAAUUGCGCUGUACAUGAAGACAUUAGGAGCAAUGCCAUACCGUGGGAUCUUUCUCAACAUUUGAAUAGCAGCUGAUGUGUGUCCGGUUUUACAGAGGCCAUUGAUCAAGGUCCCAUAAGUGACUUGAUUAAAGUGAAAUCCAUGAGCCAGCACUCUAUCAUGAAAGCGCACUGCUUUUUCAACACUACCACAGAGAAAGAGGCCUUUAACGAGUGUAUUCAAUGUUACCGUAUCAGGUUGAUAAUCCAUUCUGAAAAUCUUGGCCAAUACAGAGAAAGCAAGCGUCAUACGACCCAUGCCGCAACAACAAUUAAUUACGAUGCUCAAAAUAAAUAAGUCGGGAGCGAUUCCCCUGGCUUGCAAUUGCUGAAAAAGGGAAAUGGCGGUGGAGAAAUGGUUGGUCUUGGCAAGAGAUCCCAAAAUCUUGGUGAAUUGGAUGAUGGAUGGAGGGCGACGCAUAGAGAGCAUGCGAGUGAAGGAAUCAACAGCUUCAUCAACUUCACGAAGGCAUGGGGGCUCAGAAUGAGAGUGAAGGGAUGAAGAGGAAGGGAAGGAAACAAAAUUAGGGAUUUGGAGAAGAGAAUACCUAGAAAUGAAAGUGAUCCUUGAGGUUGAGGAUGACAACAUUUUAGUGUUUCGCACUUUCGCUGUUGUCUAAGUUUGAGGGAGUUUGCUAACUCUGCGGAAAUAGUCCUCUGUUUCCAACACCCCCCAUACUAAUGAAAGGUCUCCAGACUCCAGUCCCGUUUUACUUGGGUUCUUUUGAUUUUUCUUUUAUCAAUUGUAGGAAGGAAAAGUCUAGAUGCCAGCAACUUUGUUAAAUUUUGGUCAAUAUAUAAUUAACAGAAAAAAGUGAGUCAUUAGAUAAAAUCUCAUACUAAUUUCACACCAUUAAAAUUAUCAUUAAUGACUAUUUAAUAGCUACAAAUUAAAAAAAUUGCUGCCCCUAACAUUCUUCUUUUAUGAAUUGGACGUAUAUACCAAAUAAAUUACAAGGCUUGGGGGAGUAAUGGUUCCAUUAUGCUCGAGAAAAAAAGUGAUCCAUCAAACAAGACAUCGACAACAAUAACAAUAAAAUUUAAUUAUUUUGUUAGUCUUUAAUCAAUUCUUUAUAAUUUAAUCAAAUUUUUAAUUAAAUUUUUAGAAUAUAAAAAUUUAUAAUUAAAUUUUUAUUAAUUAUUAUUUAAAGGUCAAAUUUUUUUCUACUUUAAAAUAAGGUUAAAUUAUACCGUUAGUCCCUAUAUUUUCACUGAAAUUACAAAUUGGUCCCUACAUUUUAAAAGUUUGUAAUUGAGUCCCUAAAUAAAAUAUAAUUUUGUAAUUAAGUCCUCAAUAACAUUUACCGUAAAAAAAAUACACAUUUAUGUAUCUAUUUUUCCUCCUCCUCUCUUCAGCAUUUUUGUUCUUCUUUAACGUUAAUACGACUUUAACAACAACAAUGCCGAAAUCAUUGCUAAUGACCAAAUUCAUUAACACAGCAAAAACCAAAAUUAACAGUUAUUAUACAAACUACCACAAUAAUGUAUACUAUUAUCAUGAAUGAACUCAAUUCAACUCAUCCCAAUUAUAUUUAAAUUAUCAAUAAUUAAAAUCUUUCCCUUAUCACAAGCAAAAUCCUUCUCUCUAACAACUCAAUCUUACUAAUCAAAUCCCUCAUAGUAUGCCUAUGGAUCCCACCCACAGGCACAUACCGAUCCAAGAACUCACGAUCCAUCAACGUCUUUCCCUCCACCGCUCCAACACCAUCACUGCCAUCAACCUCAAACGCACCGUUUUGGAACGCAGGAAGCUCCUCACCUCUUCUCUUCCCAUAACAUCCGUCAAUGCCUUCCCACCUUUCGCCAUCCGGAUUUUGUCAGGGACCAUCCUAACCUUCUCGCCCUCGCAAACCAAGUUCUAUAGCGUCUCGCUUUAUUAGCACCAGAACCACUCGAGUCCGUGGAGGACCUAGACACGGUGUGUGAAGCCGUUUCCGAAGCUAAUGGUGGUAGUGUCAGAAACAUGAUGUCAUUUUAGCAGAAUCAAAGAUUCUCAUUGGCGUGGGGACCAAUUUGCAAUUUCAUUAAAAGUAUAGGAACCAACUGUGUAAUUUAAUCUUAUUUAAAAAAAAUUAAUAAUUUUAAAAUAUUUACUUUUAAAACAAAUAGUAUUUUUUAAUUAAAAAAAAGAGAUGAUCGAAAUGUUACCUUUAGAAAAGUAUAAUAUCGACAGAUAAUUUUAGAGUUUAUGGUUUAGAAAAUUUGUUGAAUAGUAUAAAGUUAAAAGAGGCUGAAUUAGUAUGUUUGAAGUGGUUAGCAUCAUACUUACCAUAAUUUUGCUGAUACACUUAAUAUACACCUGUUUAUAAAAUUUUGUCCAACUCUACUAUAUAUUUUUUCGAGUGAAGUGGAAGACCAAAAAUAUUUAAUAUUAUGCUAGGAAAGAAUAUAUUAGGAAAUUUAUACUUAGACAAUAUUCAUGCUCUAACAAUUAAUCAGAGUUAAUUUUUGUUUCUACCUCUUGAUAAUUGUUUAUUUAUAUUAAAAAAAUUAUCAAACAAUAUUGACAAAUUAACUUAUCAUUGGAAAAAGAUUGAAUGAAAUAAAUAAAAAAUUGUCACCUAAUAAAAUAUUGCACCCCAUAGCGCUAUUAGUUAUUAUCAUUAAAAUUAGGGAUGCUAAAUAAUAAUUUUUCACCAAGAAACAAUGACUGCUCUUUAGGUCUGUUAAUUUCAAUAAAUUUUUUUAAUGUGAAUUCAUUCAACAACAUGUAUUUUUAAAUAUGUUUUUUUUUUUUUGGUAAAAUGUAUUUCGAAACAUUAAGGACCUUGGGAAGCUUCAAAAAUAUUUUUUUUUUGAGUUUUUGACUUAUGAAAAGUAGUAGUAUUAAUGUCUAAUGUAAUUUUCAAAACCAAAUUGCAGCUUUCUAAGAAGUUAUUUAAGAGCUUAUAGAAAAGUUUAAAAAAAUAACUUCUCUUGUAAUACUACUACUUUUUAUCAUAUUUUUAUAAAAUAAACACUUUUAAAAUUAAAAACCCAAAUAUAAAAUAACUUAUUUAUAAGCUACUUUUAAUAUAGUCAUUUAUUAUUUAAUCUAUUUUUUUUAAAAAAAUUUAAUUAAGUUGUAAUAGCUACUAUUAUUUGGAGUCUUGGACAUACAAUGAGAAACCUGCAGAAGACCAAAUCUGAGUCCCCCCAAAGAGAUUCUAAUAUAGAUCAUUCUAAAAAAAUUCUCACAAGCGGAGAAAAAAUAUAAUAACAACAAUCUAUAAAAUUAAAAAAAACACAUAAAAAGGGUCUCAAAAAAGUCCAUCCGUAGAAAAACUUCACUAAUUAUUUAUCCUAUAGAGGAAACAAAACUUUUGUAACGAAACAGAAAAAUUGUCCAAGACUAGGUAAAUAUAUCUACUCUAGAAUAUGCUACCUCAGAUCAUCAUGCGAAGAAAAAAAAAAGUUUCAUUAGCAUAACAAUAGCCUUUUAUUAUAUCACAUUUUCUUUACUUCUUUUAUUUCACUUAAAAAAUAUCGAUAAAAAUUAUAUUUUAUAGACAACAACUUACAUGUAAAUAUUUUUAUAUAAAAAUAAUAUUUAAAAUUAUUAAAUAAUUUAAUAAAUUUAACUAAAUUAUUAUCUAACAAAUUUUAACUAUUAAUUUUAUUUUAAGAUAAUUUAAUGUAAGUCUAUUUUAUAACAUUAAUUAAAAAAAACAAAUUAAAAAGAUAUAUUUUCUCUUUGUUACUACAAUUAAUCUGUUUGAAUUGAUUUCUCAAUUAUUUUUCUAAAAGAAAAAGAAAUGUUAACUAAACUAACAAAAAUUUAUGUUUGAUCCGCUAAAAAAGUCAUUUUAAAAGAUAAAAAGCAUUUAAUUUUAAUAUACAGAAAAUAUAAAUUAUUUUAUAUUUUUAUUUAAUUAUAUAAUUUUUUAAAUAACUAUUCAUAUUUUUACAAAUAUAACAUCACGUAUUAAAUAUAUGUAUAUAAUAAAAUACUAAAGCACUUUUAUACUUUUUUUCCAUCAAAUAUGUCCGACACGCGGACACGACAACUCAGCGAAGUGUCCGUGCUUCAUAACUUAGACAUAACACUUGGACCCAUCCAAAUAAAAAAUGGAAAACAAAAAAAAGAAUAAAAAGCUUAUCCAAUUUGCAUUUACAGUACUAAACAAUUUCCACGCACCAUCAAUUUUUUUUCCAUUCAAACUACAACGGCAACAUUUCAUAAUUUAUGCACAUCAAAAUUUAGAAUUGAUUACAGCAAAAUUACAAAGAAUUGUGUACACAAACAAAUGGUAGAAAUUGAUAAUGACUCCACUGAAAAAAAUUAAAAGUAAAUGGGAAGAAAGAAAUUAAAAAAAAAAGGAAAGGAAAGGGAAGACUGAAAAGAAUCACAGCCUCAUAGGACUGAAUGAGCAAAAAUACUAUACAACUCCUCAAGUCCCUAGUUUUCAACCAAGUCUUCUAGUUUAAAAAUUGUGUAAUCAAGUUCCUAUCAUGCAUAAAAAUCUUUAAGAGAAAACGAGUCGUCAUUACAGGGGUUUCUUGAAACUGGCUUGCACUUUAUAAGGAUUUUUUAAUAAAAAAAUGGUUAUAUUGAAACAAAACUGUACCUUGGCAAGAUCAAAUGUGUAUUUCCUUGCAUGUGAUUAUUCAUAUCCGAUAGAACAAGUGGUUUUCAGAAUGCUAUAAGCAAGAGUUCUGAUAUCUUAGAAUAAGGAUAAAAUGAUUGAAGAGUACACUCACCUCUGCCAGCAUUGCUUGAUAAUAUCCGUGAUAGCAGGCUCCAUAUCAUCUGUAAUGACAAGACAACAAUGCUGGAAACCGACAGCACCCACAACUUGCAUCCGAUUCAUUCCACCCCAGGGCUGCUGCAAAGUAGAGAGCUCCCAUAAUGUGACUCCAAAGCUAUAAACAUCGCACCUGGAUAUCCAAUCACCACUUGUUAUAAUCAUAAAAUUAUGAAUGCCUUAAAAGGGUGGCAAAACCAAUGAGAAGAACGACGAGACAAGGAAGCCAAAGAACAACAGUUAUAUGUAAUAAAAAUUCCAACUUAUCUUUUCCUGUGCCAGAUGAUUCAGGUCAGAGAGGAACACAGACUAUGAAAUCCUCCUCCACAAGCAAAAUAAAAAAAAAUUUAAUGACGAAAACCAAUGAUUACUAAGCUUACUUUUCAUUUGAAGGUUCAUUUCUUAACACUUCAGGCACCAUCCACUCAGCCUGCAACAUGUCAUAAAAAAUGAAUAUAUUGCAAUGCCAAACAAACGCUUAGCAGCAAAACUAAAUACGUACAGAAUAUCAGAACUGAUCACGCAUACAAAAGAGAGGAGCUUGAGGUAGAGAGAAAAGCAUGUAGUUACACUAAGGUCCCAUUUGGCAAUUAUCAGAGGACACAGACCUAUUUGAAACUCUUACCAAACAAUAACUUUAGGCCUCAACAAAAUUAAGAAAGAUUUGCUCAUUUGUUACCAAAGACCAUUCAUCGUAGUAGAGUGAGUUGGUAAAGUCUAGAGAAGAGUUACAAGAGUUAGUUAUGAAAGAACUGUUGGCUGUUAGAACAGUGCCAGCUACAUAGGAGAGCUGUUAGUUACAGCUAUCAUAACUAACUUUAAGAAUGAACGGACUGUUGUGCCUUUUGUACUAGCUUGCACAGCAAGCUACCCUUCUCUAUACAUAAGCACAGAUUAGUGAUAAGCUCACUAGUAAUGCAGAUCAUAAAUUUCUUGUCUUUCUCUUCAAAUCCUCUUUUCUUUCUCACUGUGUUUUCUUCCUUCUCUCAUUCUCUCAAACCCUAUUCAAUCGACAUUUUCUUGGCACAUAGAACUAGUAAUUGUAUUAUAAAUUAAACAUAACAUAAGCCGAGGCUAAAGAUAGGUAUUCAUCAUCACAAAAGGAUUAAUAUAACAUGCCAAACAUAAUGAAUUUUUAAACGGCAACAAACUCCUGGUUUUCCAAAUUUUUUGUUAAAAGAUAAUAGCAAAUGCCUCCAUUUGUGUAUGUUUGUAUAUCUUCAGAAGAAUAUAAAGCACAAUAAACAUAUAAAAUAUGCAGCAAAAUGUAGAACAAGAACAUGAAAGAACGAAUAAUUCAGAAGGCAGAGGAUAUGACACAGUAUUUGAGCUUAGAAAUGAGGAUUAUGACAGCUUACUGUUCCUGCAGUUGAUCUGGAAGAAAGGAAUGUACUGUGCUUCAUUCUUGAUAAGCCAAAACCACAUAACUAUACGAAAGAAAAAAGAAAGGGUGAAAAAAAACAAUUAAACCAUAUCUACAGGUAGCAUUCAGCAUGCUAUCAAGAAAAUUCAAUCAUGACAAUUAGUUGACACCUUCACAACCCAAUUUUUAUCAACAAGAAGAUUUAGUGACUUAAAAUCACGGUGUACAAUUACUGGAGUGCAGUUGUGCAAAUGGUUUAUUCCUCAGGCCUGUAGAUUCAAGAGAUAUAUGUCACGUCAACUGAGUUUCACUGAUUAUGGCAAUAAUUUGCUUAAUGAAACUACAUCGCAAUAAAAGAAAACAGAAUCUUACAGUAUCGAGGACCAUCUCAACUGCCUUCGCUCAUCUAAUUGAUUGUUUGGCAGAUGAAUUAGUCUGUACAAACCUCCUCUGCAUAGCAAAUAUAAAGUUCAGACUUCAGAGUCAUUAAAAGUAAUCCUUCCAGAACAACAUUAAUCAAAAUAAUAAAUAAAUGCAAAGAAAUUCACCAAAUAAAAUCAAAUUCAAUUUAAAGAGUUCUGUAUUGUUUCACUUUUAACACCUCCGACACAACAACACACAAUGAAACUCCAAGCCAGUAAGAGUUUUUUUAAAAUGCUAAUAAUCAGAGAGUCAGAGACAAUGGAAUAAUGUCUACACAGNGUAGCAAUAAUUAAGUAAAAGCCAAAAAUUUUGAGACAACUGAACCAUAUUAACCUUAACUCGAUGUUGCUCAGGAUGAAGAAAAAAGGGGGCAUGCAUUUUAGAAGGUGGGUUUAAUUUUACGAUGGAAGUGAAAAACCAUAUAGCUUCCUCAUGAAACUCUCUUGGGGACUGAUUCACGACAGAGACAAGCUUUGGGUGAAAGUCAUGAGAGCCAAAUAUGACUGCAGUGAAGAUAUCUUGCUAAAGGUUCAGCAUAGAUCAGGUAGCUCAAAUGCCUGGGUCGGAAUUAAUAAGGUCUGGGAGAAAUUCAAAACCAAUCUCAUCUGGAGGCUUGGAGAUGGGAAUAAAGCCCUUUUUUUGAGGAAACAAUGGAUCCCUGGAUUCACUAAUCUGAAAGAGGUGGCCUUAACUAAUCUAGAAGAGGAUAAACUCAUUGAAAAGGUUGCAGACUAUGUCACCGAAAAUGGAGACUGGGAUUGGGAAGCCCUGAAUCGUGUUUUACCCGAAGAGGUCACAGAUAUUCUACAUACAAUCAAAGCUCCUAAUCCGCAAAUCGGGGAAGAUUCUAUCAGUUGGAUGUCCUGCCCAUAUGGUGUUUUUUCUAUUAAAUCAGCCUAUGAAACUUUUUGUAUUGAAGAUGGAGAGGAGCAUACUCUAUACAAACAUCGAAAAAUGUACAAUCACUAUAGUUGAGCUUUGGGGUUUCUUUAUAGGAAUGAAAUUAGCAGUAGACUUGCAUAUCCCUUACCUAGAAAUUGAAUCUGACCCGAGCUGUGCUAUUAAUUUCGUCCAGAGUACGGCGGUUGAGACUCACGUUGGAACUUCCCUGGUGAGGUCGAUCAAGGAGCUGCUGAUAAAACCGCAAAAAGUGGUGAUUCGGCAUAUCUUUAAAGAAGCGAGUCAAUGUGUGAUGCUCUAACCAAAUAUGGGCAAGGAAUGGAGAAAGGGGUCAUGCUGUUCAAAGAAGUCCCAGCUAUAAUGGUUCUCUUGAUGAAAACUGAUGAGCAUGGAGUGGAGUUUUGCAGAACCACUCUUGUUUAGUGUUUUUCUUUUUCCUGGGCUUUAGCCCCGUUUUAUAUCAAAGAAUAAAAAAGUAUUAGUACCCUUCUAAAACAAUGAUAUAUAGCUUCCCCCUCCCCUCUCCUCCCCUCUUUUAAUAUCACAAGUUGCACAACUUAAUGCAAUAUUUGUCUUGUUUCACAUGAAAAUAGGAAUAUUGAUUGUUUUUAUAAUUUUUUUCCUUUUAUUUUCGUAGUUACAUUUUUAUUAUUAUAUCUUUUUUUUUGGUUUAAAAAUUUAACAGCCGAGAAAUUGCAUUUUCCAUUGAAAGAUCCAUAAUCAAAUUAAGAGAACAAAACCAUUAUAGCUAUAAAUCUACUAAGUAAACAAAUUAAAACAAAUAGAUGAACAUUUUAUAGUUUGUGGAAUUGUUCCCUAUUAUAUUAUCCUCGCUUUCACCCAAUCAACGUAUACCUUCUAUAACGUUCAUCGAGUUGUGUACUUGUGUUGAGCUUUCGCAUAAUGUAGUUGAAACCUUGAAUUAAUAACAUAAUGUCUAUAAUUUGUAUUCUUCAAAUUUUGUUCACUUAAUGGAUGGCUUGGUUUUAACCUUCAACUUGCUGUUUUAUUUUCAUUGCAGUAAAAAGCCCACCAAUAUCAGCCUAUCAAGCAAAUCAUCAACCAAUACUAUUGUGUUUGAAGCAUUGAAAUUUCCAUGUCUGAAAAAAAAGCAUUGAAAUUUUUAUGGAUAAUUUAUACAAGAUAAAAAUAUUAUUUGGACCUUAAAGUUUCGGUUACAUUUUAAUUUAGUUCGUAACGCUUAAAAAUUCUUUUUUACAAACAUUUUAUUUCAUUCUAUUUUAGUCUUUUGGUCGAAAUUAAAAUUUUUCCAAAAAUAUUAUUUUCUCUCUAUUAUUGCCUUCUUAUUUCUUUUAUUGUUCUGUUACUUUUAUUUUUAAAUCAUUAGAACCAAAUAAAUAUGUUUGGAAAUAAAACAUCAAACAUUAGAAACAGAAUUAGAACUUAACUUAAAUGUUAGAAUUAUAAGAGUACUUACAGAUACAAAUAUAAAGUGAUAAAUAUAUCUAUAUUUUUUUAUUAAUGCAUAGUAGUGAAUAAAAUUAUCCAAUAAUAAAUUAAUUUAUUAUUAAUUUCAAAUCAAUUAGUUUGUCAAUUGUACAUUUAUCAGAGACUCAUUCAUUACAUAUGUAAUAACAAAAUUCAAACUACAUUUGCUGGUUUCAGAUAUAAAGUUAGACCCUAAAAUGUUUGGUCCCCCUGCUGAAUCAUCAAGUGCAACAAGACUUAUUCGUUUUGGUGUUCCAAGCUUUUUUGCUUUGUUGGCUGCUGCCCUAUUUUAGAUUAAUAGUCCAACAAAAUUUAUAUAUAUGAAUCUUUGUUUAUUUGAUGCUGAAAUUUUUUUUAUUAUUGUUUUUGGGAUGGGGGCUUGCUUGAUGAGAUUAUAUUAUGAGAUUUCAUUUCAUCAAUUGCAACCAAAACGCAUGUGCUUAGAGUUAUCAUAGAGCAAUUCAAUGAUUCUUUAAUUCUUUGAUCAUUUUGCCAUAUUACAGUAUCUUCAUCAAUGUAUUAACAUUUUUUUUAUGCAAAGAAAGCAGAAUAGAUUCUGCAGAAUUGAAGAAGAUAGUAUUCCUGAAUAUGAAUUCUAUAACAAUCUGAAUAGUCGAAUCACUAGUUCAUUAUAUGUUGUAUAUAGGGAUGGCCAAAAACCUUGAACCCAUGGAUAUCUAUUGAGAUUAUCCGGAGUUUUAACGGAACUCGCAAAAUCCCCACGGGGAUGAGGACCCCUCCCCACCAAAGAUGCUGGAGCUUUCGUACUAUUAUUGGAGCCCUGAAAGUGUUCGGUAUUGUUGAAUGAUGGUGAUAAAAAAAUUAUUUGGAGAGAAAAAUUAUGAUUGAAUGAUGACGAUCGAAAAUUAGGAAGUGGAAGGAUAUAUGCAGGGAAAAUUAGUAUUUGGAGGCAAAAUUAGCGAACACUCAGAAUUCUGUAUUGUUUCACUUUAACACCCCCAUAACAAAACUCCAAGCCAGUAACUUUUUUUAAAAUGCUAAUAAACAGAGAGUUAGAGACAAUGGAAUAAUGUCUACACAAGAAAUAAUGAAGUAAUUUAUCUAAGAAUUAACAGAAAAACAUUCUCCGAAAAAGUAUUUCAUAAUGUACAUAUUUUCAGCAGCAAUUUCCAAGCAAUACAACUGAGUAGCAUUAAUUAAGAAAAUGGCCAAAAAUCUUGAGAUAACUAAACCAAGUUACCUUGACUCGAUGUUGCUUAGGUAGAUGAAAAGAGGGGACAUGCAUUUUAGAAGGUGGGUUUAUUUUUAAGAUGGAAGUGUAAACUAUAUAGCCUAAGAAUAAAUCCUUAGUACCUAUUUAAAUUUCCUUUUCUAUAUAUAUAUGGUACCGACAAAGAUACGGAAAAAUAAGUUGCACAACAGAAUAGUAGAGAACAAACAACAAACAACAAAACAAAAUUUUCAAUCUUUUUAGUUUUGCUUAAUUUUAACAUGAUAAAUACAUGAUCUCAUAGAAUAACAGUAAAUAACACUCUGUUGCUAUAAAGAGAUCUUAAACACAAAUCCGUAAGCUAUAACUAGGAAUAUCAUCUAAAGAAUCAAUAAUGUAGUGGAAUGAAAAAGGAUGAUAGCAAUUGCAAAAAUCGGAAGUGCAAAAUUAAUUAAUGUUAUGGUAUUGCCAAAGUCCUCUGACCCAACAGACACAGAAUUUACAAAACUAUGAUACAUAUUCAGCAACAGUGAGAUGUAAUUUCAAUUUGAGUUGAUGUAUUUUACCUUCUUUUAUCAAUUUAAUAAGCCUCUAGCAACCAUUUUCCGAAGAAGUUUCUCCGCCAUGUCAUUCUCAUCUUUUUCAAACAAAGCACGGAUAACAGUUUCAAAAGUCACAGCAUCUGGUAAGCAACCAUUGCCUUCCAUUUCCGACAGCAGGGCCAAUGCUUCUUCAAACAAGCCCUCUCUGCAGAGCCCAUUGAUCAUAAUAGUGUAUGUCCUCAUAUUUAGAGGAUAGCCUUUCACAGAAAGAUCUUGAAAAAUCUCUUUUGCAACUACAAGUCUUCCACCUUUGCAUAGGCCAUCAAUAAGUACAUUGUACGUGGAUAUAUCUGGAUCAAUGCCACUCUCUUUCAUUUGCUUGAAUAACACAAGUGCCUUGUCAACUUGUUUGAUAUUGAACAUCCCAUCCAACAAGGAAUUGUAAGUCACUACAUUAGCGGGUGGACCUCUCUCGUGCAUCUUGACAAGAAGCUCCAAAGCACAAGAGAUUCUCUUUGAUUUGCUCAAGCCAUCAAUAAGAGUGUUGUAAGUUACCGUGUUUGGAACCAAGUACUUACGACGCAUUUCUUCAAAGAGACUCAAGGCUUCAUCGACCAUUUUACUUUUGCACAAGCCAUUAAUCAUGAUAUUGUAACUUUGAACAUUAAGUAACACUCUACUUUGGGCCAUUGUGUUGAAUACAUAUUUUGCCUUAUUUACCUGAUUAACCAAACAAUAUCCGUCCAUUAAGCUGUUAUAAGUAACCACAUUUGGUUUCACACCAUGUUUUGUCAUCACAGCCAACACAUUUUUUGCAUCUUUGAUCUUUCCUUCCUUGCAUAGCCCAUCCAUCAAAAUACUAUAGGUAUGAACAUCAGGAGUAAUAUUUCUAAGCACCAUAUCACUUAACAAAUCAAUGGCUUCCUUAUAUUGACCCUCAAGACACAAUCCAAAAAUGAGAGAACUGUAUGUGAUAACAUCGGGAGAAAUUCCCUUAGCAAGCAUUUCAGAGAAUAACUGAAAAGCCUGACUUACAAGUGUAUCCUUGCAGAGGCUAUCAAUAAUUGCGCUGUACAUGAAGACAUCAGGAGCAAUGCCAUAACGUGGGAUGUUUCUCAACACUUGAAUAGCAGCUGAUGUGUGUCCGGUCUUACAGAGCCCAUUGAUCAAGGUCCCAUAAGUGACUUGGUCGAAGUGAAAUCCAUGAGCCAGCAGUCUGUCAUGAAAGCGCACUGCUUUUUCAACACUACCACAGAGAUAGAGACCUUUCAGGAUUGUUGUCAAUGUUACCGUAUUAGGUUGAUAAUCCAUUCUGAAAAUCUUGGCCAAUACAGAGAAAGCAAGCGUCAUACAACCCAUGCCGCAACAACAAUUAAUUACGAUGGUCAAAGUAAAUAAGUCGGGAGCGAUUCCCCUGGCUUGCAAUUGCUGAAAAAGGGAAAUGGCGGUGGAGAAAUGGUUGGUCUUGGCAAGAGAUCCCAAAAUCUUGGUGAAUUGGAUGAUGGACGGAGGGCGACGCAUAGAGAGCAUGCGAGUGAAGGAAUCAACAGCUUCAUCAACUUGGCGAGUAGAAUGAGAGUGAAGGGAUGAAGAGGAAGGGAAGGAAACAAAAUUAGGGAUUUGGAGAAGAGAAUACCUAAAAAUGAAAGUGAUCUUUGAGGUUGAGGAUGACAACAUUUUAGUGAUUCCCACUUUCGCUGUUGUCUAAGUUUGAGGGAGUUUGCUAACCCUGCGGAAAUAGUCCUACGGCUCCUACCCCCGUCCCCCUCCCUGUCACCGAUUUAAUCCUAAUGACAUAAUAAUUGGAGGUCUCCAGAUUCCACGCCCGUUUUAUUUUUAUCAACUUUAUGAAUUGGAACUGGCCAAAUAAAUUAUAAGGCUUGGGGGGAGUAAUGGUUUCAUUUCAUCAAUCAUCCUGCUCGAGAAAAAAGGUGACCCAUCAAAUAAUAAUAAUAAUAAUAAUAAUAAUAAUAAAAUUUAAUUAUUUUGUUAGCCUUUAUAAUUAAAUCAAAUUUUUAAUUAAAUUUUUAGAAUUUAAAAAAUUAUAAUUAAAUUUGUAUAUUAAAUAAAAAUUUAUAAUUAAAUUUUUANNNNNNNNNNNNNNNNNNNNNNNNNNNNNNNNNNNNNNNNNNNNNNNNNNNNNNNNNNNNNNNNNNNNNNNNNNNNNNNNNNNNNNNNNNNNNNNNNNNNNNNNNNNNNNNUUUAAUUAUAAAUUUUUAAAUUAUAAAAAUCUAAGUAAAAAUUUGAUGAAAUUAUAAAUACUAAUACAAUAAUUAAAUAUAAUAAUAAUUACAAUAAAGGGACAUGUUAUCCUUAGAAAAGUAUAGUAUCGAUAAAUAAUUUUAGGGUUUAUAGUUUAGAGAAUUUGUUGAGUAAUAUAAUAUUAAAAUAGGUCGAAUUAGUGUGUUUGAAGUGGAUAGCAUCACACUUGCCAUAAUUUUACUGGUACAUUUAAUAUAUACUUAUUUGUAAAAUUUUGUCCAAUUUUAUAUAUUUUUUCGGGUAAAGUGGAAGACCAAAAAUAUUUAAUAUUAUGCUAAGAAAAAAUAUACUAAAAAAUUUAUACUUAGAUAAUAUUUUUACUCUAAUAAUUAAUUAGAAUUAAUUUUUAUUUAUGCCUCUUGAUAAUUGUUUAUUUAUAUUAAAAAAGCUAUCAAACAAUAUUGACAAAUCAAUUUAUAAUUAAAUUUUUAUAUUAGAUAAAAAUUUAUAAUUAGAUAUUCAUUAGUUGUUGUCAAGUACAACAAGACUCAUUCGUUUUGGUGUUCCAAGCUUUUUUAUUUUGUUGGCUGCUACUCUAUUUUAAAUUAAUAGUCCAACAAAAUUCAUGUAUAUGAAUCUUUGUUUAUUUGAUGCUGAAAUUAUUAUUAUUAUUAUUAUUAUUAUUAUUAUUAUUAUUAUUAUUAUUAUUAUUAUUGGGAUGGGGGCUUGCUUGCUUCGAUGAGAAUAUAUUAUGAGAUUUCACAUCAUCAAUUGCAACCAAAACACAUAUACUUAGAGCUGAUAGAAACAAGAGAGAAAUAUGAGAAAAGUGUUUUUGUAUAUUGUUCAGGUUGAUUAAAAGUAUAAUGUACAAGGCGUAUAUAUAGGUGCUAUAAGAAUCAAAGUAAUAAAAGUAUAGAAUUCUACAAUUAAUAUACAUAUAUGCCAUAUAAAUAUAAACGAUACUAACUGAUCUAAAAUGAUUCUAAUGAUUCUCUAAUAUUCCCCCUCAAACUCAAGCAGGAGCUAAGGAUACCAUCUUGAGUUUGGAUAACAAAGUCCGGAAACGAGUCGGGUGAUGAGCUUUCGUGAAGAUAUCAGCAGUCUGAUCUAGUGUACCAACAGCAAUGAGACGAACAGCAUCAAUAAGGAUACGUUGCCGAACAAAAUGACAAUCAAUCUCAAUGUGUUUGGUGCGUUCAUGAAAGACAUCAUUAUGAACAAUCUGAAUAGCACUGCGAUUGUCACAAAAAACAUCAGUAGGGGACGACUGAGGAGCACCCAAAUCUUCGAGAAGCCAACGAAUGGAGAUAACCUCAGCAAUGGUGUCAGCGACGGCACGGUACUCAGCUUCUGUACUUGAUCGAGCAGUGAACGUUUGCUUCUUAGCACGCCAAGAAUGAGAGCGUCGCCAAGAAACAAACAGUAACCAGUAGUAGAACGACGAUCAGUGGGAUCACCAGCCCAAUCAGCAUCGGAGUACGCCUGAAGGCACAAAGAGAAAUGGGCAGAAAAAUAAAGGCCAUGAAAUAGAGUGCCUUUGAUGUAGCGAAGAAUGCGAAGAACUGCCGCAUAGUGAGUAGUCCGAGGAGAUUACAAGAACUGGCUAAGUACAUGAACUGGAUAGGCGAUGUCUGGUCGGGUGACAGUUAAGUAGACGAGUCCUCCAACUAGCUGUCGAUAGAGAGUAGGAUUUUCCAAAACAGUGCCAUCCAUAGGAGUAAAUCGAACAUUAGGCUCAAGAGGAGUAAACUCAGUACGACUAUCCGUAAUUCCGGCUCGAGCAAGGAGAUCUGAAGCAUAUUUAGCCUGAGAGAGAUAGAUGCCAUCAUCGGUGGAUAUGACUUCUAAACCAAGAAAAUAGUUGAGAGAACCAAGAUCUUUCAUCUCAAAAGUACGCUGAAGGGAUGCCUUGAGAUCAGAGAUACCAUCAACAUCAUCUCCAGUAAUGAUCAUGUCAUCAACAUACAGAAGCAGAAGAACGACUCCACGUUCACUUUUACGAAUAAAGAGAGCAUGCUCAUGAGGACUGCAAGUGAAACCAAGACUACAUAUGGUAGUACUAAACUUGUCAAACCAUUCACGAGGAGCUUGCUUAAGCCCAUAGAGUGCCUUGCGAAGGAGACAAACUUUGCCAGAGGGACAAGGAUAACCCGGAGGGGGUUUCAUAUAGACCUGCUAUUUCAAAUCUCCAUUAAGAAAUGCAUUCUUCACAUCCAUCUGACUGAGAGACCUUUUUUGACCGCAGCAAUGGCAAGAAGAGCUCGAACAGAUGUGAGACGAGCAAUAGGAGCAAAAGUCUCUUCAUAGUCAAUAUCAUACUCUUGCGUACAAUCCUGAGCAACCAAUCGUGCCUUAUAACGGUCAAUAGAACCAUCAGAGCGAGUCUUGAUCUUGUAUACCCAUCUGCUAUCUACAACUUCCUGAGCAGAAGGAGGAUCAACCAAAUCCCAAGUGUGUGCCUUUUCAAGUGCCUGUAUUUCUUCCUGCAUUGCUUGUUGCCAAUGUGGAUUUGUGGAGGCUUCUCUGAAUGACUUAGGUUCAUGUUGAUGAAGGAUAGUAGAAAAACAAUGAUAAUCAAGAAGAUGAGGAGGUGGAUUUCUUACCCUAGAAGAACGAGCGGGAGGAGGAGGCAUGACAGUAGGAGCAGGAUCAUCGUCUGGUCUGGAAUCAUUAGGAGAUGGAGAAGGCGGAAGAACAGGAGGCUGUGGAGGGUCACUCGAGAUAAAAUCUGUAGAAUCAUCACUAGGAAAAAGAUCAACAUUGGGGUUAGUAAACAAAGGUGACUGAGUAGUAGGAAUUGACUCAAAGGAUGAGAACCGAGAAAACAUGUGAUGCUUUCAGAAGACAACAUGACGAGAUAUACGGACACGUUUAGAGAGAGGAUCCCAACAACGAUAACCCUUGUGUUUAGUGCCAUAACCAAGGAAACAACACAUACGAGCCCGAGGUUCAUGUUUACUAUGUUCAUGAGGCUGAAGAAGAACAAAACAUACACAACCAAAAACUCGAAGAGAACUAUAAUCUGGGGAGGUAUGAUAAAGAUGCUCAAAGGGAGUAACAUUACCAAGAACAGAAGAAGGGAGUCUGUUGAUAACAUGGACAGCAGUAAGAAUAACUUCACCCCAAGUACGCUCAGGACACGAAGAAGAAAGGAGCAUUGCAUGGACGGAGUCAAGAAUGUGACGGUGUUUGCGUUCAGCUCUACCAUUUUGUUGAGACGUACCAGGACAAGAAAACUCAGACAAAGUACCCUGUUCUGCAAGAAAGGUUAAGAGUUUGGAAUCAUGGUAUUCCAUAGCAUUAUCACGUCUGAAAACCUUAAUAACCUUGGAAAACUGAGUUUUAAUCAUAGUAGCAAAGUUGAUAUAGAUCUGAGGUAACUCAUGGCGAUUAGUCAUCAAAUAAACCCAAGUAAAACGGGAAUAAUCAUCAAUGAAAAUGACAAAGUAUCGAGCUCCGCCCAUAGAGGCAGUGGAAGCGGGCCCCCAAACAUCAAAGUGAAUGAGAUCAAAAGGAGAGCAAGCAAGAGAUGAAUUAUUGUGAAAAGAUAAAGCAGAUUGUUUGGCAGUUUGGCAAGAAAUGCAAUCAAAAGAUUCAUUUGGAACCUGACCUAAAACACCCUGAGACACGAGGAUGCAGUUUUCUUAAGGAGGUGUGGGCAAGACGUUGAUGCCAUAAGUGAAGGGUAGAGGGAGAAGAAGCAGCACAGAGAUUUUGUACAGGAAGAAUAUGAAGAUUCUCGAGUUCAAACAACCUUCCGACCUUACGUCCAGUCUCGAUGAUUUGUCCCGUCCGAGGAUCCUGUACACGACAACCAGAAAGAGAAAAAGUGACUUCAAAACCCAAAUCAACAAGUUGACCAACAGAAAUAAGAUUAAAGUUUAAUUUGGGAAUAUAAUAAGUAUCAGGAAGAUUAAGAGUCGACUGGGAUAUAGAACCCUUGUGUAUUGCGUGCAAGAGGGAACCAUUUGCAGUAUUGACAGAAGGUCCAUUUGUAGUGGUAGACAGAGACGAGAAGAGAUUACGCAAUGGAGACAUGUGAUUAAAGCAUCCCGAGUCAAAAUACCAUUUAGAAUUACCUGGAGGGGUUGAAAGAGCAGCAGGGGUAUUACCAGAAAAGGAGAGAAGACGUUGAAGAAGAGACGCAAUAUCAGAUAGAGAGACAGGAGACGAGUUGAGAGGAGCAGUGGUGGUAGAUUUAAGAGUAGUAUCAACAGUAAAAGCAGGCGUAGGACGUGGUGGGUGAGUAGGACAGGUAGUAAUCAAAUGUCCCGAGAGCUUGCAAUAAUGGCAAAACAGUUGUGCACAAUGGUAGCUAAUAUGACCUUUUUGGUGGCAUGUGCGACAUUCAACAGAGGAACAGCCGGAGAACGAGUGCCCAAAACAGUUACAGUUACGACAGAAGGUGCCUUUUCUAUCUGUGGCAGCAAAAACAUCUAACUUUUCCAUAAUAGUAGUCACAGAGAUCAAGGAGAGGAGAGAAAACUGCAAUGUUGGAGCAGAAAAUGAGGAAACGGAUGGCAAAAUCGAAAAGAGCUCACCAAAAAACCUUAGGGAGGGUCCCGCUGUCUGACACGACAGCGGCCACGUCAGAUGCCACGUCAGCUGCUUCGUCCGCAGAGAAAGACACGUGGUAACACGCGAUAGGAGGAAGGAGAUGCGUCAGCGCUGACGCGGGCAUGGAGCUGGCAGCGGGUCGGUCUGGGUCGGGUCGGACGCGGUUUGGGCGGAACCGCGUGGAUGCUGGCGAUGACACGUGGCGCUGUCUGGGACCGUUGAUCCUGGGCGUGGAUCCAACGGUUCUGGAUGGCGUCUGGGGAGAGAAAACCUGAAGCGGUGACCGGACUUCUGGCGGCGCGUGAGGGCGCGUCCGGCGGAGGUAGGAGGCGAGGUCGGCGGCGUUGGAAAGCUUGCAACGAGUAGAAGACGAAGGUGGCGGCGGUGACGAACCAAGGCGCCAGGAAGAAGUCGAAAACGAAGGACAAAGUACUGCCGGUGAAACAAGAUAAAGGAGGUAGAAACCAAUUAUUUCUGAAAAAAAAAAUAACCUAAGCUCUUGAUACCAUGUUAGAAACAAGAGAGAAAUCUGAGAAAAGUGUUUCUGUGUAUUGUUCAGGUUGAUCAAAAGUACAAUGUACAAGGGGUAUAUAUAGGUGCCAGAAGAAUCAAAGUAAUAAAAGUAUAGAAUCCUACAAUUAAUAUACAGAUAUGCCAUAUAGAUAUAAACGAUACUAACUGAUCUAAAAUGAUUCUAAUGAUUCUCUAAUGAUUCUCUAACAAGAGCUAUCAUAGAGCAAUUCAAUGAUUUUAUAAUUCUUUGAUCAUUUUGCCAUAUUAUAGUAUCUUCAAUAUAUUAACAUUUUUUGAGACAAAGAAAGCAGAAUAGAUUCUGCAGAAUUGGAAGAAGAUAGUAUUCUUAAAUAUGAAUUUAAUAACCAUUUAACUAGUUAAAUCGUUAUACGGUUGUAUAUUCGGCCAAAAAACUUGCAUCCAUAAAUAUUUGCUGGGAUUAUCCGUGACUGAAGGCUAACGGGUAUCCGCGCGCAAAAUUUUCACGGAGAUGAGGAUUCACCCCGCCAAUAAAUAGAAACGGGAGACAGAAAUUAAAAUACCUGCUCUACGUAAAUGUGAAUUUUUUAUAAAAAAAAUUUACUUAAAUACCUUUAUAUACAUCACAAAUACGAUAAAAAUAAUAAUAUAGAAUUUGUACUAUAAUGACAAAAAUUACAUAACAUGUAUAGGUUAUGAUGGCUGAGUAAGUCAGGUUGACAAAAAAUAAUGUAAUUGACUUUUGAAAUAAAAAUUUACCAAACAAAUAAUUUUAAGAGUGAAUUAUCAAUCUAGUCAUGUCCGUUUCUCAGAAUGACAACGCGACCUCUUAAGAAAAAAAUAAUCCACUUCGGUCCCUGUUAUUUAUUUCUUAACACGACGCAAUUCCUAUGACUUUUUCUCCGUCAACUCUGAACGAAAAAUGCUGACGUGUCAGGUUUAAAAAUGAACAAGCACCUAAUUGUCUUAAUGUGGAUUGAUUAAAAUUUUACUAUAUUAAAAUUCAAUUAAAUUUACAUAUAUUUUACUCAAAAUCAAGUAUUAUGAUCUAGAUAAUUUUCACAAUAAAGUGAAAACUAAUAAACACAUUAUUUGAUAUAUAGUAAAAUUUUUCUAUGUAAUAACAAAUUUAAUUUUUUAUCUUUUUAAACUAAAUUAAUAAUUCUAUUUGAUAUCUUUGCAUUAAAUUAAUAACAUAAUAUCAUAGGGUCAUUAUUAAUGUAUUCACCGUAUUUUAAUGUUUAUUAUUUAUAUAUUUAAAAAUUAUAUUUGAGAAUUAUUUAUUUAGUUUCAUAAUAAAUAAUAUUUUUAAAUUUGAAUAAUUUAUUAAUUAGUUUGUAUUUAUUAUAUCAUAUAUUCAAUAAUUUAUAAAAAAAGAAUAUUAAUAUAAUGAAUAAAAAAAUAAAUUAAAAAAAUAUCAUUUAAAAAAUAAAGACAAAUAAAUCCCUAACCAAUUUAAAUUUAGAAACAAUUAAAUCCCUGGCCAUUUUUGAAUCUGACACGUCAGUAUUUUUCAUUCAGAGUUGACGGAGAAACAGAGACCGCGUUGUCUCACAAAAUAAAGAAUAGAGACCGAAGUGGAUCGUAUUUUUUUUAAGGGGUCGCAUUAUCAUCUGAGAAAUGGAUAGGAAUCAGAUUGAUAGUUCACUCAAAUUCUAAAGUAAAGCAUGAGUAUUAAAUUUGAAAAGAACAAAAAAGGGUCCGAAGAUGCUGGAGGUGUAGUACUAUUAUUGGAGUCCUGAAAGUGUUCACCAUUGUUGAACGAUGGUGAUAAAAAAAAUUAUUUGGCGAGAAAUUAUGAUUGAAUGAUGAUCGAAAAUUAGGAAUUUGAAGGAUAUGUGCACGAAAAAUUAGUAUUUAGAGGCAAAAUUACGGCCCGUUUGGUUAUUGUCCAUGUCCAUCAAAGACAUAGACACGAUGACACACGUCCAGUGUUUGUUGUAUGAGACACAAAAAAGUGAGAGACACAGUUACACACAAGAGUACAUGAAAUACGUGUAUUUUGUGUCUCUUCCAAAUGGUGAGACACGAAAUUGAAGCCAUGGACAUGGAUCUAAAAUCUUUUUUUUGGACAAUUUUAUCCUCAUUGAUUUUUUGAAAUUCCAAAUUUCUCCUUCUCUUUUUACAAACCCUAAUCAAUUCUGAGCUCUUGUCUUCUGUUUUCUGAAGCUUCGUGUGUUCUUCAUUGUGGGUAUGUGUUGGUUAAUUUUGUGAAACUUUUUAUUAUUCUAAGACAAUUUCCUUCUCCUUUUCACAAACUUUAACUAAUUCUAAUCUCUUCUCUUCUGUUUCUGGCUUUCUAUAGCUUUGUGUCUUCUUCACUUGUGUGUGCUGCCAUUUUUCUGAAGUUUUUUUAUUGUUCUAUCACAAUCUUUCUCCUUUAUCUGUGCUAGAAAACUCAACUCAAGGUUUGACAUAAUAAUAAUAUUUUUGUUUGUUUGUAUGUUGUAUUUGUAUGCUGCUAUAUUAGAUAUUCUUUUUUUCUUUUUGAGCACAUAUGUGUUAGGUACUCUUCUGCUCUCCCUGUUCUGGGUAUGCAAAUUUAUAGUUUUAAAUAUCUGAAAUAAUUAUAUUUUUAAUGGGGUUUGGUUGGAGUAUUAUGUUGGGUUAUCUUGUUUUUUCUGUUUUGGUCAAUAAAAUAGAUUAUAAGUGAUGGUAACUAAAUUAAGAGUUCUCCAUUUAUGUAUCAAAAACUAUUAGCUUGAUAAUAUGAGUAUGUGAUUAUGUAAUGAGUGUUUUCUCUAUUUAAAGUUUAAUUGAAAUGAUAAAGAAAAACUUAUUUUUUAGUGUUGUCAUACUGGAUAUUAGAAUUUAUUUUAUUUUUAUGCAUUUACUUUUUAUUGUUUGUUAGAAAGUGAUGAUGGAUCGUUCUGAACAAAUUAAGUUAUGUGUUGGAUAUUACUGGAUCAUGAGAAUGCAAUUUGAUACGUUGAUGUUGUUUUUUUUAGUUACUUUAUAUAUGUAUAUUAGGAAUAGAAGGUGGGAUCAUUCUUCAAUUGGGUGAAGAGUGAACACAUUGCCAUUAAGGCGAGAUACAUUAGAUAACAUCAUUGGGGCAGGCGGAGAUAGAAAUUGCAUAUGGGAGUUAAGAAUGAGUUUGAAUGCAUUUGCAAAUUUGUGUGAAUUGCUACAAGUUCAAGGUGGGUUAGACGAAGAUGGUCAUGUUGGCAUAGGCGAGCAAGUAGCAACUUUCUUGAUCAUAUUAGCUCAUCAUACCAAAAAUCGCAGCGUACAAGUUAGGUUUUAUAGGUCUGGUGAAACUAUUAGUAGGUAUUUUCAUAAGGUAUUAGGUUCGGUUUUGCGUGUCCAAAGUGUGUUAUUUGCAAAGGCAGACCCUGUACCAGAGGAUUGUAUAGAUCCCAGAUGGAAAUAGUUUAAGGUAAGGUGUUGCAUAAAGUUUAAAUUUUUAUUGGUCAAGUUUACUUGUAUGUAAUAACUAUUUUAUUUUGUCCAUUUGAUAGGAUUGUCUAGGAGCAUUAGAUAGCACUUACAUAAAUGUCACAGUCCCAAAGGGUGAUAAAUCUAGGUAUCGGACAAGGAAAUCUAGAAUAUCCACCAAUGUCUUAGGAGUUUACAAUCGGAACAUGAAUUUCGUCUAUGUCCUUAGCGGUUGGGAAGGAUCGGCAUCUGAUUCAAGGGUACUUAGAGAUGCAAUUACUCGACGUAAUGGCCUAAAAAUACCUGUUUUGAUAUGUUUAAAUUAAUCUUUUGAUAAGUGCAUUAACUAUCUAUUAAAGAAUUACAAUAUUCCCCUUAUAAUUUUUCCAUCCUUCAAUUUUAGGGUCUUAUUAUUUAGUGGAUGCUGGCUAUACCAAUGGUAGAGGAUUUUUAUCUCCUUAUAAAAAUGUCAGGUAUCAUGUGAAUGAGUGGGCUCAAGGUCAACGUGCACCACAAAAUCGUCUAGAGUUAUUUAAUAAGAAGCACUCUUCGGCUAGGAAUGUGAUUCAACGGUGCUUUGGGUUGCUUAAGAAGAGAUGGGCAAUUCUACGAAACCCCUCAUUCUAACAUAACAAAAAAAAUACAAGGGAAAAAAUUUAUAUCAUCCCAAGAGCCAUCAACAACUACUAGCACUUUUUUCUCACAACUUUGUAGCUUUAUUAUUUGGUUCUUCCAACUUUGCUCCUUAUUGUUUGCUUCUUCCAGGCCACUAAGUAGAGGUCAAUUCUAAUUACUCAACUAAAGUUUGAUUCUUUUCCUAUAUGUAAAUUGAACAAUGUAUUUAAAAUAUGAGAACUCAACUGGAGUACUAGAAUUCAAUUAGAGUUUUAGAAUUCAAUUCUUUGAUACAAUAACAUAAGAAAUUCAACUGGAAUUUAAAAAGUACGACAUUGAUGAUGUAUAAAAGGCACUCAUUAACAUAUAUAGGAUAGUAAUUAUAAAGCAUGCUUAUAGCCAGCUCACAUGCUAGAAAAAGAUUGAUUACAAUAUUUCAUCAAACCUAAAAUGGAAGCUACAGAGAAAAGAACAAUUAGUAAGUUGAGUAAGAGAUUGGUGAGCAUCAACAUCAAGUGCUGCCACAGUAGCUACAACUAACAUUAACAUAGUCUAUAAAGAUUUUGUAUGCCAAAAUAAAUUUCAUUUUACUACUACAUUCACUAAUGGAAAAAAUAAAAUAAUAAAUUAAAUAAAAUACUAAAAAAAGAGAGGGGAUCAUAACGUCCAUAUGAUUUUCAACUAAAAAGAUACAAAAUUUGAAGUGUCAAAGCAAUACCUAUUUGAAAAAACACUGGGAUGAAGGGCUUAGAGGCUUCAAAUGUUAUCCAAUUUACAUAUAUGUUUAGCAAUCUAACAUAAUUAACACUCAUUCAAUGUCACCAAUUCUUGAUUUUUUCAGCAUAACCAAAAAAAUUAAGCAGCAACUUUUCUUCACUGAUUCUCAAUUAAACCUUGGAAGAGCAAGAAAUUGAUGGGAAGAAGAACAUUAUACCUCACCUCCAUGAAAAUUGAACGUAUACAGUGAAGAAGAGGAAUUUGUGACAAACAAAACAAGGGACAGAGCCACAAGAAAACAAACACUGGAUACGGAGAUGGAGGAGAGGGUUUAGGGUAGAUGCGGCCAGCGUGCAAGGUGAAGACAUUCACGAAGGAGGAGAGCGACUAAAGAGAGGAAGUGUUUUGGGGGUAGGGAUAACUGACGAUAAAUGGUGAAGAAUAGGGGUUUUUAUCUCACUCUUUUUUUUUUUACUUUUAAUAUUAAUUAUUUUUAAAUUUAAUUUAUGAGGACAAAAUAGUCAUUUUUAGUUAUGUAAUGUUCUUGUGUUUUGUAACCAAACAUAAUAUUAGACACUACACACUAGUGUCAUGUCUAUUAUUUCCAAACACUAUACACAAACACAAAUAUUUUAUGUUUAUGUCUCAAGUGUCUAUGUCUUAAUGUCUAUGUCCCAAUGCAUACACAAACCAAACGGAGCCUUAGCGAACACUCAAAAUGCAAAUUUUCCUUCAGAUAUCGCACCAAAUUUUAGUUUAAGAAUAAGUGAAAAUGAUAGCGAUAUGAUUAAAGAUCCUUUGAGAAAAUGGAAGCAAACAUAGAAAAUAAAGCCAAGUAAACUCAAUAAGAAUGAGAUAGAUAGGUAUUUGGAAGAUGAUGUAACCAAAGAUUUUAAUAGAUUUGAUGUAUUGAGGUGGUAGAAAAGAAAAACACUUUAAGUAUCGUGUUCUCAUGACUAGAAAUAUAUUAGUCAUUCAUGUUUUUUACUGUAAUAUCUGUUUCUACUUUCUACUAUAUUGCAUUAACUAGACUAUAUCUAAAGUCACAUGACAUUAUUAUUAAUUUAAUUCAAAUUCAAUAAUAUAUAAGACAAUAAUAAACAAUAUAAUUCAAAUUCAAUAAUAUAAAAAAUUAUUACAUGUACAAUAUAAUAACUUCUUAUAAAUUGAUUAGGUGAAACUUAACCUAUGAUAUCUUGCAGGAACUAAUACUAGAAAAUUAACAAUAAAUAAUAAAUUAUCAUAUAAUAUUGACACAAAAAAUUAUCAUAUAAUAUUAGUAAAUUUUAUAGUUACAUUUCAUAAUAAAUACUACAUAUAAAAUAUACUAGCGGUCACAAUUUAUAGCGCCAACAAUUACCAGCACCAAAAAUUUUAAUAUAGUUAACCAUUUUUUCUUCUGCUACGAGGUAGAAUCGCAACUUUUUAAUGACAUAACAAAAGUUAAAUUACCUAUGCCUACAAAUGGUAAAACCUGAACAGAACUGCAUUGUAGAUUGCAUAACGAAAACUGAAAAAAAAUAAAUAAAUAAAAAAUACUAUUCAACUUGAGCUCCCAUUUUGUAUGUCAGUGAAAAUGAACAAAGAAUUGGUUAACUAUAUUAAAAUUUUCCCUUUCUGUAGAGUCUCAAACAACUCUUGAUGACAGAGCCAUCUUGUUCUUGAUGAACUUGCAAUAUCCAAAACACAUUGUAUAUCAUAUACUCUCACCAUAAAGCAAGAUUAUUCCCUUUGCAGUAUCAAAUGUUUAUUUGGAGUACUGUUUGCUUAAGUCUAAAACUGUUUUAUGCAGCACGCACCACACAAAGUUAGAAUGGAAGUAUAUAAAUAAAGAACCAAAUUAUAAUGCAAAGAUUGGCUUUGCAAAGUUUAUAGCAACAGCAAUAUUUCAUCCAUUUGAGAUGAAGUGAUUUUUGUUUGAGUUUCAUGAGAAAAGUGAUUUUUGAAGUUUAAAAUCUAGUUAGUAUGGGUUCAACUAGAAACCAAAUUAGUUGAGAAGAACUCUAGUGUCUCACAAUUGAUUCCAAAGGGGCCAAAUACAAAUCAAAGUAUAAAGGAAAAUUCACACUAGAGAGCUUCAACAUAGUUUGGAUUAAUGUGUAGCCAGUUAAAUUUAUACAUAUAACAUGGUAGAUUGGUAUUUAUCCAUAUGUAAAUGGAGGACUCUUCGAUCAAAAAUCAACAAGCAUUAUCUACUCAGAUGUUAAUUCCUACUAACUCACAACUAAUUUGGGUUAAUCAACUCCUAAACGAAAACAAGCAAUGGAACCAACAGCUCAUUGCAGAACAAUUCAGUACAGAUAUUGCACAGAAUAUUUUACAAACUGAAAUUGGGGAACGGGAUGAUUCAGUUACCUGGCCAAGGGAGAAAAAGGGUUGCUACACCGUGGCUUCAGGAUAUUUACUGGCGCACUAGUUCUGCCACCCUCCACUCGAUCUGAUGCCACUCCACUGCCAGCAGAAGAAGCUCUGGACUUCUAUUUGGGACCUGAAAGUGCAACCGAAAAUAAGAAUCUUCCUCUGGAAAGUAAUGCACAAGGGAUUGCCGGUGAACCAACAACUCCAUGGAAGAAUCAGAACAAUACCCCCAACCUGUCGAAGAUGUACCACGAUGGAAGAAACAGUCCAACACUGCAUAAUUAGCUGUGGUCAGUCAUGGUCCACUUGGCUCAGAUCCGGAAUUGGAGUCCCUGGAAGUCAAACGGACCAAGAAGUAUGGCAACGGUGGAUAGAGUUAACUGAGAAGUUGAAAAGAAGCAGAAAUGGUGUGAAGAAAUUGAGAGAAGCUGCAAACCUGAUGUGGGAGAUAUGGAAGGCUCGCAACAGAUUCAUGUUUGACGGUGAAGAGUUCGAUGAGGCUUGUGUCCUUGAACGAGCCAGAAGGAGUGAAUCAGAGUUCCAAGCGUGCUUGCUCGACUGAGGAAUGCGAAGAAGAUUAGAAAUGUCUGAAGAAGAAGUACAUCCCAUCCAACAACGAAUUGUAAGUGACUACAUUAGCGGGUUGACCUCUAUGAUGCAUCUCGAUAAGAAGCUCCAAAGCACGGGAGAUUCUCUUUGAUUUGCUCAAGCCAUCAAUAAGAGUGCUGUAAGUUACCGUGUCUGGAACCAAGUUCUUGUGAUGCAUUUCUUCAAAGAGAUUCAAGGCUUCAUCGACCAUUUUACUUUUGCAGAAGCCAUUAAUCAUGAUACUGUAACUUUGAACAUUGGGUAACACUCUAAUUUGGGCCAUUGUGUUGAAUAUAUAUUUUGCCCUAUUUACCUGAUUAACCAAACAAUAUCCAUCCAUUAAGCUGGUAUAAGUAACUACAUCUGGUUUCACACCAUGUUUUGCCAUUACAGCCAAUACACUCUUAGCAUCUUUGAUCUUUCCUUCCUUGCAUAGCCCAUCGUUCAAAAUACUAUAGGUACGAACAUUUGGAGUAAUGUUUCUAAGCAUCAUAUCACUUAACAAAUCAAUGGCUUCCUUAUAUUGACCCUCAAGACACAAUCCAAAAAUGAGAGAACUGUAUGUGAUAACAUUAGGAGAAAUUCCCUUAGCAAGCAUUUCAGAGUAUAAAUGAAAAGCCUGACUUACAAGUGUAUCCUUGCAGAGGCUAUCAAUAAUUGCGCUGUACAUGAAACUGAUUAAACACUUGAAUAGCAGCUGACGUGUGUCCGGUCUUACAGAGCCCAUUGAUCAAGGUCCCAUAAGUGACUUGAUUAAACUGAAAUCCAUGAGCCAGCACUCUGUCAUGAAAGCUCACUGCUUUUUCAACACUACCACAGAGAAAGAGACCUUUAACGAGUGUAUUCAAUGUUACCGUAUCAGGUUGAUAAUCCAUUCUGAAAAUCUUGGCCAAUACAGAGAAAGCAAGUGUCAUACGACCCAUGCCACAACAACAAUUAAUUACGAUGCUCAAAGUAAAUAAGUCGGGAGCGAUUCCCCUGGCUUGCAAUUGCUGAAAAAGGGAAAUGGCGGUGGAGAAAUGGUUGGUCUUGGCAAGAGAUCCCAAAAUCUUGGUGAAUUGGAUGAUGGAUGGAGGGCGACGCAUAGAGAGCAUGCGAGUGAAGGAAUGAACAGCUUCAUCAACUUCACGAAGGGAUGGGGGCUCAGAAUGAGAGUGAAGGGAUGAAGAGGAAGGGAAGGAAACAAAAUUAGGGAUUUGGAGAAGAGAAUACCUAGAAAUGAAAGUGAUCCUUGAGGUUGAGGAUGACAACAUUUUAGUGAUUCGCACUUUCGCUGUUGUCUAAGUUUGAGGGAGUUUGCUAACCCUGCGGAAAUAGUCCUCUGUUUCCAACACCCCCCAUACUAAUGAAAGGUCUCCAGACUCCAAUCCCGUUUUACUUGGGUUCUAUUGACUUUUUUUUAGCGAAAUUCUCCGUAUACAAGUAUUUUUUUAUACAAGUCUUUACAAGUUAUUAUAUUAACGCGCUUGAACGUUAUUGUGUACGUUCUUCUUCCUCUUCCUCUUCUUAUUUUCUUUCGUUUCUUGUUUUCUCUUUCUCCUUCUUCAACCGUUACUGCACAAUUUCACUGCACCGUCUUCUUCUUCUUCUUCUUGCUGCACAUUCUUCUUCCUCUUCCUCCUCUUCUUCUUCUUCUUUUCUUUCGUUUUUUGCCUUCUCUUUCUCCUUCUUCAUUUACGUGCUUUUCUCUUUGUUUUCUUUUUUCGUUAUUCUUGAUUUCCAUUAUUUUUUGAUAUCAAGCUCUGAAAUCGUUUUUGAAGAAGAAAAAGCAGCAGAAGAUGAGGAGGAGAAAGAGAAAGAGUUUUGAAUUAUGCAUAAGGUGUCCUUUGGGUGUAUUUCUGUAAUCGUUUGGGUGUAUUUUCUGUAAUCGUUUGGGUGUAUUUCUGAAGUUCCAUUAUUUUCAAAACGAUUUCAAAACUUGAUUUUAGAAACCAUGAAAAUAAAAAAAAAAGCAAGAAUACCAGUAAUAAACGCAAGACGCAAGUAAAACAACUAAUGAAAAGGCAAAGAGAAUAACAAAGAAAUAUCGUUUGGGUGAAUUCCUGUAACCGUUUGGGUGUAUUUCUGUAAUCGUUUGGGUGUAUUUCUGAAGUUCCAUUAUUUUCAAAACGAUUUCAAAACUUGAUUUUAGAAACCAUGAAAAUCGAAAAAAAAGAAGCAAGAAUACCAGUAAUAAACGCAAGUAAAACAACUAAUGAAAAGGCAAAGAGAAUAACGAAGAAAUAUCAUUUGGGUGUAUUUCUAUAAUCGUUUGGGUGUAUUUCUAUAAUCGUUUGGAUGUAUUUCUGAAGUUCCAUUAUCUUCAAAACGAUUUCAAAGCUUGAUUUCAGAAACCAUGAAAAAAAAAAAAAGGAAGCAAGAAUACCAGUAAUAAACGCAAGUAAAACAAUUAAUGAAAAGGCAAAGAUAAUAACGAAGAAAUACAUGGAGGAAGAGGAAGUCGUUCGUAAUCCACGGUGAGUGAAGAAGAAGAAGAAGAAGAAGAAGAAGAAGAAGAAGAAGAAGAAGAAGAGGAAGAGGAAGAGGAAGAGGAAGAGGAAGAGGAAGAGGAAGAAGAGGAAGAGGAAGAGGAAGAGGAAGAGGAAGAGGAAGAGGAGUCGUUCAUAAUUCACGGUGAGUGUAGUGCUUUGGAAACUGAAUAACACAUUAAAAGACCCUAAUGUAUAGCAACUUAUAAAACUUGUAAGUCAAAAAGACUUGUAUGUGUAGCAAGUCUCGAUUAUCAAUUUUAUGAAUUGGACGUAUAUACCAAAUAAAUUACAAGGCUUGGGGCAGUAACGGUUUCAUUAUGCUCGAGAAAAAAAGGUGAUCUAUCAAACAACCACGACAACAACAAUAACAAUAAAAUUUAAUUAUUUUAUUAACCUUUAUAAUUUGAUCAAAUUUUUAAUUAAAUUUUUUAAUUUAAGAAAUUAUAAUUAAAUUUUUAUAAUUAAAUCUUUAUUAAUUGUUAUUUAAAGAUUAAAUUACACCACUAAUCUUUAUAUUUUUACUAAAAUUACAAAUUGGUUCCUAUAUUUUAAAAGUUUAUAAUUAGAUCCAUAUACAAAUUAUAAUUUUGUAAUUAGGUCCUUAAUAACAUUUAUCGUAAAAAAACCGCACAUUUACCAUAAUGUCUUCUUCUUUCUCUUUUCUCUUUUUUUCCUUAUUUUCUCUUUAGCGUUGUUGUUCUUCUUCUUUAACAAUAAUACGACUUUAACAACAACAAUGCCAAAAUCAUUGUUGAUGAUCAAAUUCAUUAACACAGUAAAAACCAAAAUUAACAGUAAUUAUACAAACUACCACGAUAAUAUGCACUAUUAUCAUGAAGAGGAAGUAUAGGGAGUCAAUGGAAUAUUUGUACAAUGUGUACAAUGGAGGUUUAGGGAUGUCCAAUUCAGUAUUAGAGAUAUAACUAUUAGUGUUACUUUUUCCAUCAGCUUAAGCUUUUAAGACGAGUGGUAUCAUGACAUGAUAUCAGAGUUCUAGAUCUGACAUGAGAUGUUUAUUAGCCUUAGUACUUGAAUGGUUAUUCUGGAUAAUGUAGGUGAUGCUCAUUUUUUAACUCAAUAGUCCAUUGUACACAUUGUACAAAUAUUCCAUUAGCUCCCUAGCAAGACUCUAUCAUGAAUGAACAAAAUUCAACUCAUCCCAAUUAUAUUUAAAUUGUCAAUAAUUAAAAUCUUUCCCUCAUCAUAAACAAAAUCUUUCUCUCUAACAACUCAAUCUUACUAAUCAAAUCCCUCGUAGUAUGCCUCGGGAUCCCACCCAUAGGCACAUACCGAUCCAACUACUCACGAUCUAUCAACGUCUUUCCCUCCACCGCUCCAACACCAUCACCGCCAUCAACCUCAAACGUACCGUUUUGGAACGCAGGAAGCUCCUCAUCCUCUUUCCUUCCCAUAACGUCUGUCAGCGCCUCCCCGCCCUUCGCCAUCCGCAUCUUGUCAGGGACCAUCCUGACUAGGGGUGGAAAAAGGUCAGGCGGCCUGCCAAGGGCCUGCAGCCUGGCCUGUGUUUGGCCUGACCUGGCCUGACCUGUUAUAAAAUAGGCACAGGCUCAGGCUGUUAUAAAAGCCUUAUUAUGUUAAUAGACCCAGGCUCACUAAUUAGCCUGGCCUGGCCUGUCAGGCCUGUCUAGCCUAUUUUUUUAUUAUUAACAAAAUAAUGAGAUAUUUUAAAUUUACUAUAUUUAAUUAUAAAUAAUUUUGUAUAUUUUAAAUAUUUUAAAAAUUCUUAUAAAUAUUAAAUAUGACAUUUUAUAUAUAAAUAUGUUUAUUAAAAAAUAUUUUUUUAAAUAAUAUUUUUAUUUUUGCAAAAAAAAAUUAGCAGGCCUUUUAACAGGCUUCAGGCCAGGCCAGGCUUAGUACUUUAAAAAAAAGCUUAUAGCAGACUGUAGGCCAGGCUCAGGCCAAUCAACUACAUGACAGGCCAGGCCUGUUAAAAGCAAAGCCUGGCCUGUUUCCACCCCUAAUCCUAACCCUCUCGCCCUCGCAAACCAAGCUCCGUAGUGACUCGCUUUAUUAGCACCAGAACCACUCGGGUCCUUGGAGGACCUGGACACGGCGUGUGAAGUAGUUUUUGAAAUUAAUGGUGGUAGUGCCAGAAACACGACGUCAUUUUGGCAGAAUCAAAGACUCUCAUUGGCGUAGGGACCAAUUUACAAUUUCAUUAAAAAUAUAGGGAUCAACUAUGUAAUUUAAUUUUAUUUAAAAAUAUUUUAAUAAUUUUAAAAUAUUUACUUUUAAAACAAAUAGUAUUUUUUAAUAAAAAAANNNNNNNNNNNNNNNNNNAAAUUUUUAAAAUAUAAAAAACUAAUUAAAAAUUUAAUAAAAUUAUAAAUAUUAAUAAAAUAAUUAAAUAUAAUAAUAAUAACAACAAAGAGAUAUGUUACCUUUAGAGAAGUAUAAUAUCAACAGAUAAUUUUAAGGUUUAUGGUUUAGAAAAUUUGUUAAAUAGUAUAAUGUUAAAAGAGGUUGAAUUAGUAUGUUUGAAGUGGUUAGCAUUACACUUACCAUAAUUUUAAUGAUACACUUAAUAUACACCUGUUAAUAAAAUUUUGUCUAACUCUACUAUAUAUUUUUUCGAGUGAAGUGGAAGACCAAAAAUAUUUAAUAUUAUGCUAAGAAAGAAUAUAUUAGGAAAUUUAUACUUAGACAAUAUUCAUGCUCUAACAAUUAAUCUAUACUUAGACAAUAUUUAUGCUCUAACAAUUAAUCAGAGUUAAUUUUUGUUUCUGCCUCUUGAUAAUUGUUUAUUUAUAUUAAAAAAAUUAUCAAAUAAUAUUGACAAAUCAACUUAUCAUUAGAAAAGAUUGAAUGGAAUAAAUAAAAAAUUGUCACCUAAUAAAAUAUUGCACCCCAUAGCAAUUAGUUAUUAUCAUUAAAAUUAGGGACGUUAAAUAAUAAUUUUUUACCAAGAAACAAUGACUGCUCUUUAGGUAUGUUAAUUUCAAUAAAUUUUUUUAAUGUGAAUUCAUUCAAGGUUUAAUUAUUCUGUUAGUUUUUAUAGUGUCAAAUUUUUCAUUAGAUCUCUAUACUUUCUUUUUUUAAUUGGAUCCUGUACUAAUUUUUUUUUCAAUUAGGUCUUUUUUUGUAGUAAUUGACUUAAUUGUAUAGGGAGCCAACUAAAAAAAAUGGUGCAGAAACUCAAAUAAAAGGGAAAAAAAGUGUAGGAACUCAAUUGAAAAAAAAUUUGGUGCAGGGACCCAAUUAAAAGGAAAAAAAAGUAUAGAGACCUAAUUAAAAAUUUCGCAAAACUAUAGGGACCAACAGAGUAAUUAAGUGUGUGUUUGGAUUACAGUUUGCAAACGGGAGUUUGCAUAAAAUUGAUUUUGUAAAAUUGAUUUUGACAAAAAGUAAGUUUGAGUUAACGUGAUUUAUGUUUGGUAAUGUUUAUAUCAAAAUUAAUUGUAGUAAAAUAAAUGUUGUUUGGAUUAUACUACUCAAAAUCACUUUUAGAUAAAAAAUUACUAAAAGAGACAUCAAUUUAAAUAAUUUAUAUAUAUAUAUAUAUAUAUAUAUAUGCAAAAUCAGAACACUAACAAAAAUAAUAUAAAAAAAUAUUUAUCAUAUAAAUAAAAUAAAUACAAUAAAAAAUAAAAAUAUGAAAUUUUAUAAUGUCAAACAAAAAAAAAUUCUAUAAUUUUUUUAGUAUUGUUAGUACUUGUUAUGUAGGAUAACCGACAAUAGCGGGCUGGACUCGUUGGGUUGACCCAAUUGUCUGAGGGAGGAAACCUUCGAUUGAGUUAGCGCCUUGAGAGCCUCUGUCCAACUUGUAUGUAUUAAUGAAUAGGGGGUGGUACCUGCAAAGACACUCCGAUGCUUAAGUCAGCAAGGGUCUAAGCAAGUUUUAGAGUAUUGGGACUUAAAGAUACCUGAAGGGUGUCAAGGUAUAUAUAGUGGUGAACCCAUAACCACCGUUGGAGUAGUUCCACUUUUUAAGGAGGAUAGCCGUCCCUUUAUCUUAGGGAAGUUGAGAUAUGACUCCUGGAAGUGGGUUGAGAGAUUUUAGGGGCAGUUAUUUAUUUGGAUGAGUGUUAUCUACCAGCUAAUCUUCGUUCCCGACUUCUUUUAGUCAAGUCGUCGUUAAGACCGACUUCUUAAGAGAAGGUCGGUGUCGAGUGAGAACCAAUCUUUGGAUUGGGCCUUUUAUUUUGGACCUGGGCCUUAGGGUUGGGCCAAGGUACAAACAAUGCCCCUACAUGAGUGCAAUCUCUUUUAAGAGUUGGGCUCGAGUAUUUUAACUCGGGAUCGUAGCCGACUUAGUGAGGAACCGACGUGAUUUUUCGAAUCCGAUGUGAUUCAAAAUUUUCCAACAGUCGCGUCUAAUCAAACGUCGUGUCCGUUCAGGGGUUUUUAGCAUUUAUACGCGGGGAGCAGUUACAUUGGUAACAACGCCUCUCUUAAAUGAUUACGUCGUUUUAUUGUUAUGCCCCUAACAUGUUUAUAAAUACUUUCCCUCUCUUUUCUUGUAUCGUUUCUGAAAAUUUUCUUACUUGCACCCUCUGUUCGAAAGAAGAGACUCCUUCCUUCUUCAGGUGCUUUGACUGUCUGUCGCCCCAACCUUUUUUGCAAGCGAAAGGUUAGUUCCUUUUUCCUUCUUCUCUUUUACAAAUUCUUUUACUUGUAUAUUUUUCGUUUAGAGGAGCGUUGACUGUAGGCCUAGUGACUCUGUUUGUCUGAGAAGCUUGUAUUAGGUCCUUUAGAGACCCUUUUUUUAUUCUUUUUUCUUUUCUCUUUGUAGGAUUCGUCACCCUUUUAGAAAAAGAUGUCUUCCUUAGAGUCUUUUUCCCAGUGGGUGGAUGUCACGGUCCUUGGGGAGGAAUCCUUCGUAGACACUGAUUACAUCACUGACCUUCGUACUCAUCAUAGAAUUUGUGUUCUUGAUGAGGAUGAGCCAAAAUAUGAACUGAUUGCUCCGGGUCCGGAAGACCAAGUUUGUUUUGGGAGGGCUUCUGAUGCGGACCCUCAUUUCUUUUUUAUGUAUGAGAGCCUUUUUACCCGCCUGGAAGUUUUUCUGCCAUUUUUCAACUUUGAAAUAGCAGUUUUGUCUCACUGUCGCAUUGCUCCCACCCAACUUCACCCCAAUUCUUGGGGUUUUAUGAAAAUUUAUCAACUUAUCAGCCGUGAAUUAAAUUUUUCGACAUCUUUGAAGAUUUUUUUUUCCUUUUUCAUAUGACCAAGCCCUUUAGUGGGCAAAACAAUAAGCAGCAAUGGGUGUCUUUCUGAGCCAUCCAAGGCCGGAGAGUCUUUACCUUUUUUAUGAAUCUUUCCAUGACUUCAAAAAUUUCUUUUUUAAAGUUCAAGCCGUAGAGGGUCACCACCCCUUUUUUCUGGACCAAGAUUCUUCUCCCCGUUUUUCCUUGUACUGGUUGGAAGCCUCUCCUGUGGAGAAAUAUAGUCUGGAUGAUCUGAACAAGGUAGAUGAGGCUAUUGUGGGGUUCUUCCGAGAAGUUUGGGGAAGAGCCCCUUAUCUCGAUACAAAAAAGUUCCUCCAGGGGUCUCCGACCUUUGUACAGACUCGUUUAGGUAGAUAUGGUUGUCUUUUGAUUUGCUCUGACUUGUUUUAAUCAUUUGACUCUGGAAUUCUGAUUUCCCUAUAAAUUGAUUUUUUGCCUUCUUUUUCAGAAAUGGUGAAGAAAGCUUCCGCCUCUUCUUAUAAAAAAGUUCAAGAUGCCAAGAAAAGAUCUCAGGCGCGGUGGAUGCGGCAAGGGCUGCUGGUACCCUUCCUCCUCCUCCUCACACUUUGGGGACUUCCUCCUGUCCUAUCAUGGUAUCCUCUUCCUCUACUUCCUCUCUUCCUUCUCCUUCCCCUCCGCCCCGAUCUUCCCCUGAACCUGAGAAGAAGAAGCGAAAGACUUCUGGCUCUUCUUCUGGGGUUACAUUCGAUGGUCCCCAAUUUGUCCGGAACCAUAUUUUUCUCCAUUCAUCCAUUAAUAUGGAUGAUGCUAUGGUUCAGAAUCAUCUAAAUGUUAUAGUUCAGGGGAGCAUCCAGGCGGCUGGGGUGUGUACAAAACUCCUAGAUAUUUUUGAACAUACUCUCCUUAGCUCUUUGGGUUCUGUCUGUAAGGUUGAGGAGCUUGAGGAGAGAAUUUCUUUAUACCAAGAAGAGGAGAAGAAGUUAAAGGAGGAGGUUACCAAGUUAAAGAAGGAGAAGGAUCGGGUUCGAGAGAGGGAGAAGAAGUUAAUGGGCCAGUGUGCCAUGGCAGAGGGUCUCAGGGAGAAGACAGAGCAGAAUUACAUUAGGCUGUUUGGGGAGAACCUGGAUUUGAAGAAGGAGCUUUCUGGGUGCCAGGACGCUUUCCAGGAAUUGGAGGAUUCGAUUGCUGAGGGUGCAGAGGAGGCAUGGAGGAUCUUUAAGGAGCAAGUCGGAGUUAUUGCUCCUGAGAUCCUGACAAGAUUGUAGUGAGCGGUGCUAUUGUCUCCCCUCCCCGACCUGCGACUGACUCCAAUUUGAAGACGAGGGGACAAAGAAUAAUGGAGUCUCCUCCUCGGGGGGACGUGCUGAGUUCCUCAAGAGUUCCUUUUGAAAACCCUGAUCAGCCUGCUCCGCCCCCUCUUGAUGUUGCUCCGUCUUCUCUCCCUGGUCCUGGUGGUGAUGGCCCUUCUCCUGGUGGUGGUGAUCUUCCUUUUGCUUAACUGAUUGUGGCUAUAUGGGGCCCGGCCUGUGGGCCCCCUGUUUUUUAAACGAUUUUUAUAUUUUGUUUCUUUGUGGUGGUAGUUGUUACUUGACAUUUCUUGGUCUUUUGUGGUCGUAAACAAAAUAUUUAAAAAUGCUCUUUUUUGGAUAAGGGUUUAGGAUAUCUUUUGCCGUGUGCAUGCUUUCUGUUUAGGCUAUUUUUGCGAAAAAUCAUUUUUUGAUCUUUUUGAAAAUCUUUUAUCCUGGCUGGCUGUCUUUCGUACUAAGUUAUUUUGAAUUUGUAGAAACUUGGGACAGCUUUUGCCUUCGGCUUUUGGGGAUGGAUUUUCUUAUUUCUUCUUGGUAUUCCUCACACUCAAUUUUUCUUUUAUUGAGUUUUUAUAACUUAGGUUAUUUUUGCGAUGCAUUUCAUUUCGUCUCGAGUUUUUCCGACCUGCGAGUCGGUUAUUUUCCGAGUUUUUUCAUGAUCUACUUUUAUAACCUCUUUACGCCGACUUGUACCUCGUCGUUUCAUCCUGACGACCAUCUAGGUCGGUUCAUGGAAUUUUCACGCUUUGUCAAGCUUAAGUCGGCGCGUUUCGUAGAAAGAGUGAAAAUAAUCGUAAAAAGAAAUUUAUAAAGAGAUAUGGAAAAAGAUCUUUAUUUAUUUGCGAAGGUACUUUUUUGCUACUAAGGGUUUUGACAGUUUGUUCCCCCUUAGCCCCCACUUUUAUGCCUCAUUAAAAAUCCCACUUCAGGAAAACCCUCUAUUUGGGAAAAAACCAUGGAGUUGGGAAAAGAGUACAUCAGGGAAUGGAGUUUGCUUUUAACUGUAGUACCUUUUCAUAUUACAAGCAUGCCACGAUCUAGGUAACUCGGCGCCGUUUAAGUCGGUCACCUUAUAGUAGUCUUUUCCUAAGACCUCGCUAAUUAUGUAUGGUCCUUUCCAAUUGGCAGCAAGCUUUCCAUCCCCAGACUUGUUGACUCCAAUAUCGUUUCUAAUCAAAACCAAGUCGUCUGAGGUGAAACUUCUUUGAAUGACCUUUUUAUUAUAUCUAUUUGCCAUCCUUUGUUUCAACGCUGCUUCUCUUAUCUGGGCUUGUUCUCGGACUUCAGGGAGUAGUUCCAAUUCUUCUUUGUGCCCCUGUAUAUUUCCAUCCUCAUCGUAGAAGCUCACCCUUGGACUUUACUCACUGAUUUCAACUGGUAUCAUGGCUUCUAUGCCGUAAGUAAGUCGGAAGGGUGUUUUCCGUGUGGCAGACUGAGGUGUAGUCCGAUAAACCCAAAGUACUUGUGGGAGUUCUUCAGCCCAGGCUCCCUUUGCCUCUUGUAACCUCUUCUUCAACCCUGCCAGUAUGACUUUGUUAGCUGCCUCGGCUUGUCCAUUUGCUUGUGGAUGUUCUACCGAGGUAAAUUGGUGCUUGAUCUUCAUACCGACUACUAGGUUUCUGAAGGUUGAGUCGGUGAACUGAGUUCUAUUAUCAGUGGUGAUGGAAUGAGGUACUCCAUACCUUGUGAUAAUGUUUUUGUAGAGAAACUUCCGACUUCUCUGGGCGGUGAUGGUGGCCAAUGGUUCGAUAAAAAGAUUCAUCCAUCCGAGGGUUAAUCCGGAGACUUCAAGGACGUCUUGCUUGGCCUCUGUUUUUGCUACGGAGGGUUCUUGGAGAGCUUCUUAGAUCAGGCUUCUAUUAUUCCCCCCUGGCUUGGUACUUGCUAGCUUGGAGAGGGCGUUUGCUCUACUGUUGAGAUCCCGAGUUAUGUGCUUGACCUCGGUUUCUGCAAAGCGCCUAAGAUACUCCAAGGUUUUGUCCAAGUAUCUCUUCAUAUUGGGGUCUCUAGCCUGAUACUCUCCAUUUAUUUGGGAGGUCACCACUUGAGAGUCGCUAAAUAUCACUACUUUUGUCGCACUGACUUCUUGUGCUAGCUUUAAUCCUGCAAUCAAGGCUUCAUAUUCUGCCUGAUUGUUAGAAGCUGAGAAUUCAAAUUUUAGGGAAACUUCUAUCUGUGUUCCCCCUUUGUUGACCAGUAUUAUGCCUGCACCACUUCCUAUUUUGUUUGAGGAUCCAUCUACGUAUAACUUCCAUGUAGUGGAUUCUUUCUCUUGGUCUCCUGCAUAUUCUGCUACGAAGUCAGUGAGGCAUUGGGCUUUUAUUGCCGUCCGAGUUUCGUAUUUCAGGUCGAACUCGAAUAGCACUAUCGCCCAUUGAACCAUUCUACCCGCAAUAUCUAUCUUCUGGAGGAUUUGCUUCAUGGGUUGGUUCGUUCGAACUCUUAUUGUGUGGGCUUGAAAAUAAGGCAGUAACCUUCGAGAGGCUACUAUUAACGCAUACACAAACUUCUCGAGUUUUUGAUACCUUACUUCAGGGCCUUGUAGGACUUUACUAGUGAAGUAGAUAAGAUGCUGCCCGACUUCGUCUUCCCAUAUUAGGGCUGAUGCUAUAGCUUUAUCUGCUACGGACAAGUACAGGACGAGUUCUUCCCCAAUUUUAGGUAGGGUCAGAAUAGGAGGUUGGCUUAAAAACCUUUUGAACUCCUGGAAUGCUUCUUCGCAUUCAGGAGUCCAUUCGAACUGGCAUCCUUUUCUUAGUAGGGAGAAGAGUGGGAUCUUAAUGUUGAUCCCACCAAGAACCUGGAAAGGGCGGCGAGUCGGCCGUUCAGCUGCUGGACCUCUUUUAAGCAAGUCGGGCUUUUCAUUUCUAGGACUGCUUUGCACUUGUCGGGAUUAGCUUCGAUUCCUCUUUCAUUAAGCAUGAAUCCUAGAAAUUUUCCAGCCUCUACUGCGAAGGUGCAUUUUGCGGGAUUCAAUCUCAUCCCAUGCAACCUUAUGGUGUUGAAGACUUGCAGGAGGUCUGUCAAGAGGUUGGUCUCAUCCUUGGUUUUUACUUGCAUAUCGUCUACGUAGACUUCCAUCAAUCCCCCAAGGUGAGGUACAAACACCUUGUUCAUCAGCCUUUGAUAUGUGGCUCCAGCAUUUUUUAGUCCAAAGGGCAUUACCACAUAGCAAUAGUUUGCCCUAGGCGUGAUGAAUGAUAUUUUUUCUUGAUCCGGCCUGUACAUCAGGAUUUGGUUGUAUCCCGAGUAUGCAUCCAUGAACGACAAGUAUUUAUAUCCUGAGCUGGAUUCUACUAGGGUAUCAAUGCUUGGAAGUGGAUAUGGGUCUUUGGGACAUGCCUUAUUCAGGUCGGUAUAAUCGACGCACAUCCUCCACUUGCUGUUUUGUUUUUUGACCAGCACCACAUUUGCCAGCCACGCCGGAUAUUUGACUUCUUUGAUGAACUCGGCUUCUAAGAGUGCUUGCACUUGUUCUUCCACUACUUGAGCUCGCUCGGGUCCGAGCUUCCGCCUUCUUUGUUGAACAGGUCGCGAUCCGGGGUAAACUGAUAGUUUGUGUGACAUGAGUUCGGGAUCUAUCCCUGGCAUGUCGGAGGCUUUCCAGGCGAAGAGGUCGGAAUUUUCUUGUAGGAGCUUUAUAAGCUUCUCUUUCAGCUCUUCUUUCAGGUCGGCUCCUAUGUUGGUGUUUUUCCCUUCCUCUUUUCCAAUCUGUACCUCCUUAGUUUUUCCCCCAGGUUAUGGUCGCCACUCUUCCUUGGCUCUGACCCCUACGAGCUCAAUUGUGUGCACCUCAUUUCCCUUUUCUCUCAGGUUCAGGCUUUCGUUGUAGCAUUUCCUUGCCAAUUUCUGGUCUCCCCUAAUGGUUGCUACUCCCUCUGGUGUUGGGAAUUUUAUGCAAAGGUGAGCGGUGGAUACCACUGCUCCGAGCCGAUUUAGGAUAGUUUUGCCGAUUAAGGCAUUAUAGGCUGACCCCACAUCGACGACUAUGAAGUCGAUGCUCAGAGUUUUGGAUUUUCCCCCCUUUUUGAAAGUCGUGUGAAGGGGCACAUAUCUCAGUGGUUUUAUUGGCGUAUCUCCUAGGCCAUAUAGGGUGUCAGGGUAAGCUCUUAAUUUCUUUUCAUCUAACCCCAGCUUAUCGAAUGCUGGCUUGAAAAGGAUGUCAGCUGAGCUCCCCUGAUCUACCAGGGUUCUGUGAAGAUGGGCGUUGGCAAGGACCAUGUUAUCACCACUGGAUCAUCAUAUCCAGGGAUGAUUCCUUGCUCAUCUUCUUUGGUGAAUGAAAUAGUGGGGAGAUCGGGAGCCUAGUCCCCGACCUGGUAGACUUCCUUCAAAUGCCUCUUGCGAGCUGACUUUGUGAGGCCGCCUCCACUAAAUCUCCCUAAGAUCAUAAGUAUAUGUCUUUCUAGGGUUUGUGGUGGUGGAUCUCUUCGGUCCUCGUCGUCUCGCUUCCUUUUUCCAUGAUGGUCUGACUUUUCCAUGAGAUAUCUGUCAAGCCGACCCUCUCUGGCCAACUUUUCUACCACAUUUUUAAGGUCGUAACAAUCAUUCGUUGAGUGACCAUAUAUUUUAUGGUACUCACAGUAGUCACCGUGACUUCUCCCCUUCUUAUUUUUGAUGGGUCUGGGGGGCAGUAGCCUUUCAGUAUGGCAGAUUUCCCUGUAUACAUCUACCAGAAAAACUCGCAGAGGAGUAUAGGAGUGAUAUCUCCUAGGCCUUUCGGGGCCGACAUCCUCUUUUUUCUUGGGUUCUCUUUCUUUCUCUUUUGAGGAGUGAGAAUGCCCAGGCCGCCAACUCGGUUCUCGUAGCUUGGCGUUUUUCUCCAUGUUGAUGUACUUCUCAACUCUCUCCUGUACAUCACUUAAGGAGGUCGGGUGCCUUUUCGAUAUGGACUGGGAGAAGGGGCCUUCUCGAAGUCCAUUUACUAGGCCCAUAAUUACUGCCUCCGUGGGCAAGUCUUGAAUCUUUAGGCACGCCUUAUUGAACCUUUCCAUGUAGUCUCUUAGAGGUUCUCCGACCUCCUGUUUUACUCCCAGGAGGCUUGGCGCGUGCUUUACUUUAUCCUUUUGGAUGGAGGAUCGCAUUAAGAACUUUCGCGAGAGGUCGUCGAAGCUAGUAAUCGACCUUGGGAGAAGAUUGUCGAACCACUUCAUCGCUGCUUUCGUUAAGGUGGUCGAAAAAGCCUUGCAGCGAGUAGCAUCAGAAGCGUCGGUGAGAUACAUCCGACUUUUAAAGUUGCUUAAAUGAUGCUUUGGAUCCGUGGUUCUAUCGUAGAGGUCCAUAUCAGGACUUUUAAAGUUCCUUGGAACCUUUGCCCUUAUUAUAUCCUCGCUGAACGGAUCUUGUCCCCCCAAGGGAGAGUCUUCUCGGUCGCUGCGGGAACUUCGACUUUUAAGAGCAGACUCCAGCCUUAAGAGCUUUUCCUCUAGCUCUUUUCGUCGAUCAAUCUCGUUUCUCAGGUUUCUCUCCGCCUCUCGUUGUCGUUCCAGUUCUUAUUCCAACUGCUCCAAGCGCCCUUGGUGCCCGUGGAACAAUCCCAUGAAAUCGGCAGCAUGGGGUUGUCCCUCCUUUCCCGAUUCGCGACCAUCAGAAGAGUUUGCCUUUGGGUCUUUCAAUCCAGAAGUGCCUUCUCUGUUCUGAUCGGCCCCACCUUGGUGGGUGGUCAAGUUCGCAUCAUUGUUUCCAACGUCUAGAUUUUCUUGCUCAGAAUCGGACGCUGUGUGGCCAUCUUCAGGUGAAUUAUCCGCCAUCACUGGUUGAUCUCUCGGGUCCCCGGCAACGGUGCCAAUAUUACGUAGGGUAACCGGAGAAUAGCGGGCUGGACUCGUUGGGUUUACCCAAUCGUCUGAGGGAGAAAACCUUCGAUUGAGUUAGCGCCUUGAGAGCCUCCAUCCGACUUGUAUGUAUGAAUGAAUGGGGGGUGGUACCUGCAAAGACACUCUGAUGCUUAAGUCAGCAAGGGUCUAAGCAAGUUUUAGAGUAUUGGGACUUAAAGAUACCUGAGGGGUGUCAAGGUAUUUAUAGUGGUGAACCCAUAACCACCGUUGGAGUAGUUCCACCUUUUAAGGAGGAUAACCGUCCCUUUAUCUUAGGAAAGUUGAGAUAUGACUCCUGGAAGUGGGUUGAGAGAUUUUAGGGACAGUUAUUUAUUUGGAUGAGUAUUAUCGACCAGCUAAUCUUCGUUCCCGACUUCUUUUAGCCAAGUCGUCGUUAAGACCGACUUCUUAAGAGAAGGUCGGUGUCGAGUGAGAACCAAUCUUUGGAUUGGGCCUUUUAUUUUGGACCUGGACCUUAGGAUUGGGCCUUUUAUUUUGGACCUGGACCUUAGGAUUGGGCCUUUUAUUUUGGACCUGGACCUUAGGAUUGGGCCUUUUAUUUUGGACCUGGACCUUAGGAUUGGGCCUUUUUUUAAUGAAAAAAAAAAUUGAAACGAAAAACUAUGAAGAAGUAGGAAGAACUAUAAAGAAUUAUUGUGAAGGUAAUAGUUACUGGUAUCUUUUUUAUAGAAGAAAAUGAAGGGUAGGGUUGGUAAAAAAAAUAAAUUUUUCAUCUAAUUUUCCAAGGGUAAUAAGCAACCAUGAACGUGAAACGCAGAAGCUACAAAUUUUAGCUUCUCCUAAACGUGCGUUCAGAAAGAUAAAAAUUACCAAACAUAAAAGUGAAACUUUCAAAAAGUUCAAACGUGCUUCUCUCCUCCCCAACGCGUUUGCCAAACACACCCUAAAUCUUCAUUCAACAACAUGUAUUUCUAAACAUGUUUUUUUUUUUUGGUAAAAUGUAUUUCUAAACAUUAAGGACCUUGGGAAGCUUCAAAAAUAAUUUUUUUGAGUUUUUAACUUAUGAAAAGUAGUAGUAUUAAUGUCUAGUACAAUUUUUAAAACCAAAUUGUAACUUUCUAAGAAACUAUUUAAAAGCUUAUAGAAAAGUUUAAAAAAAUGACUUCUCUCAUAAUACUAUUACUUUUUAUCACAUUUCUAUAAAAAUAAGCACUUUUAUAAUUAAAAAUGAGUUAAUACUCAAAAUCGUCCCUGAAAGAUACCUCGAUCUCCAUAUUAGUCCCCGAAAGAUAAAGUUAAUCAAAAGAGUCCCCGAAAGUUACACGAGUUAAUCACGUUUGUCCUUCCAUUAACUCUGUUGGUGACCUGGCUAACUGUUGCUGAUGUGUGUGGUUAGCUUCCAACGUGGAAGAGGCCCACAUGUGAUGACCUGUUGCUGACAAGGUAAGUUUGAGAAAACAGUUCAAAUUAGUCCCUAAGUGUUUGAAACCUAAUCCUAAAUUCCACGAUAAAUAGGUCGCAUUCAUCAAUCAGAUGGCCAUAUACCUGGGUUCGUGUUCAAAUUGGUGGUUUGGGACGACGAUGGAGGCCGGAAAUGGAGGCCGUGGUGGCGGUGUGUCGUUGUUCUCGAACGGCAGUAAUGGUUCCAGCGCCUCAAUGCGAAGCAGGAGGAAACCCCAUGAGGAAUCAUGUUUCUGUGGGUUGAAGGCUGCGAUAAGAAAGUCUGGGACAGCGGAGAACCCAGAUAGACUAUUCUGUGCAUGUCCAAGGUACCGGGUGAGUGUUGUGUAAGAUUUUAAGGGUUUUUGAUGUUGUUUUGUGUGUUGGGAUUUUAUUUAAUUUUUGAUUUUCUGAUUUCUGAAUUUUCAGAAGGGCAGUCACUGCAACUACUUUAAGUGGGUUGAGGAUGAUGAGUAUGAAGGGAUGGGCCAAGGUGGAACGAAGAAAGAUUAUGGGGCUGAGCUGCAGGUUGAUAGUGACUGUGAUGAAUGGAGGUUGAAGGUGGCAUGGAGACUGGGCAGCUUGGAAGCUGAAGUAAAAGCAUUGAAAAUGUUAAUAGUUUUCCUAUUUGUGGUAGUUGUGCUUAAUGUGAUUGUUUGUAGUUUGUUGUGUCGUUCCAAGUAAAGCAAAUUCCAAACACUUGAUGGUGUAAUGAGAUGAAUCCAUUGAAUGAGAAUAGAUGUUUCAUUUGGUUGUUUUAUAUGAAGACAACACAAUCCAAUUGAAAGGUUCCAAACCAAUUCGAUUGACUAUUAAAGUAACAUGUACUAAGGAAUGGACAUAAUCAGUAGUGAAAGUAGUGUUAAACAUUGAGUAGUCAAAGUACUAUUAAAUAUUCAGUUGCCAUAGAAGGCUAGAUGUCACAUUUUCUUAAGGACCAAAAGGUUUAAUAUAGGAAACAGACCACAUCAAAGUCAUAAGCCUUUACAUGAGGAUACAUAACCUAAAAAGUAUCCUAGACCAAAAUAAAAGGGCAUAGUACAACUUGCAUUGACAUAGAUAACCAAAAUGUAGAUAAUGUAACUCCAAUUGCCCUGUGCAAAAUAACAGAAAGUAUCCUCACACAAAAAACGAAUUCAACCACAAUACAAUUCAACACUAAUCAAAGUCAUUUAUCAGUCUUUUUUGGGGGCUUGAAGGCGGGAGUAGGAACGAAGGUCAUAAAGUCGGCCAGUUUUUUAGCAGUGGCUGAACUAGUCCCCUUGAUUGUCUCAGCAGAGAUAGCGACUGGUGCGGCUACAGUAGCUUUAGGAGACGACUGAAUUCUGGCUUUCCCUUUAAUGACCUUUAACUUCGAUGGCCUAGCAGCGAGUUGUUCCUACACAAAUUAAUGGUACAUCUAGAUUUAGAUUUAGCUUAUUAAAGAAAUGAGAUUUAUGAACUAACAAAUGUUUAAAAUGAAUCACAUAUGGCAGAUUACCUGUUGUGUUUCUUGGGUUGGUGGUAUACUAUCACACUGGCUAACAUCAAUUACUGUCGGAGUCUGUGUUGGUGAUCGAGCUGGAUUAGGUUCAGCUGGGACAGUGGUUGCUUCAGGGGCAGCCCCUUCUGCAGUAGGAGCAACCAGAGCUAGUUGCAGCUGCAGCUGCCUAGCAUGCUCCUCAGCUUCGAUAGCUUUCUUCUUUGCACAGCUUCGCUUGUUGUGUCCUAUCUCACUGCAAUACAUGCAUCUGAUAGGGUUGUAUUUCCUCUUCAUCUUUGUUUUUGAUCCAGUGGGUUGUUCCUCUUUGUCUCUUCUCCUUUUCUUGGUUGGUCUUCCAGGCUUUGCCUUAAAUGGUGGUGGGACGGGUGCUGGGUGUGGAGUUUUUUCCCACAGAUCCUGACCUUUCACUGGAUUCACAUUGAAGCAAUAAGUCUUCCUGUACGCUUCCAUCUUCAACCAGUCGUGACAAUAGUCUUCAGCACAUUUUUCAUUCUUAUCCUGUAUAGCUGAGAUUGCAUGCAUACACGGCAUCCCUUACAUAGAGAAACCAAUCAUUAUUUUAAACUCGUGCAUAAAAUUAAAUUAUAGUAACUAAAUGUUGAAUUUUUUACCUGUUAGUUUCCAAAAACGACAGCUGCACGUAUGCUUUCCCAAGUCAACCACCAUAUUGGUUGGCCAGCCAUGAACUUCAUACAGUUCUUCUUUUUCAUCACCAGACCAUUGAGGAGCCCAGUGGCUAGACAACGCUGUCAUGGCUUCAAGUCUGCUCUGCUGAACAGGGGGGAGAAUCCCUUGAUAAUUCUCUAGCUUCUUCCGAUUGUCAACAAUACUCUUCAUGGUGAUUCUUCUUACUUCCUCAGCUAAUGUCAGAAUCGGCUUGCCCCUAUCAUGCUUGAUUUUUGCGUUGAAAGACUCGCAAGCAUUGUUGCAUAUGUUAUCCACCUUUGGCAGUUCACUGAAGUGGGCCUUUGUCCAUGCAUCUUUUGGCCACUUCUCGAGAUAUUCCCAUGCUUUUUGAUUAAUGAGCUUCACUCUGUUCAUGUUUCUGUUGAAUUCAACUGUUGUCCUAGACCGAGCACAUUCCCAAACCAUAUCCUUCAGUUCAGUACUAGACCACUGUUUUGAGAAAUUGCGCCAUAAAUGCCAGACGCAGAAUCGAUGGUGUACCCUGGGAAAUACUUCCUGAACAGCUGGUAUUAACCCCUGCAAGUUGAAACAGACACGACAAGAUAACAUGUCAAAUUCGUCCCUACGAUAACUUCAUUAAAUCAAAUACAUCCCUCAAUGUUACUUUAUUUAAUCAAAAUAGUCCCAGUAUUGUCUUAUCAGAAUCAAUAAAGUGCUCACCUUCUGCAUGUCUGAAAUGAAGCACCAUUUGUUCUCCCUGUAGUCUCCCAGGUCAUUGUGCAGUAACUCAAGGAACCACUUCCAGUUGUCCUUGUUUUCAACACUGACUAUGGCAUAAGCAAUCACAAGUAUGUGAUUGUUAGCAUCCUGCCCACAAGCUGUUAAAAUCUGACCCCCAUGUAGUGUUUUCAGAAACGCUCCAUCAAGACCAAUUAAGGGUCUGCAACCAGCCUUAAAACCCCUCUUGCAGGCAUCAAGGCAAACAUAAAAGCGAUCAAACAGGGGAGGACUCUCAGGCAUGGGGAUAACAGACACUUGAACUGUGGAGCCGGGGUUACUAGUCAGCAACUCAUUGGCAUAGUCCCACACCAACCCAUAUUGAGCAAUCUCAUCACCCUCGACUAUUUUCCUAGCGACUUUCAAAGCUCUUGUAAUGCAUGUGCUAUUGAGAUAGACGUUGCACUUUCUAACAAACCAGUCAUAAACCUCUCGAUGCUUCAUGGUUGGGUGUUUUCUAAGCUUAGGAACUAGUUUACUCAGAGUCCAGGUUUAGGUUGCAGCUCUGUUUUUCCUCCUUCUUGGACAAGUGUGAUUAUCUACUAGUGUCUUAAUUUGCCAAGAACCAUCUUGCUUAUUACAUGCACAGUAAACUACCCAGGGACAAUCUUUAGACUUGCAGACAACCCUAACUCUAACUUUGUCAUUUUUUGAAAACAAAAUAUUUCUACCCCACUGGAUUGUAUAAUCCCUAGUUGCUUGCAUGAAUUCAGCCUUUGACUUAAAUACCAUACUGACCUCGAAUUUCAACUCUCCAAACUUUAUUUUUUCAUUGAACUGAGGGUACACAGCUGGUGCUUCUUCAUCAGACUCCAACACCUUAUCAGAAUCCUCUGAAUGCCAGGAGUCACCAUCUGAGGCAGCAUCACUAUCAUCUAAAUCUGGUAACAAAGAAGUUUAACACAUUAGAAACCCUAACAUUUGCCUAAUAAUUUACGAAACAACUAACCCUAAUGGAAUUAACAUACCAGACUCAGAACUUUCUUCAUCUUCAGACCCCUCAUAGUUGGAAUCAUCAGUGUCUAUCUCUUUAUCAGCUAGUCUUUUCUUAGGGGGCUUCUGCUUUUCUCUGACUUCAGACCUGCUGUCUCUUUUUCCACUUCUUUUUCCCUUCCCAGAGUCACUGUCACUCUCACUGCUAUAGAGGUUGUCUCCUACAACCUUUGGAGGCCUAUACAGUUCAUCUUCAGUACUCUCAUAAGAGUCAUGAGAGUCAGUGUCAUCUUCCUGGAGUUGAGCUUCCUUCACUUGUCUUCCAGAUCUUGUGACUCUGCAGCCACUGCUAGUUUGUUUGUCCUUUGCCCCUUGUGAGUUGUUGCCUGCCUCUGAUGACGAAUUUGAUUGAGGUGGGACUGAUUUGGCCUGAUAACUGGUCUUCUUGGCCUGAGGAACAGGCUUCAUGGGCUGAGCAGUUGUCUUCUUGGGCUGAGAUGUUGUCUUCUUGGGCUGUGGGCUACUUUAUUGGGCUGAGACAUGGGCUUCACCUUUGGUUGAUUGCGCUCAGAUAUGGGCUUCAUUGUAGGAUUGGGCUGUGACUUGGGCUGUGAGGUUGUUCUGUUGGGGUGACAGGUUUGCUUCUGGGACUGAGGAUCAAUUCUUGUGGGUUUCUUCACAGGUUGGGAGCUGCACUUCCCCUGUUUCAACCCUGCUGCUUCCACAUUCACUACUUCAUCCUCAAUCUGGUCUACUAUACAAGGCUGAGAGAUACAAUGCUCCAGGUAGAUAUUGAUCAGAUUGUGGUUUCUCCUGCAAUCCUUGCACAUCGCAACCAAGUCUGCGUCUGUGACUAAGCUUCUCAACCCUGAUGAAAGAGGAACUCCAGGAUCUUUCCACCAACAAUUUCCAGCUUCAAUGUAACCCAACUCCCUAUAAUAACCCCUUACAAAGAAGACGUCAAGCGUGUCUCCUUCAACCCCCAUCAGCACCUCUGUAUUAUUGGGUUCGUAUACCAUAUCUCCUUCAGCAUUCUUCUUAAACAGUCCCCCAUGGUGAAACACAAAGGUCAUCGGAGGACCUUCCAUCUACAAGCAGAAAUAAGAAAAGCCCACACAGAUUGUAACUGCCUAUUCUCAAUCAUAACAUAAGAAACCCUAACCCCAAAACAAACAUGCAACAACGAAAACUAACUCCCAUUAACAUCAAACACCCAUAACACAAUAUCAUCACAACGGCAUUCAAAGCAAUGCAUUCUGACCUUAAACAACACUCACACAAACCCCUACCCCUAAUCAGACAGAGAUAUACAGAACGCCACCCCUACGACAUCAGGCUACAAACUGACUUCAAAAAAAUGGAAAAAACUUUAAUGCUUACCUCUAACCGUCACGCUUGCUUCUUCCACAAACAAUGUUGCUAACAGCUGAUGNNNNNNNNNNNNNNNNNNNNNNNNNNNNNNNNNNNNNNNNNNNNNNNNNNNNNNNNNNNNNNNNNNNNNNNNNNNNNNNNNNNNNNNNNNNNNNNNNNNNNNNNNNNNNNNNNNNNNNNNNNNNNNNNNNNNNNNNNNNNNNNNNNNNNNNNNNNNNNNNNNNNNNNNNNNNNNNNNNNNNNNNNNNNNNNNNNNNNNNNNNNNNNNNNNNNNNNNNNNNNNNNNNNNNNNNNNNNNNNNNNNNNNNNNNNNNNNNNNNNNNNNNNNNNNNNNNNNNNNNNNNNNNNNNNNNNNNNNNNNNNNNNNNNNNNNNNNNNNNNNNNNNNNNNNNNNNNNNNNUCAGUACCAACAGCUACUCGGCUUUCAUCGUCAACCAACAAGGACAAACGUGGAUGGCGAUGUUCGAAUGCAACGUGAAGGGGUUAGGGCAUGGCUUGACAGAGACGAAACAAUUUGGAGUCAAACGUGGAGAUACUCGUUAUGGAAGAGGGUAAAUCCACUCUGCAACGUUUUGAAUCCACUAUCUCCACGAAACGACGCCGAUUCAUGUCUAUCUGGACAUUCCCUCAAAACGGCGUCGUAUUCCUUCUCUGCCAGCAUGGCAGUUAACGUGCCACGUGAGCAGACGUUAGCCAUGUCAUCAAGCAAAUUGACGGAAGGACGAACCUGAUUAACUCGUGUAACUUUCGGGGACUCUUUUGAUUAACUUUAUCUUUCGGGGACUAAUAUGGAGAUCGAGGUAUCUCGGGGACGAUUUUGAGUAUUAGCUCAAUUAAAAAUUCAAACACAAAAUAACUUAUUUAUAAGCUACUUUUAAUAUAGUCAUUUAUUAUUUAAGCUAUUUUUUCAAAAAAAAAUUAAUUAAGUUGUUUACCCGAACUGAAGCUAAUAGCUACUACUAUUUGGAGUCUUGGACAUACAAUGAAAAACCUGAAAAAGACUAAAUCUGAGUCCUGAUAAAUAUCUUCCCCCCCUCUCAAAACCCCUCCCCCUUCAAAAGAGAUUCUAAUAUACAUCAUUCCAAAAAAAUCUCACAAAAAUAUAGUAACAACAAUCAAUAAAAUUUAAAAAUACACAAAAAGGGUCUCGAGGCCCAUCCGUAGAAAAACUUCACUAAUUAUUUAUCCUACAGAGGAAAUAAAACUUCUGUAACGAAGUAGAAAAGCUGUCCAAGAUUAGGUAAAUAUAUCUAUUCUAGAGUAUGCUAUCUCAGUUCAUCAUGUGAAGAAAAAAAAUAAAGUUUCAUUAGCAUAGCAAUAGCCUUUUAUUAUAUCACAUUUUCUUUACUUCUUUUAUUUCACUUAAAAAAACUGAUAAAAAUUAUAUUUUAUAGAUAANNNNNNNNNNNNNNNNNNNNNNNNNNNNNNNNNNNNNNNNNNNNNNNNNNNNNNNNNNNNNNNNNNNNNNNNNNNNNNNNNNNNNNNNNNNNNNNNNNNNNNNNNNNNNNNNNNNNNNNNNNNNNNNNNNNNNNNNNNNNNNNNNNNNNNNNNNNNNNNNNNNNNNNNNNNNNNNNNNNNNNNNNNNNNNNNNNNNNNNNNNNNNNNNNNNNNNNNNNNNNNNNNNNNNNNNNNNNNNNNNNNNACUUAAUUUUAUAUAAAAAUAAUUUAAUGUAAGUCUAUUUUAUAACAUUAAUUAAAAAAAACAAAUUGAAAAUAGUAUAUUUUUUCUUUGAAUAAAUAUUCAAAUUGGUCCCUGAAAAAUUACCCAAUUUUCAAAUUGGUUCCCGAGAUAAAAUUAAUCAGAAUUGUCUCCAAAAGAUUUAAAAAUGGUUACGUUAGUCCAUUCAUCUCUCCUCCGUUCAUUCCAUCAGUAACAAUGUUAAAUUUUGCUUAUGUAGCCGUUAGUGUGUCAUGACAGGUUGGUGCAGAAUGAUGUUUAAACAUUUUUGUCAAAUUAUUCCUAAAGAGAAUAAACCCUAAUCCCUUAUUCUCAUUAAAUGCCAUUGUUGUUGUAGCAACAAAUUGAUUCUGCAGAGGCCAAAAUUGUUGUUGUACUACAUCAUAGGCAGCGUUUAGUUGGCCAAAGUCUAGACAAAGAUACAAUAUAGUUGAAAACUAUGCAUAAUAUAAUAUAUAGUCCUGCUAAUAACGUAUAAUCCUCCUGUUACCUUCAUCUUAAAAGCCAAAGAUUUUGACUAAACUUCAAAGCUACUUGAUACUGUAUAGUGUAUCAAAAGAAAGUUGAUGCCUUUGGCCUUGGCCUAUUUAAAGUCUAUAUUUCUUUCUGUAUUUUUGAAAGAUUCUUGAGGUUAAAAGUUGAAAUUGAAAUGAUCUGAAAAAUGUAAAGUAGCCUUAUAAAAAAUGAUACAAAGAAUAUACUCAUAAUAAAUAAAUGCACUUCAUAUUACUACUACAUACCUUUUGAAACUCUCAUUCCAUUCGUGGAGAAGCGAAAAUGGGGUGAAGUAGACACAGAAUUUUGGACAAACUGCAACACUGCCAAACGUCUCUUUUGUAUUUAUACUAGUUCUAGAGCCUGCUCCUACUCUUCCAUAAGUUGUCUUCUAAGAGAUUUAGCAUUCCCACAACUUCUUGGAACUACAAAAAAAAUUGAAAAUGGUUAUUUUAGUGACUAAUGAGAGAAUAAUCAUAGAACAAGUCAUAUGAACAGGACAAGUAAUGUAGAUUCCAAACAAGAUAAUAUGAUACUCACUUGAGUUCAUUUCAGAAUCCAUGUCUAUGUGGUGAGGUGAGUAACACAUAGAGUACUGAAUUCUAUCAGCAUAAUUCCUUCAACCAAAUUAGAGUUGAUAUGAAAAAUUUUUUGAAAAAGAGGUAUAUGUCAACAUAACUAAUAUGAUCAAAGGAUAAAAUUAAAUUACUAAAUUUCAUUUAUACCCAAAGGACGAAAGUAAAUUAAUUAAUAUAUACUAUUAUCAUAUGUAAAUUUUUUUAAAUUAACCUUAAGAUAACCGGAUAUUGAUACAUUUAUACCAAUAAACAAUCAAAUUAUAAUAAGAACCCUUUCUAAUGUCAAGUGCAAUUUUACCCACAUUUCAAGCUUAAAUCCGAGUUUAAGCAUUCAAUUCCGAGCUGAAAAUGUAAAUUAACCGAAGGAACAUUAAAUAAGGAAGUACCUUUCAAUAACCUUUAACUUCUCCAGGUAAGGUUUAACAAGCACCCGAGACCCACGAACAUAAUGGGAUUCCCUUUGUCUAAAAUGAUUUUAGCAGUUUGUGGAUCAAUAAACGUCACAAAGCCAAACAUCCUUUUUUACUGGAGGUGAGAACCAAAGACGAAGGAUUGGAUUAGAGAGAUAUUCUGUUUUGAGAAGAAGGAUGGAAUAGACAGUAAUGAAAAAUGGUUGAAAAGGGUGAUCAAAGAAAACGACGCCUUUGAAACUUUUGUUGACAUGUGACAUUAACCGCCAGAUAAGCAAAUGUUAAUGUGAUUUGUCAAAUAAUAGACGAAAGGACUAACGUGACUAUUUUUAAAUCUUUUGAGGACAAUUCUGAUUAAUUUUAUUUUUUUGGAAUCAAUUUGGAGAUCGAAUAAUUUUUAAGGACCAAUUUAAAUAUUUACUCUUUUCUUUUAUUAUUAUAAUUAAUCUGUUUGAAUUGGCUUUUCAAAUACUUUUCUAAAAGAAAAAAAAAUGUUGACUAAACUUACAAAAAUUUAUGUUUAAUCUGAUAAAAAAGUUAUUUUAAAAGAUAAAAAGUAUUUAAUUUUAAUAUACAAAAAUAUAGAUAAUUUUAUAUUUUUAUUUAAUUUGUAAUUUUUUAAAUAAUUAUUCAUAUUAUUUUUACAAAUAUAAUAUCACGUAUUAAAUAUAUGUNNNNNNNNNNNNNNNNNNNNNNNNNNNNNNNNNUAUAAAUAUAAAUACAUAAUCUUUCUUAUAUACCAAAUGCAAAAUAAAAAAUUUAUGCUUUUAAAUGAAAAACACCUUUUUAAAAAAUUUUACCAAACCAAACCUUAGACAUAACACUUGGAGUCUUGGACUCAUUCAAAUAAAGAAAUGAAAAACAAAAAAAGAAUAAAAAGCUUAUUCAAUUUGCAUUUACAGCACCAAACAAUUUCCACGCACUAUCAAUUUUUUUUUCCAUUCAAGCUACAACUGCAACAUUUCAUAAUUUAUGCACAUCAAAAUUUAGAAUUGAUUACAGCAAAAUUACAAAGAAUUGUGUACACAAACAAAUGGUACAAACUGAUAAUGACUCCACUAAAAAAAAUUAAAAAUAACUGAGAAGAAAGAAAUUAAAAAAAAAAGAAGGAAAGGGUCAAGACUGAAAAGAAUCAUAGCUUUAUAGCCUAUAGGACUGAAUGAGCGAAAAUACUAUACAACUCCUCAAGUCCCUAGUUUUUAACCAAGUCUUCUAGUUUAAAAAUUGUAUAAUUAAGUCCCUAUUAUGCAUAAAAAUCUUAAAGAGAAAACGAGUUGUCAUUACAGGGGUUUUUUGAAACUAGCUUCAGUAGCUUGCACUUUAUAAGGAUUUUUUAUUAAAAAAAUGGUUAUAUUGAAACAAAACUGUACCUUGGCAAGAUCAAAUGUGUGUUUCCUUUCAUGUGAUUAUUCAUAUCCCAUAGAACAAUUGGUUUUCAGAAUGCUAUAUAAUAAAAUUGUGAAAGAAUAGGAAAAUAAAAGAAUUGUGAAAGAAAAAGAUGAAGAAAUUUUAUUGAUUGUUGAUUGAAUGAAUUGUAAACUAUGAAGACAGCCAACCAAAUGACGAUAUACAAAAGGGUCGGAUAGCAAGGGACUUUGAUCUUGAUAUAGUCUUGUGGUACUAUCCAUUGGAACAGAGGCAGGUUUAGCACCUAAUAAACCAGAAUCCUCCAAAAGAUCAAGGCAAUAUUUUCUCUGAGAUAAGCAAAUUCCCUUCUCUGAUUGAGCAACUUCAAUACCCAAAAAAUAUUUUAAUGGGCCCAAGUCUUUAAUUCGGAAGUGUUGAUGUAAAAUAGACUUAAUGGCAGCAAGUUCAGAAAUAGAAUUACCAGUGAGAACAAUGUCGUCAACAUAGACUAAAAUGAUAGAAAUUUGAUCACCAAUGAAUUUGACAAAUAAACUAUAAUCAGAUGAGGUCUGCUGAUAUCCAUGAGAUAGCAAAAGAUGAGAAAGUUUGUCAUACCACAUACGCUAGAUUGUCGUAAACCAUACAGUGACUUUAGUAGCUUACAGCAUUGAUUCGGUUGAGGAGAUAUAAAUCUGGGUGGCAGAGUCAUAUAAACAUCCUCAGAAAGAUCCCCAUGUAAGAAAGCAUUAUUGACAUCCAACUGAUGUAUAGGCCAAUGCUUCAUAGAGGCCAAUGCCAAAACUAAUCUGAUAGUGGCAGGCUUGACAACAGGGGAGAAAGUUUCCAAGAAAUCAACACCUUCAGUUUGAGUGAACCCUUUAGCCACAAGGCGUGCUUUAUAUCGAUCAACUGAACCAUCAGGCUUGCGUUUGAUGCGAUAGACCCAUUUACAGCCAACCGGCUUAACCCCUGCAGGGCAAUCAACAAGACGCCAAGUUUUGUUCAGCUCAAGAGCAUCCAACUCAUCUUUCAUAGCACUACGCCAAUUAGAGUGUUGAUUGGCGUCCUUAAAAGACUUUGGCUCAACGUCAGAAUGUAGAGAUAAAAGAAACUUUUUAUGUGAAGAUGAAAGAGAAGAAAAAGACAUGACUGAAGAUAAAGGAUACUUGCACUUUGAGGGAGAUUGAUUUGUAGAGAUGAGAGAGGAAUUACACAAGUAAUCAGAGAGAUAUGCUGGAGGUCGGUGAGGCCGGUCGGAAUGACGAGGAUGGGGUUGCUCAGGUGGUGAAGAAGGUGACGGUGGAUGAGAAGGUGACGGUGGGCUGGUGUCUAGUGUUGAAAGGGAUUCGGUGGUCAUGGGUUCAACUUGGUUAGGAAACGAUAGUGAGGAAGAAGGAGAGGUUGUUGGAGAAAAUAAAGAACUAGGUGGAGUUGGGUCAAUGGGUAUAGGUGAGGGUUCAACUGGAAGACUAACUGAAUCUUGUUUUUGAGAAGGUGUGUUUGGCAAUGUUGGGUUAAGUGUCUGGAAUUGGACAUUUUUUGUGACUUUUUUAUUUGAUUCUGUACUUCUCCUUUUGAUUUUAAUAAAGUAACCCAUGUAAAGCGGCUAAAAUCAUCAACAAUAGUAAAAAAAUAUUUAUGAUUAUGAAUAGAAUUUUGUCGAAACGGACUCCAAAUAUCAAAGUGUAAUAAAUCAAAACUUGCAUUGACUUUGUUAAAACUUUGAGAAAAAGAAAGUUUCUUUUGUUUAGAAAGAUGACAAAUGUCACAAGUCUCGUCAUGAUGCAUAGAGAUAAAAGGAAAUUGUUUAUGUAAAUGAUUAAGUCUUUGCCCAGAAAGGUGUCCUAAACGAAAAUGCCAUAUAUUGGAAGGUGUAAUGGGUGGAGAUUGGAUGGAAUUUAUGGAGUGUGUAGUGGAUGAAUUCUUACCGAAAUUAGGUUCAAAGACACAUAAUCCCUCUCUCAUUCUGGCCAAAUCAAUUGUCCCCAAAUUGUUGCUCUGUAGAGUGCAAGAAGAAGAUGAAAAAGUGAGUUCACAUAUGAGUGCUGAAGUAAUUUUUGAAACAGAGAUAAUAUUAAAGUUGAAAUGAGGUAAAUAAAGAACAUCAUGAAGAACCAAGGAUGGUGAAAAUUGAACGAUGCCUUUAUAAGAAAUAGUAGUUUGAGAACCAUUUGGUAAAUGAACAAUAAUAGGAGAAAUUUGUGUGUAAGAAAUAAACCAAGACAAAUUUGAUGCAAUGUGAUCUGUGGCACCAGAAUCAAUGAUCCAAGUAUUCAAGAAUGAAUCUCGAUUUGAAGAAUUGUUAACAGUAGAAAAUGUAUUGAAAGAACAAAGAUAAUGAGUAGUUGGACUUGGCAGAAGUUCAAGUUGGUUUGAAGGACGAGCUUCUUCAUUGAAAGGAAGUGCCAUGAAAGAAAAGUGUUGGGCUGACGAAAGGUCCAAAAGAGACUCCGAAUGAAGUUGCUGGUGUGCCCUUUCUCCUUGAUCCAUGGAUGUCAGCAGAGCUCAAGAGGAGCUCUGAUACCAUAAUAAAAUUGUGAAAGAAUAGGAAAAUAAAAGAAUUGUGAAAGAAAAAGAUGAAGAAAUUUUAUUGAUUGUUGAUUGAAUGAAUUGUAAACUAUGAAGGUAAAACUAAGUAUAUAUAGAGUAUUGGCCUAUGAAAGAUAAAAUUAGAUAAAGAUAAGAUAUAGAUAAAGAUAACUAUAAGAUAAGAUAAAGACUAAAUUAUAAUUUAAUUUGUGUAUUCUGUUGGGCUGAAUUUGUGGGCCGUAAAACGUCUUUAUUGUUGUCAUGGGCUAAGGUGGAAGAGUGGUUUAAUACUAUAAGCAAGAGUUCUGAUAUCUUAGAAUAAGGAUAAAAUGAUUGAAGAGUACACUCACGUCUGCCAGCAUUGCUUGAUAAUAUCCGUGAUAGUAGGGUCCAUAUCAUCUGGAAUGACAAGGCAAGUAGGCAACAAUGCUGGAAACUGACAGCACCCAUAACUUGCAUCGGAUUCAUUCCACUCCAGGGCUGUUGCAAAGUAGAGAGCUCCCAUAAUAUGACUCCAAAGCUAUAAACAUUGCACCUGGAUAUUCAAUCACCACUUGUUAUAAUCAUAAAAUUAUGAAUGCCUCAAAAGGGUGGCAAAACCAAUGAGAAGAACGACGAGACAAGGAAGCCAAAGAACAACACUUAUAUGUAAUAAAAAUUCCAACUUAUUUUUUCCUAUGCCAGAUGAUUCAGGUCAGAGAGGAACACAGACUAUGAAAUCCUCCUCCACAAGCAAAAUAAAAAAAAAUUUAAUAACGAAAACCAAUGAUAACCGAGCUUACUUUUUAUUUGAAGGUUCAUUUCUUAACACUUCAGGCACCAUCCACUCAGCCUGCAACAUGUCAUAAAAAAUGAAUAUAUUGCAAUGCCAAACAAAUGCUUAGCAACAAAACUAAAUACGUGCAAAAUAUCAGAACUGAUCACGCAUACAAAAGAGAGGCGCUUGAGGUAGAGAGAAAAGCAUGUAGUUACACUAAGGUCCCAUUUGGCAAUUAUCAGAGGACACAGACCUAUUUGAAACUCUUACCAAACAAUAACUUUAGGCCUCAACAAAAUUAAGAAAGAUUUGCUCAUUUGUUACCAAAGACCAUUCAUCGUAGUAGAGUGAGUUGGUAAAGUCUAGAGAAGAGUUACAAGAGUUAGUUAUGAAAGAACUGUUGGCUGUUAGAACAGUGCCAGCUACAUAGGAGAGCUGUUAGUUACAGCUAUCAUAACUAACUUUAAGAAUGAACGGACUGUUGUGCCUUUUGUACUAGCUUGCACAGCAAGCUACCCUUAUUAAUAAAAUAAUUAAAUAUAAUUAAUUGUAUUUGGGAUUGUCUAAAAACUCCGCUUGUAUGACAGAGGUUGGAUAUUUCUUGUCAUUUUUUAGAUUUGAAGAACUGAUUCUUAUAUCAUAGCAGAUAUCCGUUCAGGCUCUCUUCGAGACUUUGGUGGAUAUGGCUAAUAAGGAAUAAUGACAUCUUUAAUCCUCAUAAAACUUGGCCUCCAAAAAAAGUGAUUUGUCUGGCAUUAACUUCAAAAAAGGAGCUUAGGAAUAUUUUUGAAUUACAACAUAUGUUCCUUCCCUCUAUUCUAAAUGUUUUUUAGAAUCUCCAUCCAUUGGUACUUUCAAGAUUAAUUGUGAUGCUAGUUAUCUUGAUUCGGGUGAUAGUGUUGGUUUUGUUUGUGUUAUUAGAGAUUGUAAUGGGAGUUGGCAAAGGAGGUGUUUGGGAAUUAUUCAGAGUAAUAAUAUUCUUCGAGGGGAAUUGUUUGCUAUUUGGAGAGGAUAUCUCUUAACUUGGGAUGUGGGUCAACGAGAUGUUAUUUGUGAGACGGAUUGUGUGAAAGCGUUUAAUCUUGUUACUAAUCACCAAGAUGGUUUUGGGUUUAUUGAUCCAUUGGUACUCAAAAUAAGAGAUAUCAUACAUUGGAACUGGCGUGUUGACUUUCGUUUGAUUAUGAAAGAUGCAAACAUAGUGGUAGACACUAUGACAAAGAUGACGAUGAAGUUACAACUUUUUCAUGUGGAGUUUUCUUCACCUUAGAAGGAGUUUAAGAAUAGUCUUAAAUGAGACUGUCCCUCUAUUUAAACAAUUUGUUUGGUUUUUUUUUUUUGUUUAAUUUAUUUAAAUCACCCAAAAAAUAUAAUAAUAAUAAUAACAAUAAAGAGACAUGUUACCUUUAGAAAAGUAUAAUAUCAACGAAUAAUUUUAAGAUUUAUGGUUUAGAGAAUUUGUUGAGUAAUAUAAUGUUAAAAUAGGUCGAAUUGGUAUGUUUGAAAUGGUUAGCAAUUAACAUCAUACUUGCCAUAAUUUUGCUGGUACACCUAAUAUAUACCUGUUUGUAAAAAUUUAUCUAAUUCUACUAUAUAUUUUUUGAAUUUGGAUCCUCUAAAUUUUAAAUUUGUAUUUUAGAGGGUAAAAUGUGAUCUUCUACUUUUGAAUAGUUUUUCUCUUAUAUUUAUUUUUGAUCCCAUCUAUAAAAUAAAUGGUGAGAGAUCCCACUUUACUCUCUAAAAUAAAAUUCAAACAUUAGAAAAUCUAAAUCCAUAUUUUUUUGGGUAAAAUAGAAGAUAAAAAAUAUUUAAUAUUAUGCUAGGAAAGAAUAUACUAAAGAAUUUAUACUUAGAUAAUAUUCAUGCUCUAACAAUUAAUUAGAGUUAAUUUUUAUUUAUGCCUCUUGAUAAUUGUUUAUUUAUAUUAAAAAAUUUAUUAAAUAAUAUUGACAAAUCAACUUAUCAUUGAAAAAAGGUUAAAUGGAAUAAAUAAAAAAUUAUCACCGAAUACAAUAUUGCACCUCAUAGCUAUUAGUUAUUAUCAUUAAAAUUAGGGAUGCUAAAUAAUAAUUUUUCACUAAGAAACAAUGACUGCUCUUUAAAUCUGUUAAUCUCAAUAAAUUUUUUUAAUGUGAAUUCAUCCAACAACAUGUAUUUCUAAACAUGUUUUUUUUAGUAAAAUGUAUUUCUAAACAUGAAUAGCUACUACUAUUUAGAGUCUUGGACAUAUCAUGGAAAACCUGCAGAAGACCAAAACUGAGUAUUGAUGAAUAAACCCCACAAAGAGAUUCUAAUAUACAUUAUUUCAAAAAAAAUAAAUUCAAAACAAGCAAAGAAAAAAUAUAGUAACAACAAUCAAUAAAAUUAUAAAAACACACACAAAAAGGGCCUCGAGGCCAUCCGUAGAAAAAAAAUUCACUAAUUAUCCUAUAGAGGAAACAAAACUUCUGUAACGAAGCAGAAAAGUUAUCCAAGACUAGGUAAAUGUGUCUCCUCUAGAGUAUGCCACCUCAGUUCAUCAUAUGAAAGAAAAAAAAAGUUUCAUUAGCAUAGUAAUGGGGCUAAAAAAUUUAGUUAUGGAUUUAUUAUUGGUAUUUUAUUUGAAAAUGGGUACAGUGAGUGUAUUUACAAAUUGGUGAAACUGUUAGAUGAAAGAUUCAACAGGGGGGAGAGGGGGGAAGUGUUGAAUGCUACUCUAUAUAUAAGGCAAAACUCGGUACCAUUUUUAUUAUAAGGAAGAGUAUUCUUUUUAGUGUUCGUUUAUUGUGUUGCUAGUGUAAUGGAGGUACCACAAACUUGGUAGUGUAUCGCAACCGUGAGAUUAUACGGAAUACUCAUGAAGGAGUGAGAUUUGUGUGUCAGAAUCCAUUUAUNNNNNNNNNNNNNNNNNNNNNNNNNNNNNNNNNNNNNNNNNNNNNNNNNNNNNNNNNNNNNNNNNNNNNNNNNNNNNNNNNNNNNNNNNNNNNNNNNNNNNNNNNNNNNNNNNNNNNNNNNNNNNNNNNNNNNNNNNNNNNNNNNNNNNNNNNNNNNNNNNNNNNNNNNNNNNNNNNNNNNNNNNNNNNNNNNNNNNNNNNNNNNNNNNNNNNNNNNNNNNNNNNNNNNNNNNNNNNNNNNNNNNNNNNNNNNNNNNNNNNNNNNNNNNNNNNNNNNNNNNNNNNNNNNNNNNNNNNNNNNNNNNNNNNNNNNNNNNNNNNNACCCCAUCUUCUGGAGUACAAUAUCUAUGAAGCUCCACUUAACACUGUUAUACGCCUUCUGGAAGUCCAAUUUUAUAAUCGCUGCUUUUCUUUUCCUCAUCUUUAACCAUUGUACUGUUUCGCAUGCGAUAAGUGCCCCAUCAUGUAUUUUUCGACCCUUUACAAAAGCACUCUGCGUCUCACCUACUAGACCUGGCAUCACUGCUCUCAUCCUUCGAACCAAGACUUUAGAGAUUACUUUAUAAAUGCAACCAACCAUGCUAAUCGGCCUGAGGUCCUUAAUCUCCUUGGCUCCAGUGAACUUUGGUGCUAGGGCCACCCAGGUGAUAUUCGAGCCAGAAGGCAGUCUUGAUGAGUGAAAAAAAUCUAGUACAGUUGUCGUGAACUCUGCACCAAUGUUAUCCCAGCACUUUUUAAUGAAGUUCAUGUUGUAACCAUCGCUUCCUGGAGCUUUAGAUGACUCACAGUCCCAGACUGCCGCUUUAAUCUCCUCCAUAGUCGGGAUCCUUUCCAAAGCUGCUGCAUCUUCUUCAUCAAUCCGAUUUACCAGACCAUCCCUAAACCUCACAACCGGCAAUCUCUCCUGAAGAUACAAUUCCUUGUAGAACUCUCUAAUAGUAAUCUUGAUCCGAGCUUGAUUUCUUAUCAGUCUUCCGUUUAUGACCAAAGCAUCAAUUCUGUUAUUCCUCCUUCUUUCCGACGCCAAGUGAUGGAAGUACCUUGUGUUUUUAUCCAUGUCCUUCGCAUGCCUGGAUCGCGACAUUUGCUUCCAGUGUAUUUCUUUUCUCACAUACCAUUGCUUACAACAACUUACCAGAGCUUUCUUCUAGCCUCGACUGUACCAUCAUAAACUCCAUUUCCAACCAUCUCAUCUAGCUUCUUUAUCUCCUCCUCAAAGCGUUGAAUCCUCUUAUCCAUGUCACCAAAUUUGUUCUUGUGCAAUCUCCCCAAAGGCAAAGUUAAAGCCUUCAAAUUUUUUGUAAACUCGAGUUCUCCAAUAUUCCUCCACUCCUCCCUAACCAUUCUUAAGAAUCCCUCAUGUGUAAACCACAAAUCUAGACUCCGAAAAGGACGUGGACCAUCUCUAAAUUUGGAAUCCUCCACUACAAUUGGGCAGUGAUCAGACGAACCUCUCGAACCACCUUUUAAUCGAAUUUUCGGAAAUUUCUCAAGCCAUUCUACACUCAUGAGGACCCUAUCAAUGCGGCUGCAGGAGCGGCCUCUGAACCAAGUAAAUUUCCGAUCAUUCAACGGUAAGUCCACUAGUUGCAUAUCUUGGACCCAAUCUUUGAACUCUGCUGCCGACGCUGGUAUUCUGUCCUGCCCUUUCCUUUCUCCAACCUAUAUGAUCUCAUUAAAGUCUCCUAUAUAACAUAUCAGAUCCUGGCAUAACCCAGCUACAAAGCUCAGUUCCUCCCACAUAGCCAGUUUUUCCAUUCUAGUAUGAGCACCAUAUACCAAACAAAUUGCACAGUUGAACUCAUUUUUUAGAAGCACUCCUUCAACACAUAUCCAUCUUUCCCCUUUGUAACAAUUAUUCAUUUUAAAUUGCAUGUCAUCCCACAUUAACAACAGACCCCCAGAUGAGCCUUCCGACCCUACAAACUCCCACCCGACAUUAUCGCUUCCCCGGAUUCAGAUUACAUCAAACUUAGUCAUGACUUGCAAUUUAGUUUCAACCAAUCCUAACAUAUUCAAUUUUUGCUUCUUUUUUAGAUUUUUCACCAUACUCACCUUUCCAACACCCCUUAACCCCCUAAUAUUCCAAGCGCUAAAAAUCAUUUUAAAACUGUUUUACACACCUUUUUGGGAUUUUUAGGUCUGCAUCAUCGUGCCUUCUCUUUCUUCUUUGCUAACCUCCUCUUCUGAGCUAAGGCCUCGUUCUGUUCUUGAAGGAUUGCCAUGAUAUCAUCUUCUUCGUCAUACUGCACAGCUCUAAUUCAACAGCCAGCUCCCACGUCCUCCUAUUCUCCAUCAUCAUUUCCUCCCUUUCCUUGUCCUUCCCGUCACUAUUUCCCAUAUUAUCAUCACUAUCGUCCACAGCAAGCUCAGCUCUGACUCUGUCUCUGUCUACUCCCUCAGCAAUCAAGUUCAAACAGUUCCUAGGUGUGUCAUCCGUAAGCCUCAACAAGUCAACCUUUGAACCGGCUUCAGACUCCCGAGGUGCUAAGCAGCGCAGCUCUGCAUCCGGGUCAGGCUCGCCGUCCAUGAGGGAGCGCGGCGACGCCAUCGCCGGUGUUAGACGGAGCCCAGGUGGAGAGUCAGCUUCCAUGGGAGGGCACACCAAUAGUCCUUGGUCGCAGGUCUCUACCGCCGUUGCAGGUCGGGUAGCUCNNNNNNNNNNNNNNNGCGCCCACUUCCUGCGCAUUCUUCACGCCAAUCAUCUGCGAGAACCUCCCCUCACGUUGAUGUGGCAGCGCUGCGCACAGACCAGGAACCGGGUUGCUUCAGUCUGGAGCGCACCAGCCCAAUCCGGAUUACCCAGCCCGUCUCCUCCAGCGUUUUCAGUGUGGCCAGCACGAGUUGGGCUAGCUGCUGUAGGAAGGAGGCCUAUACCUACUUUAUUGGCGCAGCUUCCACAAAAAACCGUGUUGGGCUUCAUAAUAAGCUUGCUUUGGAUUUCUUUUUCCUUCCAAGUACCGUUUUGCUUCAGCUUCUUGUUAUUGUAAGCCCAACUCAGUGUUUUUUCUUAUGCAUCAUCAUUAACACUCAAAUUAUUACAUCCCAUAAUAUCCUCACUUUCCUCUGAUUCCGAAUCAGGUGUUUUCCUUUCUAUACACAUUUAUACUGGAUUGUAAUUAAUCCAUUCAUUCAAAAUUUCUUCUAAAUUUAUGACUCUACCCUUGUCACUUUCUUCCUCCCUUGGCACCACCAUCACUAGCUCAGCCAUCGGGUUUAUGCUUUCCACUGGCAGCAUGGUCUUCGAGCUGCUCGCAACCGUCUCGCAUGCUUUAGGGAGGCCAAGAUUCCCUAUCUCUUCAAAUUUGCACUCUCCACUAUAACUCUCACGACCAACCUCUUUAACCAAAACGUCGAACCCGCUAGUGCCAACUGUGACGUGGAUUCAUUCGUUGAUGGCGUCCAUGAUACAAGUAUCAAUUUGUACCCGUCCAACGCUAAAUGAGAGGCAAGAUUUAGUGGCUUCGUCACAUCCAAUCACUUCUCCCCAUUGGCUUUCUAUGACCUUAAAUGUCUCCACUGACCACGUAUGCAAUAGAACACCGAAACAUUCUAACCAGACCCUUCGAGUUUUACUACGUUCCUCCUCAUUCCAUCUCCAUACGUUGUGGAAAAAUUGCAACAUAUUGUUCAUUUUGAACGUGUAGGCUUCUUCUGCACUCAAUACACUAUCAAAAGUCAUGAGAGCCUUAUACGCUCCUAGCUCUCGCACAUGCACCACUUGAGGCAGAUUCUUCCUAAUCAUAGACAUCAGAGAUGGGAGGUUCAUAGCCUUCGUCGCCCCGCCUAUGAGGCUCCUCUGUAGCCAUUCUAGGUUUACUUUUGCCACUGGAAUUUCUAUCUUCUUCGUCCAUCCAUUGCCAUGUGGAUCUUUCUUUUUCCCCUGCUCUCUCACCUCUUUCACAUUUUUCCUCAGAAACCUCGUGCUAUCCUCAGGUUGAGUUUGAAUUUUCACACCAUUCUGGGCAUCACCCGCCUCUUGAAGCCCCUUACUAUACUCCGUGUCAUUCUUAUGUCGAUACCUCGCUUCUCUGACUGAGAUGAUCUUCCCUCUUAGCCUCGUUCUGUUCAUCUCUGCAAUAGCCUUCAAAGCUCCACCCUUUGUUGUAAACUUGAUGAAUGCAAACACGUACAUCUUACCAUGCUUUUGUUUUCGUGAAAGAUAGAUAUCAUUUAUGCGUCGAGUCCAGUUGAAUAAGUGGUACAGCUCCCUUUUUGAUAUAUCAUCCGGGAGAUGAUCUACAAAAAUUGAGAACGAUUCGUUUUCCAAACGACAGCACUCUUCUCGAUUCCAAACCCUCGGAUCUCUACUGAUUUGCCUAACCCUACCCCUCCCGGUGUUUCCCACCCCCUCUCUUUCUCUCUCUCAUCUCUCUCUCUCAGUCUCUCUCAGAUAUCUUUAAACAAAUGCAAUAUUUGUCUUGUUUCACAUGAAAAUCGGAAUAUUGAUUGUUUUUAUAAAUUUUUUCCUUUUAUUUUCAUAGUAACAUUUUUAUUAUUAUAUCUUUUUUCUUGGUUUAAAAAUUUAACAACCGAGAAAUUGCAUUUUCCAUUGAAAGAUCCAUAAUCAAAUUAAGAGAACAAAACCAUUAUAGCUAUAAACCUACUAAGUAAACAAAUUAAAACAAAUAGAUGAACAUUUUAUAGUUUGUGGAAUUGUUCCCUAUUAUAUUAUCCUCGCUUUCACCCAAUCAACAUAUACCUUCUAUAAUGUUCACCGAGUUGUGUACUUGUGUUGUGCUUUCGCACAAUGUAGUUGAAACCUUGAAUUAAUAACAUAGGGGAAUAUUAGGGAGAUUGAACAAUAUAAACAACCACCAAUUAAAUAAAAACACACUACACCUUUAAAUUAAUCUUCUAAAUUUUAAUAUUAAAAUAACCAUCCAUACACUAGUAAAAUAAACAUCCGAUAUAUCUAUUAUUUACAUUGUUUAAUAUUUUCAUUAUUUACCUAUAUUUUUCCAAUAACAUAAUGUCUAUAAUUUGUAUUCUUCAAAUUUUGUUCACUUAAUGGAUGGCUUGGUUUCAACUUGCUGCUUUAUUUUCAUUGCAGUAAAAAGCCCACCAGUAUCAGCCUAUCAGGCAAAUCAUCAACCAAUACUAUUGUGUUUGAAGCAUUGAAAUUUUCAUGUCUGAAAAAAAACAAUGAAAUUUUGAAAUAUUUGUUGAACAAGUUAAAUAAAAUUUAAGCAAUUUUGAAGUAAUUUAUUUAUGACAAAUAUAUUUAUCUAAAGUAAAUUUUCAAAACUAUUUCUAAAAAAAUAGAAAAAUAUCAUCCUUUUAGAUUUGAAAACAACUAAAUCCUCUUAAAAUAGAUGACGAAAAAUUAGCACAAAUUUUUUAUGGAUAAUUUAUACAAGAUAAAAAUAUUAUUUUGGACUUUAAAGUUUCGGUUACAUUUUAAUUUAGUUCCUAACACUUAAAAAUUCUUUUUUUACAAAUAUUUUAUUUCAUUCUAUUUUAAUCUUUUGGUCGAAAUUAAAAUUUUUUCCAAAAAUAUUAUUUUCUCUCUAUUAUUGCCUUCUUAUUUCUUUUAUUGUUCUGUUACUUUUAUUUUUAAAUCAUUAGAACCAAAUAAAUAUGUUUGGAAAAUAAACAUCAAACAUUAGAAAUAGAAUUAGAACUUAACUUAAAUGUUAGAAUUAUAAGAGUACUUACAGAUACAAAUACAAAGUGAUAAAUAUAUCUAUACUUUUUUAUUAAUGCAUAGUAGUGAAUAAAUUUAUCCAAUAAUUUACAAAAAUUCAAACUAGAUUUGCUGGUUUCAGAUAUAAAGUUAGACCCUAAAAUGUUUGGUCCCCUGCUGAAUCAUCAACUGCAACAAGACAUAUUCGUUUUGGUGUUCCAAGCUUUUUUGCUUUGUUGGCUGCUGCUUUAUUUUAGAUUUGGACAAUAUACUUAAAUAAAUAAAAUGAGAGAAUUCUUUACCUGAUUGCAACAUUUAAAAACUCCUUACGUGAGUGUCUUGUUUUGUUUAUUAUGUAAACCGUGGGAGCUAACUACGGUUUCAACAUGUUCAUAAACUGUGGGAGCCUUGGACGGAUUUCAGCUGGAAAAAUUUGAUUAUAAACUGUCUUUACGUGAGUGUCUUGUUUUGUUUAUUAUGUAACCGUGGGAGUUAACUACGGUUUCAAUAUGUUCAUUAACUGUGGGAACCUUGAACGGAUUUCAGCUGGAAAACUUUGAACAUAAACCGUGGCUGCUCACCACGGAUUAUGAAGGAAAAUAGGUAGCUAUAAACCGUACUUGGUCUCCACGGUUUAUGAAAAAAAAAAAAACUCUGAACAUAAACCUCUACUGCCUACCACGGUUUAUGCAUAGAGAAGUAUAAAUACAUAAUCCGUCAUCACGGAUAGCAUUUGUGCCAAACCAAAAUUGUUGUACCUUGGUGGUUGAGAGAAUUGGAGAGAGAGGUUCGAAGGUUUGAAAGUUUUGGUGAUAUUUGGGUGGUGGAGCCAUAGAGAAUGAACCUCGCAUGUACUGGCUAUAUUAAAUUAUUAAUUUUAGUUACACUUCAAAAUGAAUAAUACUUUAAAAAUAACUAAAAAAAUUCAAAAAUCUCAUGUGAAUCAACAUGUACAUAAAAUAUUAUGUGAAAAUAAGUAUAAAUAUCAGGAUAGUCAAUAAAUAAUUACCAAAGAAUAAAAAGAGUAAAAAAUAAUUUAAAUUCUAAGAGUUGAAAUAGUAAAAAGAAUGAAGAAGAAAAAGUUAGAUAUAUAUCAAUUAAAUAAUAUUAUAAAUAAAAAAUUUAAUUUAUUAUUUUAUAAUAUCAUUUUUAAAAAAAUGCAACUUUUUCUUUUUCAUUCUUUUUACUAUUUCAACUCUUAGAAUUUACAAUUAUUUUUUACUCUUUUUAUUCUUCGGUAAUUAUUUAUUGACCAUCCUGAUAUUUAUACUUAUUUUCACAUAAGAUUUUUGAAUUUUUUUUAGUUAUUUUUAAAGUAUUAUUCAUUUUUAAGUGUAACUAAAAUUAAUAAUUUAAUAUAGCCGGUACAUGCGAGCUUCGUCCUCUAUGGCUCCACCACUCAAAUGUCACCAAAACCUUCAAACCUCUCCCUCCAACUCUCUCAACCACCAAGGUGCAACAAUUUUGGUUUGGCACAAAUGCUAUCCGUGAUGACGAAUUAUGUAUUUAUACUUCUCUAUGCAUGUGGUAGGCAAGGGAGGUUUAUGUUCAGAGCUUUUUUUUUUUUUUUUCAUAAACUGUGGUGACCAAGCACGGUUUAUGGCUACCUAUUUUCCUUCAUAAUCCGUGGUAAACAGUCACGGUUUAUGUUCAAAGUUUUCCAACUGAAAUCCGUCCAAGGCUCCCACGAUUUAUGAAUAUAUUGAAACCGUGGUUAGCUCCCACGAUUUACAUAGUAAACAAAACAAGACACUCACGUAAAGAAUUUCCAAAUGUUAUAAUCAGAUAAAGAAUUCUCUCAUUUUAUUUAUUUAAGUACAUUGCCCAAAUUUAUAUAUAUAUGAAUCUUUGUUUAUUUGAUGCUGAAAUUUUUUUUAUUAUUGUUUUUGCGAUGGGGGCUUGGUUGAUGAGAUUAUAUUGAGAUUUCAUUUCAUCAAUUGCAACCAAAACGCAUGUACUUAGAGUUAUCAUAGAGCAAUUCAAUGAUUCUUUAAUUCUUUGAUCAUUUUGCCAUAUUACAGUAUCUUUAUCAAUGUAUUAACAUUUUUUUUAUGCAAAGAAAGCAGAAUAGAUUCUGCAGAAUUGAAGAUAGUAUUCUAGAAUAUGAAUUCUAUAACAAUCUGAAUAGUUGAAUCACUAGUUCAUUAUAUGUUGUAUAUAGGGAUGGCCAAAAACCUUGAACCCAUGGAUAUCUAUUGAGAUUAUCCGGAGUUUUAACAGAACUCGCAAAAUCCCCACGGGGAUGAGGACCCCUCCCUUCCCUCCAACCCCCAAUAAAUGGGGAUGGAAGACAGGGAUUGAGGUACCCGCUCAACGGAAACAUGUGAAAUUCCUGCGAAGAAGAAUUAACUUAAAUGCCCUUAUGCACAUAACAAAUACGAUAAAAAUAAUAACAUAGAUGGAGGGCUGAAUAAGUCACAUUGACAAAACAUAAUGUAAUUGACUUCUGAAAUAAAAAUUUAUCGAACAAAAAAUUUUGAAGUAAAGCAUGAGUAUUAAAUUUGAAAAGAACAAAACAAGUACAAAGAUGCUGGAGCUAUCGUACUAUUAUUGGAGCCCUGAAAGUGUAUUGUUGAACGAUGGUGAUAAAAAAAUUUAUUUGGAGAGAAAAAUUAUGAUUGAAUGAUGACGAUCGAAAAUUAGGAAGUGGAAGGAUAUAUGCAGGGAAAAUUAGUAUUUGGAGGAAAAAUUAGCGAACACUCAGAAUUCUGUAUUGUUUCACUUUAACACCCCCAUAACAAAACUCCAAGCGAAUAACUUUUUUUAAAAUGCUAAUAAACAGAGACUUAGAGACAAUGGAAUAAUGUCUACACAAGAAAUAAUGGAGUAAUUUAUCUAAGAAUUAACAGAAAAAUAUUCUCCGAAAAAGUAAUUCAUAAUGUACAUAUUUUCAGCAGAAGCAAUUUCCAAGCAAUACAACUGAGUAGCAUUAAUUAAGAAAAUGGCCAAAAAUCUUGAGAUAACUAAACCAUGUUACCUUGACUCGAUGUUGCUUAGGUUGAUGAAAAGUGGGGACAUGCAUUUUAGAAGGUGGGUUUAUUUUUAAGAUGGAAGUGUAAACUAUAUAGCCUAAGAAUAAAUCCUUAUUACCUACUUAAAUUUCCUUAUAUAUAUAUAUGGUACCUAUAAAGAUACGGAAAAAUAAGUUGCACAACAGAAUAGUAGAGAACAAACAACAAACAACAAAACAAAAUUUUCAAUCUUUUUAGUUUUGCUUAAUUUUAGCAUGAUAAAUACAUGAUCUCAUAGAAUAACAGUAAAGAACACUCUAUUCCUAUAAAGAGAUCUUAAACACUAAAUCUGUAAGCUAUAACUAGGAAUAUCAUCUAAAGAAUCAAUAAUGUAGUGGAAUGAAAAAGGAUGAUAGCAUUUGCAAAAAUCGAAAGUACAAAAUUAAUUAAUGUUAUGGCAUUGCCAAAGUCCUCUGACCCAACAGACACAGAAUUUACAAAACUAUGAUACAUAUUCAGCAACAAUGAGAUGUAAUUUCAAUUCGAGUUGAUGUAUCUUACCUUCUUUUAUCAAUUCAAUAAGCCUCUAGCAACCAUUUCCCGAAGAAGUUUCUCCGCCAUGUCAUUCUCAUCUUUUUCAAACAAAGCACGAAUAACAGUUUCAAAAGUCACAGCAUUUGGUAAGCAACCAUUGUGUUCCAUUUCCGACAGCAGGGCCAAUGCUUCUUUAAACAAGCCCUCUCUACAGAGCCCAUUGAUCAUAAUAUUGUAUGUCCUCACAUCUGGAGGAUAGCCUUUCACAGAAAGAUCUUGAAAGAUCUCUUUUGCAACUACAAGUCUUCCACCUUUGCAUAGGCCAUCAAUAAGUAUAUUGUACGUGCAUAUAUCUGGAUCAAUGCCACUCUCUUUCAUUUGCUUGAAUAACAUAAGUGCCUUGUCAACUUGUUUGAUAUUGAACAUCCCAUCCAACAAGGAAUUGUAAGUGACUACAUUAGCGGGUGGACCUCUCUUGUGCAUCUUGACAAGAAGCUCCAAAGCACAAGAGAUUCUCUUUGAUUUGCUCAAGCCAUCAAUAAGAGUGUUGUAAGUUACCGUGUUUGGAUCCAAGUACUUACUACGCAUUUUUUCAAAGAGACUCAAGGCUUCAUCAACCAUUUUACUUUUGCACAAGCCAUUAAUCAUGAUAUUGUAACUUUGAACAUUAAGUAACACUCUACUUUGGGCCAUUGUGUUGAAUACAUAUUUUGCCUUAUUUACCUGAUUAACCAAACAAUAUCCGUCCAUUAAGCUGUUAUAAGUAACCACAUUUGGUUUCACACCAUGUUUUGUCAUCACAGCCAACACAUUUUUUGCAUCUUUGAUCUUUCCUUCCUUGCAUAGCCCAUCGAUCAAAAUACUAUAGGUACUAACAUCAGGAGUAAGGUUUCUAAGCACCAUAUCACUUAACAAAUCAAUGGCUUCCUUAUAUUGACCUUCAAGACACAAUCCAAAAAUGAGAGAACUGUAUGUGAUAACAUCUGGAGAAAUUCCCCUAGCAAGCAUUUCAGAGUAUAAAUAAAAAGCCUCACUUACAAGUGUAACCUUGCAGAGGCUAUCAAUAAUUGCGCUGUACAUGAAGACGUCAGGAGCAAUGCCAUACCGUGGGAUCUUUCUCAACACUUGAAUAGCAGCUGAUGUGUGUCCGGUCUUACAAAGCCCAUUGAUCAAGGUCCCAUAAGUGACUUGGUCGAAGUGAAAUCCAUAAGCCAACAUUGUGGCAUGAAAGUGCAGUGCUUUUUCAAUAUUACCACAGAGACAGAGGCCUUUCAGGAUUGUUGUCAAGGUUACGGUAUCAGGCUGAAAACCCAUCCUGAAAAUCUUAGCGAAAGCAGAGAAAGCAAGCUUCAUAUGACUCAUGGCGCAACAACAAUUGAUUAAGAUGUUCAAAGUAACUAUGCUGGGGGCGAUUCCCCUGACUUGCAAUUGCUGAAAAAGGGAAACGGCGGCGUGGAAAUGCUUCGUCUUGGAAAGGGAUCCCAAAAUCUUGUUAAAUUGGAUGAUGGGAGGAGUACGACGCAUAGAGAGCAUGCGAGUGAAGGAAUGAACAGCUUCAUCAACUUGGCGAAAGGAUGGGGGCUCAGAAUGAGAGUGAAGGGAUGAAGAGGAAGGGAAGGAAACAAAAUUAGGGAUUUGGAGAAGAGAAUACCUAAAAAUGAAAGUGAUCCUUGAGGUUGAGGAUGACAACAUUUUAGUGAUUCGCACUUUCGCUGUUGUCAAAGUUUGAGGGAGUUUGCUAACCCUGCGGAAAUAGUCCUACGGCUCCUACCCGUGCCCCUGUCACCGAUUUAAUCCUAAUAACAUAGUGUGUUUGGAUUACAGUUUGCAAACGGAAGUUUGUAUAAAAUUGAUUUUGCAAAAUUGAUUUUGAUAAAAAGUAAGUUUGUGUUAACGUGAUUUAUGUUUUGUAAUCUUUAUAUUAAAAUUGAUUAUAGUAAAAUAAAUGUUGUUUGAAUUAUACUACUCAAAAUUACUUUUAGAUAAAAAAUUACCAAAAGAGACAUCAAUUUAAAUAAUUUUUUUAUAUACAUGCAAAAUCAAAAUGCUAACAAAAAUAAUAUAAAAAAUAUUUAUCAUAUAAAUAAAAUAAAUACAAUAAAAAAUAAAAAUAUGGAAAAGAGUACUAUAAAUUUUAUAAUAUCAAACAAAAAGAAAAUAUUCUAUAAUUUUUUUAGUACUAUUAGUACUCUUUAAUUUAGUAUUAUUUUGGACUAUAAAAUUUCAUUAUUUAUGGCUUUAUUGUUACUUAUAAUUAAUUUUUUAUUUAUUUUGUCCUUUUUUAUAUGAUCAUAAUUUAUAUUAUACAAAAUUUUGAUAAUAAACGUAGUAUAUAAUAAUUACAAUUACAAAUUUUACAAAGUCAGAAUAAAAAAUAAAAAAAUUAAUACAAAACAAAAAUAGAGUACAUCAAAGAAUAAAAAAAAUUGAUACAGAUAAGAAAUAAUAAAAAUGUCAUAAAACCAACAACAUAUAUCAUAUGAACAAAAAAAAUACAAUAAAAGGUAAAUAAAAUUCAUAUGAAUAAAAUUAAAUAAAAAAUAAAAAAAUUUCAUACACAACAUAAAUACAAUACAGUAAAGGAUAAAAAAAAUAAUUCAUAUAAAAAACAUAAUAAAAAUAUCAUAAAAAUUAAUAAAAUACCUGAAAAAUCAGAACACUAUAAAAAUAAAAAAAAAAGUCAACAACAUUUAUCAUAUGAAUAAAAGAAAUACAAUAAAAUAAAUAAAAAAUCAUAUAAACAAAGCCAACCAAAAAUUAAAAAAAAAGAUUUUAUAAAAAUAUACAUAUAAAAAAUAAUAUAGUAAAUGAUAAAAAAAACUCAUAUAAAAAUAUAACAUGAGAAAUUAGAAUACUACACAAAUAAUAUAAAAAUCUUUAUCCUAUAAAUAUAAAAUAUAAUAAAAAAUAUAAAAAUUAAAAUAUGAAAGUGAGUACUAAAAAUAAUAAAAAAAAAUUAAAAUAUUCACUUUGCUAGUGAUUGAAACAAAUUUGAACCAUUUUUAUGAAAACAAAUUGAAACUAAGAACAAGUAGGAGGAACUAUAGAGAACUGUGAUAGUAAUAGUUACUAGUAUCCUUUGUAUAGAAGAAAAUGAAGGAUAGGAAUAGUAAAAAAGAAAUAAAAUUUCCACCUAAUUUUCUAAGAUAAUCAACCACCGUGAAUGUGAAAUGCAGAAGCUACAAAUUUUAUCUUCUCUUGUACGUAAGUUUAAAGGCAAAAUCACUUCUGCGUUCAGAAGAAUAAAAGUUGCCAAACAUAAAGGUAAAACUUUCAAGAGACUCAAACGUGUUUCUUUUCUCCUCAACGCGUUUACCAAACACACCCAUAAUAAUUGGAGGUCUCCAGAUUCGACGCCCGUUUUAUUUUUAUCAACUUUUGAAUUGGACCUAGAUACCAAAUAAAUUAUAAGGCUUGGGGGAGUAAUGGUUUCAUUUCAUCAAUCAUCAUGCUCGAGAAAAAAGGUGAUCCAUCGAAUAANNNNNNNNNNNNNNNNNNNNNNNNNNNNNNNNNNNNNNNNNNNNNNNNNNNAGUAUAUGAAUUUAAUUAUAAACUUUUAAAUUAAUUUAAAAUAAAAAUUUGAUAAAAUUACAAAUACCAAUAUAAUAAUAAUAACAAUAAAAGGACAUGUUAUCCUAAGAAAAGUAUAGUGUCCAUAGAUAAUUUUAAAAUUUAUGGUUUAGAGAAUUUGUUGAGUAAUAUAAUAUUAAAAUAGGCUAAAUUAGUGUGUUUGAAGUGGUUAGCAUCACACUUGCUAUAAUUUUGCUGGUACAUUUAAUAUAUACCUAUUUGUAAAAUUUUGUCCAAUUCUAUAUAUUUUUUCGGGUAAAGUGAAAGACUAAAAAUAUUUAAUAUUAUGUUAAGAAAUAACAUACUAAGAAAUUUAUACUUAGACAAUAUUUAUACUCUAACAAUUAAUUAGAGUUAAUUUUUGUUUAUGCCUCUUGAUAAUUGUUUAUUUAUAUUAAAAAAGCUAUCAAACAAUAUUGACAAAUCAACUUAUAAUUAAAUUUUUGGGCAAUUUACGCAUCUAAAUUGUUUGACCCCAAUAUUACGCAAAUACAUUGUUUCUAAAUUCAAUACGCAAAUGCAUUGUUUCACUAUUUUAUGUAAAUCGCUACUGGCAGUAGCAUUAUUAUUAUUAUUAUUGGGAUGGGGGCUUGCUUGCUUCGAUGAGAAUAUAUUAUGAGAUUUCACGUCAUCAAUUGCAACCAAAACACAUACUUAGAGCUAUCAUAGAGCAAUUCAAUGAUUUUAUAAUUCUUUGAUCAUUUUGCCAUAUUAUAGUAUCUUCAAUAUAUUAACAUUUUUUGAGACAAAGAAAGCAGAAUAGAUUCUGCAGAAUUGGAAGAAGAUAGUAUUCUUAAAUAUGAAUUCUAUAACAAUCUAACUAGUUAAAUCGUUAUACGGUUGUAUAUUCGGCCAAAAAAACUUGUAUCCGUAAAUAUUUGUUGGGAUUAUUCGUGACUGAAGGCUAACGGGUAUCUGCGCGCAAAAUUUUUAUGGAGAUGAGGAUUCACCCCGCCAAUAAAUACAAACGGGAGACAGAAAUUAAAAUACCUGCUCUACAUAAAUGUGAAUUUUUUAUAAAAAAAAUUUACUUAAAUACCUUUAUAUACAUAACAAAUACGAUAAAAAUAAUAAUAUAGAAUUUGUACUACAAUGACAAAAAUUACAUAACAUGUAUAGGUUAUGAUGGCUGAGUAAGUCACGUUGACAAAAAAUAAUGUAAUUGACUUUUGAAAUAAAAAUUUACCAAACAAAUAAUUUUAAGAGUGAAUUAUCAAUCUAGUCAUGUCCGUUUCUCAGAAUGACAACGCGACCUCUUAAGAAAAAAAUAAUCCACUUCGGUCCCACGUACAAGUCGGACGAAGGAGCACCAAGUACCAGGUCCACUCGAAAGCCACCUCCUUCACUCGUUUGGGCCAACCAACGCCAUCCGGCCCAUCAAUCUCCGGUUACCCACCGUAACAUUGGCGCCGUUGCCGGGGACCCGAGAGAUCAACCAGUGAUGGCGGAAAGAUCCCCUGAAGAGGGUCAUGUGGAGACAGAUUCCGAACAAGAGAAUUUGAACACUGGAAACAAUGAGAUAGAUCAGACCCUCCACCAGGAAGCCAAUGAUCAACAUAGGGAAGGCACCUCCGGAAUCAAAAAUCCGAAGGUGAACUCCUCGGAGGGGCGCGAAUCAGAAAAAGAAGGACCCUCCCACGCUAGUGAGCUUAUGGGAUUAAUCCAUAGCCGCCUCGAGCAGCUAGAACAGGAGCGGGAACGACAAAGGGAAGCUGAAAAGAACCUAAAAGAGGAGAUGGAGCGACAAAAAGAGUUAGAAAGAAAACUCUUAAAGUUAGAAUCCUCCCUCAAAGGUCGGAAUUCCCACGACGAUAGAGAACAUUCCCCCUUAGGAGAAAAAGAUCCGUUUAGCGAGGACAUAAUGAGGGCAAAAGUUCCGAGAAACUUUAGAAGCCCCGAUAUGGACCUCUACGAUGGAACCACCGAUCCAAAGCAUCAUCUGAGCAACUUUAAAAGUCGGAUGUAUCUGACCGACGCUUCUGACGCUACGCGAUGCAAAGCUUUCCCGACAACCUUGUCAAAAGCAGCGAUGAAGUGGUUCGACAGCCUCCCUCCGAGGUCAAUUACCAGUUUUGAAGACCUCUCAAGAAAAUUCUUAAUGAGGUUCUCCAUCCAGAAGGACAAAGUAAAGCAUGCACCAAGUCUCUUGGGAAUAAAACAGGAGGUCGGGGAGUCCUUACGGGCCUAUAUGGAAAGGUUCAACAAAGCAUGUUUGGAGAUUCAAGACCUGCCCACCGAAGCAGUCAUCAUGGGGCUAGUCAAUGGUCUUAGAGAAGGUCCCUUCUCACAGUCCAUAUCAAAAAGACACCCCGCCUCUUUAAAUGAUGUACAGGAAAGAGCUAAAAAGUACAUCAAUAUGGAAGAAAACGCUAGGCUAAGAGACCCGAGUUUGCGACUCGGGCACCCUCCCUAGACGAAAGAAAGGGAGAGGGAAGCGAAGAAGAAGGAAGAGCUUGGCCUCGAUAGGCCAAGAAAAUAUCACUCUUAUACUCCAUUGAAAGUUCCUGUAGUGGAUGUAUACAGAGAAAUUUGCAAUACUGAAAGGCUGCCUCCCCCCAGACCCAUUAAAAAUAAAAAAGGGGGGAGUCGCGGUGAUUACUGUGAGUACCAUAAGAUAUAUGGGCACUCUACAAACGACUGUUACGACCUUAAAAAUGUGAUAGAAAAGCUGGCCAGAGAUGGUCGGCUUGACAGAUAUCUCAUAGAAAGGUCGGACAGUCAUGGAAAAAGAAAGCGAGAAGAUACGGAUAGAAGAGACCCACCACCACAAACUCCGGAGAGACAUAUCCAUAUGAUCUCAGGAGGGUUUGCGGGAGGGGGACUCACAAAAUCCUCUCGUAAAAGACAUCUCAAGAGAGUUUAUCAGGUCGAAGAGGGGUCCUCCGACCUUCCGACCAUUUCAUUCACAAAGGAAGACGGGCGAGGAGUAAUCCCUGGGCACGAUGACCCAGUGGUAAUUACCAUGAUCCUGGCAAAUGCCCAUCUACACAGAACACUAGUAGACCAGGGAAGCUCAGCAGACAUCCUCUUCAAGCCCGCUUUCGACAAACUAGGAUUAGACGAGAAAGAGUUAAGAGCCUACCCCGACACCUUGUACGGGUUAGGCGAUACGCCAAUAAAGCCACUAGGAUUUUUGCCCCUCCACACCACCUUUGGAAAGGGAGAGAAGACAAAGACUCUGAGUAUAGACUUUAUAGUCAUCGACGUGGGGUCGGCCUAUAAUGCUUUAAUCGGCAGAGCUACCCUUAAUCGACUCGGAGCGGUGGUAUCGACGCCCCACCUUUGCAUGAAAUUCCCGACCUCAGCAGGGAUAGCAACGGUGAGGGGAGAUCAGAAGCUAGCAAGAAAAUGCUACAAUGAAAGCCUAAACCUGAGAGGAAAAGGCAAAGAAGUUCACACAAUAGAGCUCAGUGGAGCAAGGAUUAAAGAAGAGCUGCGACCCCAACCCGGGGGAAAAACCGAGGAGAUUCAGGUCGGCGAAGAGGAAGGGAAAAAUACUCACAUAGGAGCCAACCUAAGGGAAACCCUAAGACAAGGGUUGACCAAGCUUCUAAGAGAUAAUUCCGAUCUCUUCGCCUGGAAGGCCUCCGACAUGCCUGGGAUAGACCCCGAGCUCAUGUCCCACAAGCUUUCGGUCUACUCGGGAUCUCGGCCUGUACAACAACGAAGACGCAAACUCGGCUCAGAGCGAGCUCUAAUAGUAGAGGAACAAGUGCAAGCGCUCCUAGAAGCCGGUUUCAUCAGAGAAGUCAAGUAUCCAACAUAGCUAGCCAACGUAGUGCUAGUCAAAAAACAAAAUGGUAAAUGGAGAAUGUGCGUCGACUAUACCGACUUAAAUAAGGCAUGUCCCAAGGACCCUUAUCCACUACCAAGCAUUGAUGCCCUAGUAGACUCUAGCUCGGGGUAUCAAUACUUGUCGUUCAUGGACGCCUACUCAGGAUAUAACCAAAUCCCGAUGUAUGAACCAGACCAGGAAAAAACAUCAUUCAUCACGUCCAGAGCUAACUUUUGCUACGUGGUCAUGCCAUUUGGAUUGAAAAAUGCAGGGGCCACAUAUCAGAGGCUGAUGAAUAAGGUGUUUUUCCCCUCACUUAGGGAACUUAAUGGAAGCAUACGUCGACGAUAUGUUGGUAAAGACCAAGAAGGAGGUCGACCUCUUGUCCGAUCUCUCACAAGUCUUUGACACCAUAAGGUUGCACGGGAUGAGACUAAAUCCUGCAAAGUGCGCCUUCGCAGUAGAGGCAGGAAAAUUUCUAGGAUUCAUGCUAACACAAAGAGGGAUCGAAGCCAAUCCCGACAAGUGUAGAGCUAUCCUAGAGAUGAAAAGCCCGACUUGUUUGAGAGAAGUCCAACAGCUGAACGGCCGACUAGCAGCUCUCUCCAGAUUUUUGGCAGGAUCAGCAUUAAGAUCCCUUCCACUGUUCUCCCUACUGAAAAAGGGGCACCCGUUUGAGUGGACUCCCGAAUGCGAGGAGGCGUUCCAGGAGUUCAAAAGGUUUUUAAGCCAACCUCCUAUCUUGACUCGACCUAUAGCCGGAAAAGACCUCGUCCUAUACCUAUCCGUGGCAGACAAGGCUGUCUCAGCAGCCUUGAUAAGAGAAGACGAGGUCAGUCAACACCCAAUCUAUUUCAUCAGUAAAGUUCUACAGGGCCCUGAGCUAAGGUAUCACAAAUUAGAAAAGUUUGCCUACUCCUUAGUAACAGCCUCUCGAAGGUUACGGCCUUACUUUCAGGCUCACACAAUAAGAGUCCGCACGAACCAACCCAUGAAGCAAAUCCUCCAAAAGACGGAUAUUGCAGGAAGAAUGGUCCAAUGGGCAAUAGAGCUCUCCGAGUUCGACUUGAAGUACGAAACUCGGACGGCGAUUAAAGCCCAGUGCCUCGCCGACUUCAUUGCAGAAUAUGCAGGGGACCAAGAGGACAAACCGACUACCUGGGAACUCUACGUGGAUGGAUCCUCCAAUAAAACAGGAAGCGGCGCAGGCAUAAUACUGGUAGAUGAAAGGGGAACCCAGAUAGAGGUUUCCCUCAAGUUUGAAUUCCCAGCUUCAAAUAAUCAGGCAGAAUACGAAGCCUUGAUCGCAGGAUUGAAGCUGGCAGAAGAGGUCGGUGCUAUAAAGGUGAUGGUAUACAGCGACUCCCAAGUGGUGACCUUCCAAAUAAAUGGGGAAUAUCAGGCAAAGGACCCAAAUAUGAAAAGGUACUUGGAAAAAGCUUCGGAGCUCCUGGGGCGCUUUUGCAGAANNNNNNNNNNNNNNNNNNNNNNNNNNNNNNNNNNNNNNNNNNNNNNNNNNNNNNNNNNNNNNNNNNNNNNNNNNNNNNNNNNNNNNNNNNNNNNNNNNNNNNNNNNNNNNNNNNNNNNNNNNNNCCAUCUCGAAGCCAGGUCAUUGGCCAGGAAAGUGAUCCGAGCUGGAUUCUACUGGCCAACCUUACAGAAAGAUGCCACAGAAUUUGUGAAAAAAUGCCAGCCAUGUCAGAUGCAUGCAAAUUUCCACGUGGCUCCCCCAGAAGAGCUCAUUAGUAUCACGUCUCCAUGGCCCUUUGCAAAAUGGGGAAUGGAUUUGUUAGGUCCUUUUCCCCAGGCGCCAGGACAAGUUAAAUACCUAAUAGUGGGAAUAGAUUAUUUCACAAAGUGGAUAGAAGCGGAACCACUGGCCACCAUCACCGCACAAAGAAGUCGGAGGUUCCUCUACAAAAACAUAAUCACAAGGUAUGGGAUACCUUAUUCCAUUACCACAGAUAACGGAACCCAGUUCACCGACUCCACCUUUAGAAGCCUAGUAGCCAGUAUGAACAUCAAACACCAGUUCACCUCAGUCGAACACCCACAAGCCAAUGGGCAAGCCGAAGCAGCCAACAAAGUCAUACUAGCAGGGUUGAAGAAAAGGCUGCAAGAUGCGAAAGGAGCUUGGGCUGAAGAGCUCCAACAAGUACUAUGGGCUUACAGAACAACCCCCCAAUCCGCCACUGGAGAAACACCCUUCCGGCUAGUCUAUGGCGUAGAAGCCAUGAUCCCAAUAGAGGUCAAUGAGCAAAGCCCAAGAGUGAUUUUCCACGACGAGAUCAGAAUAGAGGUCAAAGCCCAAGAGUGAUUUUCCACGACGAGAUCAGGAACAUACAGGGGCACAAAGAAGAGCUCGACUUGCUCCCUGAAGUUUGAAGUUCGACACAGAUAAGAGAAGCAGCGUUGAAGCAAAGGAUGACCGCAAGAUACAACAAAAGGGUCAUCCGAAGGAGUUUCACCCCAGAUGACCUGGUCCUAAUCAGAAAUGAUAUUGGAGUCAACAAAUCAGGGGAAGGAAAGCUCGCUGCUAAUUGGAAAGGACCAUACAAGAUAAGUGAGGUCUUAGAAAAAGGGAUACUAUAAGGUAACCGACUUAGGCAGUACUGAACUACCUAGGUCGUGGCAGGCUUAUAAUAUGAAAAGGUACUAUAAUUAGAAGCAAACUCCACUCCCUGAUGUACUCUUUUUCCCGACUUCAUGGUUUUUUUCCCAAAAAGAAGGGUUUUCCUAAAUGGGGUUUUAACGAGGCAUCAAAGUGUAGGCUAAGGGGCAACAAUUUCCAACCCCUUAGUAGCAAAAAGUACCUUCAUCAAUAAAUAAAGAUCUUUUUCUACAUCUCUUUGUAUAUUCCAUUAAGUUACUAUCAUUUUUUCUACGAAACACGCCGACUUAAGCUCGACAAAACGUGAAAAUCCCAUGCCCGACCUACGUGGUUGGCAGGAUAAAACGACGAGGUACAAGUCGGUGUAAAGAGGUUAUAAAAGCAUAUCAUGAUAACUCGGAAAUGUUACACUAACAAGUUGAAAAAACCGAGAAAACUUGAAAUGCAUCGCGAAAAUAACCUAAGUUAUGAACAAUUCAGAUAGAGAAAUUUGAAUUCAUAAGGAAUACAAAAAGAGAAAAAAGGAAAAUCAUCAAAAAUCAAAAGCAGGGGCUAGCUCAAGUCUUUAGAAAACCUAAACACAAUUCAAACAAAGCCCAGCCUGCCCAAAUAAAAUGUUUUUUUCCAAAAAACAAAAAGAUUAAAAGGGUUUCUCAUAAAAAACCUAACAAAGGAAAAAUCAUAGAAAGCAUGCACAAGACAAAUAAAUUUAAAACCCCUUUAUCCGAAAAAGGGGAAACAGGAAUUAAAAGCAUUUUUUGUUUAUGGCCAUAAAAGGCCAGGAAAUGUCAACAACAAAUUACCACCACAGGCCGGGCCCUACAAUAGCCAGAAAUCAAUUAAACAGCAAGAAGGUCAGCAUUACCAGAAGGCAGAGAAGUCGGGUCAGCAGCAGGGGAGGAUGGAGCCGUCUCUUUAGCAGCAGGAGUCAGAAUGCCUGAAGACGUCGGCUGAGAUCCCUCUCGUUGAUCCUCAAGAGGAGGAGAUUCUACAAUCCUUUGACCACAGGUCUUCAGCUCAGAAUCCGUCUCAGGACGGGGAGGAAAGACAAUAGCACCAUUCACCACAAUCUUAUCAGGAUCUAGAGGAGAAAGGUCCAGGCCAGGAGCAAUAACUCCGACCUGUUCCUUAAAGAUCCUCUAGGCCUCCUCUGAGCUCUCCGCUACCCAAGAGUGAUUUUCCACGACGAGAUCAGGAACAUACAGGGGCACAAAGAAGAGCUCGACUUGCUCCCUGAAGUUCGAGAAGAAGCUCAGAUAAGAGAAGCAGCGUUGAAACAAAGGAUGACUACAAGGUACAACAAAAAAGUCAUUCGAAGGAGUUUCACCCCUGACGACUUAGUCUUGAUCAGAAACGACAUUGGAGUCAACAAAUCGGGGGAGGGAAAGCUCGCUGCUAAUUGGAAAGGACCAUACAAGGUCAAGGAGGUCUUAGGAAAGGGCUAUUAUAAGGUGACCGACUUAGGCGGCACCGAGUUACCAAGGUCAUGGCAUGCUUGUAAUAUGAAAAGGUACUACAGUUAAAAGAAAACUCUACUCCCUGAUGUACUCUUUUCCCAGCUUCAUGAUUUUUUCCCAGAAUCAAAGGGUUUUUCUGGAGAAGGGUUUUUAACGAGGCAUCAUAGUAGAGGCUAAGGGAAAUAAAUUAUCAAAAGCCCUUAGUUACAAUAAGGUACCUCCUCAACUAAUAAAGAUCUCUUUUAGUUAUUUAAAAUAUCUCUUUUAAAUUCCCUUUUUUAUUCUCCUUCUACGAAACGCGCCGAUUUAAGCUCGACAAAACGUGAAAAUCCCAUGAACCGACCUAGAUGGUCGUCAGGAUAAAACGACGAGGUACAAAUCGGCGUAAAGAGGCCAUAGAAGUCGAUCAUGAUAAACUCGGGAGCGGUCCGACUCAUGAGUCGGAAUGCGACACCGAGUAAAAAUAAAAUGAAUCGCAAAAGUAGCCUAAGUCACGAAAGGCUCAAUAAAACGAAAUUGAGUACUAGGAAUAACAAAAAGAGAUAGGAAAAACCAAGGAAAAUUGUAAAGCUACCUUGAAGAUCAAGGAGAUUCAGAAAAGCAGGCAAGCCCCAAAGAAAAGGUUUUUCUAGAAAAGAAUCAAAAGAACCACGAACAGAAAAAGCAUGCGCGCAUAAGAGUCAGGGGGAACGCCAGGAGCAGGAGUCGAAGAGGAAGUCGGAAGAAUGGUAGAGAAACUCGGAGUGUCCUUAGAGCGAGGAGGGGACUCUACGAUCCUCUGCCCCCGAGUCUUUAAAUCAGACUCAGACUCCACUAUGGGGACAGGAGGAUCCACGAUGGCACCAUCAAUAACAAUCUUAUCAGGGUCCAAAGGAGAAAGGUCCAAGUCAGGAGCAAUAACUCCGACUUGUUCCUUGAAAAUCCUCCAGGCCUCAUCAGCACCAUCCGCAAUAGAGUCCUCCAACUCGGUGUAGGCCUUCCGAGCAUUCAGCAAGUCGUUCUUUACAGACACAAGAUCAGCAAAUAAACUAUUGUAGCUGGCUUGCGCUGCUUUCCUCAAAUCUACCUCCAUGUUGCAUUGGGCUUGCAACUUCUACCCCUUCUCUCGGAGGCUGUCCCUCUCCUCCUUCAGUUUGGCGACCUUCCCCUCCAACUCCCUCUCAUGCUCCUGAUAUAUGCGAAGCCUACCCUCUAGCUCCUCGACCCUCGAGGUCGUCCCUAAAGAGCUGAUAGGAGUCUUCUCAAAUAUAUCCAAGAGUUUGCCGCAAACCCCCGCCGUCUUGAGACUUUCCUCAACCACAGUGGUGAGGUAAUGCCGAACAGAAACAUCAUCCAUACUCAUACGAGCAUGAGGAUAGAUGUUCUUUCGGACGAACGCAAGAGCGUCCGCCUCACCAGAAGCGCCGGACUCCAAGGUCUUGCGCUUCUUUAGCUCUGGUUCGGGAGUAGGUCGGGCGGAAGGGGGUGGCAGAGAGGAGGCAUAGGAAGAAAUCACAAUAGGUUGGGAGGAAGUCCCAACAUUCCGAGGAGGAGGAGAAGGAGAGACAGCCACCCUAGCACCACCAGAUCUGGCACGAGACUUCGCUUUGGCUUCCUGAACCCUCUGGAAAGACUCUUGAGCAUUUUUCUUUGCCAUCUCUGCAAAAACAAAUUGGCAGCUAAAAAUCAGACAAGUCGGUAAAAGAAAUUGCAAGUCGGAGAUAAACGAAAAGCGCAAAAGGCUACCUAGUUGUGACUGGACAAAGGUCGGCGACCCCUGGAGAAACUUUUUAGUAUCCAAAUAUGGGGCCCUCCCCCACACUUCUCGGAGGAACCCCACAAUGGCCGCCUCCACCUCAUCCAGGUCGUCCAGACCAUAUUUCUCGCAGGGAGAGGCCUCUAGCCAAUAUAAAGGGAACCGGGGAGAAGAAUCAUCAUCCAGGAAAAAGGGGUGGUGACCCUCUACUGCUUGAACUUUGAAAAAAUAGUUUUUGAAAUCAUGAAAGGAUUCGUCAAAAAGGGUAAAGAGCCUCCGACCUUGAAUGGCACGGAAGGACACCCACUGUUGUUUAUUAUUUAACCCACUGAAGGGCUUGGUCAUAUGGAAGAGAUAGAAGAAAAUUCUCAGAGAAGUCGAAAACUCUAAAGCCUGGCUAAUAAAUUGGUAAAUUUUAAAAAAACCCCAAGAGUUGGGGUGAAGCUGGGUGGGGGCAACCCGGCAAUGACGCAACACAGACAUUUCAAACUCUGAAAAGGGGAGAAAAAUGCCCAAACGAGUAAUCAUACUCUCAUACAUAAAAAAGAAAUGAGGGGCCGUCUCGUCGGCCCUCCCGAAACAAACCCGGUCUUCUGGACCCGGGACUAUCAACUCGUACUUCGGCUCAUCUUCUUCAGAAGUACAAAUUCUAUAGUGAGUGCGUAGGUGGAUGAUAAAUUCAGUAUCAAAUGAGGGCUCCUCCCCUAGGACCGUAACAUCAACCCACUGGGAGAGAGCAUCUACGGAAGCCAUUUCUUUUCUUAAAAAAGGGUGACAAGAAACCUACAAAAGAAAAGGAAAAUCAACACACAGUCUCUAAGGGAAGGGGUACGGAACUAAAGCCUACAAACCAAAUCUACCUACAAGAUAAAAGCACGCAAAUAGAACGCAUGUUACAGAAAGGGAAAAAGCUAACCUUUAAAGUCUGAAAUCAAGACUGGAGGAAGCAAAAGCCUUCGAAACGCAAGAACGCAGUACGAACAAAUACAAGGGAAAUUUGAAAGAUUGCAGAAACGAAACAACGAAAGAGAGGGAAAGUAUUUAUAAAGACGUUAGGGGCAUAAUGGUAAAACUGGGGCAACUCUUAAUAAAGGUGCACCUUUAAUUUUUUAUAUUUCAUAUUUUGAAACCUUGACAAUAUAAUCAAAAUGUCCCUUUUUUUAGUCACAAAAAAUGUCCUUUUUUUGUAUAUGUCGUUAAACAAUCAUUUAGAACUCAACUUUUAUACAAUUAGCUCUUGAUGAUAUUCAUAGUUGAAAAAAUUCAUUCAAUUAGUGUAGUUAUUAUGAAAAAAAAAAACUAAAACUAAUUUCAAAAGAAGAAACACAAAUAGAUAGAUAAUAUUCUUUUGAGCAGAUUUCUAAAAAAGAACACUAAUCUUAUUUAAAUUUAAAAAUUGAUUAUUAUAACGGAAAUCUAAUAUGAAGUUCUCAAAUUGAUUAUCAAGUGUCGAAAGUUGAAUAAAAAAUUAUUGUGGGGUCAAAUUUAAUAAUUUAAUGGAGGCAAAUAAAUAUUAUUAUUAUAUACUACUCAAUAAAAUUUCAAACUGUAGGGGGGGCGCUUGCUCCCACACCUAUAGGAGUGGAUCCAUUGGUGAUAAUAACCCUAUGAUAUACUAUUAGUAUUAUAAAUAAUGAACACAUUAUUUGAUAUAUAGUAAACUUUUUUUACUAGUAACAAAUUUAAUUUUUUAUCUCUUUAAACUAAAUUAAUAAUUCUAUUAUGUUUUAUUUCAUUUAGUAUUAGUAGCCUACUCAUAGUGUAUUUUAGUGUAAAGAUAUCAAAUAGAAUUUACGUACAAGUCGGACGAAGGAGCACCAAGUACCAGGUCCACUCGAAAGCCACCUCCUUCACCCGUUUGGGCCAACCAACGCCAUCCGGCCCAUCAAUCUCCGGUUACCCACCGUAACAAUAUUAAUAAUACAUAUUGUUAUAAGGCUAUAGAUCGAUGGAGAUUUAUCAAUAUAAGAAUAAUGCAGAUUGGUUAAAAUUUUACAUAUAUUAAAAUUCAAUUAAAUUUACAUAUAUUUUACUCAAAAUCAAGUAUUAUGAUCUAGAUAAUUUUCACAAUAAGGUGAAAACUAAUAAACACAUUAUUUGAUAUAUAAUAAAAUUUUUCUGUAUAAUAACAAAUUUAAUUUUUUAUCUCUUUAAAUUAAAUUAAUAAUUCUAUUUGAUAUCUUUGCAUUAAAUUAAUAACCCUAAUGUCAUACGUACUCCGUACUCUGUACAAUUUUGAAAAUCGAAGAUGAGCGCUGGAGUGAGCGGGGAAGAGACUUUGAGGGUGAAACACGGUGAGGCAGCCGAUAAUGUCGGCGGAAGAGAUAAGGGGGAGAGUGGGGGAGGGAUUGCAUCAGGAGAAAAGGAGGAUCAUAUUUCGGGAGGGGUUUCUAAGCCUUUGAAGGUUUCUUUCAGGGACACUUUCUUUUCUAUUUAGUCACCAAAAAAAAUAACCCUAAUGUCAUACGGUCAUUAUUAAUGUAUUAAUCGUAUUUUAAUGUUUAUUAUUUAUAUAUUUAAAAAUUAUAUUUCAAAAUUAUUUAUUUAGUUUCAUAAUAAAUGAUAUUUUUAAAUUUGAAUAAUUUAUUAAUUAGUUUGUAUUUAUUAUAUUAUAUAUUCAAUAAUUUAUUGAAAAAGAAUAUUAAUAUAAUGAAUAAAAAAAUAAUUUAAAAAAAUAUCGUUUAAAAGAUAAGGACAAAUAAACUCCUAACUAAUUUAAAUUUAGAGACAAUUAAGUCUCUAUUCAUUUUUAAAUUUGACACGUCAGUAUUUUCCGUUCAAAAUUAACAGAAAAACAGUACCGCGUUGUCUCACGAAAUAAAGAAUAGAGACCAAAGUGGAUCGUAUUUUUUUUAAGGGGUCACAUUAUCAUUCUGAAAAAUGGAUAGGGAUCAUAUUGAUAGUUCACUUAAAUUUUAAAGUAAAGCAUGCGUAUUAAAUUUGAAAAGAACAAAAAAAGGUACGAAGAUGCUGGAGGUGUAGUACUAUUAUUGGAGUCCUGAAAGUGUUCAUCAUUCAGGUGUAGUACUAUUAUUGGAGUACUGAAAGUGUUCACCAUCGUUGAAUGAUGGUGAUAAAAAAAAAUUAGGGUAAAGUAUACUUUUUAUCCUUGAAAUUUGGCAAAAGUUUCAAAAAUACCCCUAAGUUUUAUUUUGUUUCAAUUUUGUUCCAAAAGUUUUCGAUUUACAUCAAAUAUACCCUAGACGGGUAAAUUUUCAAAAAAUUUAAAACCAAUCUAACAAUAAUGCAUAAAACUUAUGCUUGAUUUGCUUAUGUUGAGGGUUGUUCUUAUGAAAUUGUUGUUGAAUUGAUCUUAAAUUUUUUAAAAAAUUAGCCGUUAAGGGUAUAUUUGAUGCAAAUCGAAAACUUUUAGGACAAAAUUGAAACAAAAUAAAACUUAAGGGUAUUUUUAAAACUUUUGUCAAACUUCAAGGACAAAAGAUAUACUUUACCCAAAACAUUAUUUGGAGAGAAAUUAUGAUUGAACGAUGAUCGAAAAUUAGGAAUUGGAAGGAUAUGUGCAGGGAAAAUUAGGAAUUGGAGGCAAAAUUAGCGAACACUCAAAAUGCAAAUUUUUCUUCAGAUAUCGAACCAAAUUUUAGUUUAAAAAUAAGUGAAAAUGAUAGCGAUAUGAUUAAAGAUCCUUUGAGAAAAUGGAAGCAAACAAAGAAAAUAAAGUCGAGUAAACUCAAUAAGAAUGAGAUAGAUAGCUAUUUGGAAGAUAAUGUAACCAAAGAUUUUAAUAGAUUUGAUGUAUUGAGGUGGUAGAGAAGAAAAACACUUAGGUAUCGAGUUCUCAUGACUAGAAAUAUAUUAGUCAUUCAUGUUUUUAACUGUAAUAUCUGUUUCUACUUUCUACUAUAUUGAACUUAUAUCAAAUUUAUAUUAAGCAAAUUCAAAAUUACAGAAAGAUUAAUUCAUAUAAUUAACAAAAUAAAAAAAAACUGAAAAGCAGAAGAACUCUGCAUCAAGCCAUCGAUUCAUAUAUUUAACAAGACAAUUGAACUAACAAUCUUCCAACAAACAAUUCAUAUAGUGAAUUAACAAAAUAUAAAAAAUAAUUCAAAAACCCAAGAACUCACAGUGGCAGAGAGCAGAGAUCAGAACAAAACACCAACAAUCUAGCUCUGUUAACAACAAUGAAUGAACAGCGAAGAAAAUCAACUCAGAAAACAACUAAUUAACCCAGAAAAAAAAUCAACAAUCAACCUAAUUAAAUCCAGAAAAAUAGUAAUUAACUCCCAAAAAUAAAAUCUGUAAGCUAUAACUAGGAAUAUAAUCUAAAGAAUCAAUAAAGUAGUGGAAUUAAAAAGGAUGAUAGCAAUUGCAAAAAUAGAAAGUGCAAAAUUAUAUUGAUGUCAUGGCAUUGCCAAAGUCCUCUGACCCAACAGACACAGAAUUUACAAAACUAUGAUACAUAUUCAGCAACAAGGAGAUGUAAUAUCAAUUUGAGUUGAUGUAUCUUACCUUCUUUUAUCAAUUCAAUAAGCCUCUAGCAACCAUUUCCCGAAGAAGUUUCUCCGCCAUGUCAUUCUCAUCUUUUUCAAACAAAGCACUAAUAAUAGUUUCAAAAGUUACAGCAUCUGGUAAGCAACCAUUGCCUUCCAUUUUUGACAAGAGUGCCAAUGCUUCUUCAAACAAGCCCUCUUUGCAAAGCCCAUUGAUCAUAAUAUUGUAUGUCCUCACAUUUGGACGAUAGCCUUUAACGGAAAGAUCUUGAAAAAUCUCUUUUGCAUCUAUAAGUCUUCCACUUUUGCAUAGGCCAUCUAUAAGUAUAUUGUAAGUGAAUAUAUUUGGAUCAAUGGCACACUCUUUCAUUUGAUUGAAUAACAUAAAUGCCUCGUUAGGUUGUUGGUUUUUGAACAUCCCAUCCAACAACGAAUUGUAAGUGACUACAUUAGCGGGUUGACCUCUAUGAUGCAUCUCGAUAAGAAGCUCCAAAGCACGGGAGAUUCUCUUUGAUUUGCUCAAGCCAUCAAUAAGAGUGCUGUA